rnacentral:lncRNA from 1 species
GCUGUGUUUGGGGGGACUGCAUCAAAAAUUCAGUGUCGAGGGCAUUUUGCUGUUGGAGAAGCAAAUACAAACAUCAGACAGAGGAAAUAAGAAUUCAUUUGAGAAAAGCAAAAUACACACAGCUCUGUCCGUUUCCAGCAGAUCUUAAGGGAUGAGCGCGUGUACUGCUAAAUGGAUUGUGUUUGGAUUACUAGCUACAUAGAACUACAGAGGGCGAGCGAGCGAGACCAUUGAGGCUAUUUGCCUGCAUUGUCGCACUCCUUGGAUUUAGCUUGCAGGGGGGAGCGGACCUGAUAAAGCUCAUGGAGAACAUAUUUUUGUGAGUACCUAUAAAUCGGCUUUUUGUUUAAUCGAUUGCUAUUCGAAUUGCAGCUGUUUGUGCCUGAAGUAUCUCAUCCUUCCAUUUAUAAAGCGUUAGCGUAUUCCGCAGCCCUGAAGAUUGCAAGUCUCCUGGUAUUACUGAUAUACAGAGCCAGAUCUGCUGCCGUGAUUUGAUAAUGUUUUUGUGUUUAACUCUCUAGGUGCCAGGAUCCUUUCUGACACACCAGUAAGCCACAUCAGUGAUCUCCUUAUCUGGUGUUUAAGGGGUAAAAUGGGUGUUGUCUUUUCUUUUUUUUUUAUAAUACUUAUAGCUCCCAAGCCGCUGUCUAGUGAGAAAGCUGUUAUAUAAUCUGCUUUUCUUUCUACAGGUUGCAAUCUUCAUGCGCGCUUGUCAUUAACAAAGGACGUUAGAUUAAAAAUUAUUCCUCUGUAGAAGUCAGUGCUACCAGUGUCACUGUCCAGCAGCUGUCACAAUUAAAGGGACACUGUCACCCACACGACACCCAGCUCUGCUUAGUGCUAGUUUAUACAUCAUGCUAAAACAAACACAAUAUGUAUUGUCGAAAAGUUAUACUUAUCUGAAGAUCACAUAUAUUUCCCCCAAGAUGGCUGCCAAAAAUGGUAGCGAAUGGCCACACGUGCAGCAACCCAGCUUGCCAGAGUUUGUUGUGACAGUGUCCCUUUAAAUCAUUAUUAGGCAGCAGAGCUUAUGACCAGUGGUUUUUCUCUAACUAGUGCUAACUCCAGUAAUCCCCAGCCAGAAAGUUGCUAGAUACAUGGAAUCAUGCGUGACAUGGCUGGGUUUCAAAUAUGGGGCUUGUUUUGUGGGUGGUGAAUGACACAUGUACAGCACAAAUUACAAUCUUUCAAAUAGCUGAUUCUGGCUUUAUUGUAUUAUGUAUUCCUAUUCUUCACUUGUUUGCUAUAUAGAAGAAUGUUGUAAUUUAUGUAUCUACUGUAUGGGUCAUUGUCUGUGAUUUCUAGGUCUGGUAUAUACAUGAUAAUAGGAGUAUUAUCUCAGAUGUAUGCCUAGUCGGAUAGGAAGAUGUGGCCAUUGGUGAAUAGUGGGGCUCAUGUCCUGCCACAGGUUCUCAAAUGAUAAAAGAUCUGGCCUUUAACGGAGAUAUUCCAAGAUAUUUGGCUUUCUAAUUUAAAUCCACUUCUAGCACACAGUUUCUCUAUACUUUGUGCACCAUGCAGAGCACAUUCAUAAUGGACAUUGGUAUAAGAGCAAUAUCGGAUGAAUAGAAUAAUUGAUAGAGUGUUAUUAAGAAUGCUUGUUGAAUGGAAAUGUGAAAACGCUUUUACUAGUGUUAUUUGGCUAGACGCAAGGUUGGAAAACACUGACCGAGGAUCGCUCUGCAAUAAGUUCCACAUUAAUAAUUAAUACAGGAGGUCUUUGGAUUAACGUUUAGAAUGUGUGUUAUCAUUUGUUUAUUAUCCUCAUUGGUGCUUCUCCAAAACUUUAUUCUGGGUUUGCUUUGAUAGCCCAGUGGUCUUGUCAUGAUCCAUAUGUGAUCACGGGACACUUUAGAUACAGGUGGAUUCCAUUCUUCUAAAUAACUUUUGAAAUCUGCUGGUUUACCAGAACACAUUCAGGUAAAUUAUAACAAAGAGCAAAUAAUUAUCACAACCCUUUUUUUUUACAAUUGUGGUAUAUGCAAAUUUUUUAGAUAAAAAUAUCUUAUCUUUCUAUCCUUUCAUUAUGGACCACUUUUUGUGAAGACCACUGACAAUCCACUUAAAUUUCACAUUUUUCAAGUAAAUUUAGGAAAUAUAUGAUGGUGGUGGUGAAUAUUUCUGCUAGGUACGGUGCAGUUUUACAUUUUAUAGAGCAUAUUUUACCUGUAAUGAGCUUCAUUUGACAAUGGUCACUUUUGGAAUUGCCCCGCUUCAAUUUGGAAUUUUUUACUAAACUAUCAAUUUUGUAGAUUUGACAAGGGAACUACAAAUGAUAGGUCAAUGUGAUGUGAUCCAAUUUGGCCAUUUUGUUUUAGCAUUUGUCCACAAUACAUAGUUACAUAGUUACAUAGUUACAUAGUUAUAUAGCUGAAAAGAGACUUGCGUCCAUCAAGUUCAGCCUACCUCACAUUUGUUUUUUGCUGUUGAUCCAAAAGAAGGCAAAAAAACCCAGUUUGAAGCACAAUUUUGCAACAAGCUAGGAAAAAAAUUCCUUCUUGACCCCAGAAUGGCAGUCAGAUUUAUCCUUGGAUCAAGCAGUUAUUACCCUACAUUGAAAGAUUAUAUCCUUGAAUAUUCUGUUCUUGCAAGUAUGCAUCUAGUAGCCGUUUGAACAUCUAUAUGGACUCUGAUAAAACCACUUCUUCAGGCAGAGAAUUCCACAUCCUGAUUGUUCUUACAGUCUAAACGCGUGGCCUCGUGUCCUAUGUAAAGUCCGGUUUGUGAAUAGAUUUCAACACAAUGGUUUGUAUUGGCCCCGAAUAUAUUUGUAUAAUGUUAUCAUAUCCCCUCUCAGGCGACGUUUUUCUAAACUAAAUAGGUUUAAAUUUGUUAACCUUUCUUCAUAGCCGAUAUGUUCCAUUCCUUUUAUUAGUUUUGUAGCCCGCCUCUGCACUUUUUCUAGUGCCAUAAUAUCCUUCUUUAGAACAGGUGCCCAAAAUUGCACACCAUAUUCAAUAUGGGGUCUUACCAGUGAUUUAUAAAGAGGCAAAAUUAUAUUCUUGUCCCGAGAAUGAAUGCCCUUUUUCAUGCAUGACAAUACCUUACUGGCCUUGGCCACUGCUGAUUGACAUUGCCCAUUGUUGCAUAGUUUGUUGUCUAUAACAAUUCCCAAGUCCUUUUCAUGUGUUGUUAUCCCUAAUUCGCUUCCAUUAAGGGUAUACGUUGCUUGUGUAUUCUUUACGCCGAAGUGCAUAACUUUGCAUAUUUCAACAUUAAAUUUCAUCUGCCAUUUGAGUGCCCAGUCCCCCAGUCUAUCUAAAUCCCUCUGCAGCAAAGUAAUAUCUUGCUCACAUUGUAUUGUUUUACAAAGUUUGGUGUCAUCUGCAAACACUGAAACAUGACUUUCAAUGCGGUCUUCAAGAUCAUUUAUAAACAUGUUAAAUAGAAGGGGUCCCAGAACAGACCCCUGAGGGACACCACUUGCCACCUCUAUCCAGCUUGAAAAUUUACCAUUAAUGACAACUCUUUGUACUCUGUUUUUAAGCCAAUGUUCUACCCAAGAACAAGCAUUUUCAUCUAGACCGAUUUCAGCAUUUUCAUCUAGACCGAUUUCCUUGAGUUUGAACACUAAUCUAUUGUGUGGAACUGUAUCAAAUGCCUUGGCAAAAUCCAAAUAGAUACCUUCUAAGUUAAAGUAAAACCUUGUCCUGGUGGUUUAUAGUCUGGAAUUUGUGCCUGUUGGUCAGCCCUAACCUAGAAUUCCUUUUUCUACCAAAUAAUCUCCUUCCAAAUUUAGAAAAUUGUAGUCAAAUAAUUUUUAUUCAAUGGUUUUCAAUAUAUUAAUUUACCAACAUUUUAAAUUAAACAAAAAAAGUAUUGGGUUCGGGCAGAAAACAAAAGGGGGGUUAAAAUAAAUAUAACUAUUUCUAAUAAACGUUGGUGUGGAUGUGGGCAGAUCUGUUCUUUUUCCCAUGUUUGGUGGUUUUGCCCUGGAUUGGUAUAUAUAACUUAAUUAAAAACAUUGAUUCAUCCAGAGGGACUUUGACACCAGAAUUAUGUUUAUAUAAAAAAUUCCCAGACACUACAAAUAAAAUUGAUAAAAUUAUAAUUGGACAUAUUUUCAUUGCUGACACGAUGUCUAUCCCCAGAUUUAGACAAUUCUGAGAACAAGAACCAAAAUAAGCUUUUAAGAUAUCACUAAAAUUUCGAUAAAUACAUCUCAUGACUUGGUGGGAAACCUAGAUUCAAAAUAAAAAAAUCUAAUCCCUAGGGUGCUACAAAGAAGCCUAUCCAGUCCAAACCAUAUGAAACAUUAAAAAAAUCCAAUUCCCAGAUGGGAUGGAGGCAUUUCGGCACAGAGAUUUCAAAAGAGAAUUCUUCGGGAAUUUGAAAGCAGGUACUGGAGAGAAUGAGCUGCCUGUUAGUUGCUGUUAACAGGCCAGCAUAUGUCAAUCACAACAUAUUUUAGUUGUGAAAAUAUUAUAUAGAGAAAAAUAAAGAAGGUAGGGCACAAAACAAUAUAAACAUCAGAUAGAAAGGAAGCUGGAGGGCAGCGAUGUUGGGCGCCAGAACCCCAACUUUGUGGUUAAAGUGGUUUAACCCGUGAAGGUAAGAAGGAACCUGCACAAUCCUGACCCAUAACAUCUUAGGUGAGCUUACUUUGUUGUACGGGGCGAGUGUUGCUUUAAAAAGUGAAGGUCUACUAUAACAUUGUGAGUGUCAGAGACAGACGCAUUUCUGUUUUAUAAUGUACGUUCAAAAAUACUUUAUUCAAGGACUGUCUGUGCUCUGCUCAGUGCUCUGCUCAGCGAUAUUAUACCGCAGAAUAGGACGGAACUCAUGGGUCUUCUUAAUACAACCAGUGGGAUUGAUUUUUAAAGCAGAGUCUCAGAUUGUUUUCUAGUGAGGCAGCGUUUCAAUGCCAGUUUUUCCUUUACUAGCAGUGCCACCACGAGUUAAUGGUUUCUGUCCAGAGCACUACAUAAGAAACCAUAGAAAAAUUCACUUAUUGGCGUUGGGGUUUCUCAGGUCUCAGGUAUAAAAUAGUCCAUUCUGACAUAGAUUUAGUGGCUAGUGGGACCAGAUGUAACCAAACUGGACACGUGUUAACAAUGGAGAGCCGUGUGGCACACUGUUCCCUUUUGUUAAACUACAAGGACCUAAUUAGUUAAAAUAAAUAAAUGAUAUAUAUAUAAACACUCUUUUGGUUGUAGUUAUGAUAUGAUGUAGAAUUCCUCAAACUCCAAGAUUAACCCCCAGGAGGUGGUCACGGAUUGCGUCCUCCCCUCUUUAACUAAAUUUAAGGCCAGGGAAUGUCAGGUUCAUGGUGUCUGGUUGAGUCCUCAUGGUAGCUUGACUGGUGCAGCUUGCUUGGUGAUGUGUUAAUGAAGUCACUAGUGAGAUUUGCCUGGAGAUGUAGGUUGAGCUGAAGCCAGAGAGUAGAUAUGGAUACCCCUGUCCCGGUUUAAUUUAUUAAGUCACUAGUGAGAUUUGCCUGGAGAUGUAGGUUGAGCUGAAGCCAGAGAGUAGAUAUGGAUACCCCUGUCCCGGUUUAAUUUAUUAAGUCACUAGUGAGAAUUGCCUGGAGAUGUUGAUUUGAAGCCGGAGAGUAGACACGGAUACCCCUGUCCCGGUUUCAUCCUUCCCUUGUUCUUUUUUUUUUUUUCGUCAUCAUUGUUUUAAUGUUGUUUGAAAAUAUUUAGAUUUUUUUUUUAAUAAAAGCUAUUUGAAGAGAUUUCCCUGGACAUGCACUGUGAUUGGUUGUGUUUGGUCUCCGGUUACAUGCUGUUGGGUCUGACAUACCCUACCUAUACAAGUUUUUUUUUCCUGGUUAGAAGCAGCCUCACUUGAUGUAUUUAAUGCUUUCUUUGUGUCCUACUGAUUCUGAGAGAGGAUUCAUUUAUUGUUUGUAAUACUUUGGAAGUGAUGUUUAAUGGAAUUAUCUACCAACAUCUUUUGGUUCAAAUAGUUCUCCAACGUGUACACUGAAAGACAUAAGAGGCUAUUCCCUAUUUUGUUUAGUCCUUAUUCAUUUUAGCUUCAAGUUUGCUAUGUGAACCCAUUCAGCUAUACACAAAAGGAAACUGGUUAUUUUAGCAUAUUUCAGUCUUAUUUGCAUUUCCCCUCAGCCAUUCUUGGACAGCUAAAUCUGUCUUUAAACUCAGUUCACAAACAGCCCUACAAAAACUGGAUUGCCAAAUUCACUCUGUUUUAUAUAGCUGGGAUAUUCAACGGAGGUUUGGUUGCAAUUCCACUGAGCUCUUUCACGAUGCCACCAGAAGCUGAAGAUCAUCAGUGUCCGCUCCUUUUAGAUCGACAAAGCUAAAAAUUGUUCACAGUGCAGUGGUGCUCUCAUUUUAGUUCUGUAAUGUAAAAUAAUGGGUUUUUUUAGUUUUUUUUUAGAAAAUACAGUGUUUCUAUUGGAGGGUUUAAGACAACAUUAAUGGCUUUCUUCAUGACAGCCACUAGAGGCACCUCCACUGCAAGGACCAAGUAAAACCUGGUUACGUUGCGUGGAAGGUUGAAUUCAAUGCUUUCCUUUGAGCAACAUUGGAUUGGACCAGGAACAAGAGAGCCGUGCCUCUUCGAACACAUCGCACGUGGUGGUUAGGUGAGCUGUGUCAUGGGAGUCACAACGCUGGAAAACCGCGAGUAAAACACUUUUUUUAACAGGAAACUGGGGCGCCCUCAAUGUAACUAGGGAGAGGAGCACUAUAAUAUUAGGAAUACAGGUUCGUUCCUUAAAUGCAGUAUUUAGAAAAGGAAUCCGCACAUGAAACGGAUAAUUAAAAUGUAUAAAAAAAAAUUCAUUUUACAAUUACAAUUGUCAUCCUUGUAAGCAAAGUCACAGCUUACGGUAAAAAAGAGCAGUUUUCUAUAAACUUUGUUUUCUGCAUUUAAAAUUAAAACAAUGUUUUAACUUCGUUACAGAAACAAUAUAACGCAAAUAAAAACUGCCAUUCAAAUCAGUAACUAUGAUCCAUUGUCACAACAGCUAUUGUACAGGGACGAGGAAAGUGUUUACCGAGAAAUGCUUGUAAUCAGAUACGCACACAAAGGCCAGUCCUUCAGCUUCCAUUAAAAUGGGGAUAAUAAUCGCACAGAGUAUGUGGCCCUCAUGUAAGCCUCUCCGGUAUGCUUCUACGCAUCAGUCAUGUGUAACAUCGGAUCAGAUCAUCUUGCUCGUGCAAAGAUUCAUCUAAUUAGAUUACCACUGAUAAAGAGAUUAGAUUUGGGAGAGUUCAGCAGAACAAAUAUGAAAGAGGCUUUGGCCAAGGAAAUAGCAAUCAGACUGAAGAGUAAUACAUUCAUAGAUGUCCCAGCUGCUUUUUUGCACCUUAUCAUUUAUUAAUCUUUCCACAUGCACGGUGGUCGCUGUCCAUGGGCUUUUGAAGUUAAAUAACAUAAACAUAUAAUUAAAAAUGACAUAUUUUGCACAGAGUGGACUCACUGAUAAUGAACAUAUUUGCAUUGUGUGUUAAAAGGGAACUACUGUGCGCAUUUGAGCACUAAAUUUGGUUCAGCAAAACCAUUUUUUGUGAAAAUCAAAACAUUUUCAGGACGGGCAAAUUUCUGACAGAAUUUUGGUUGGUUCAUGAUUCGGUUAUAUUUUGGCUAAGAAUUCAGGAAUUCGACGUACAUACCAGAUCUACCCAAAUUUGGACAAGAGAACUGUGACUUUGGAUAAAAUGGUGCAUUCCAAUAACUUACCUAAAAUAGCCAAUAGUUGUGCUUUUAUUUUAUUUAAAACCUAGCUUUUUAUUAAUGCCAUGGAUAUUUCUUUUGAUUCCCUGAUCAGGGCCCCCGACCACCCGAACGCAUAGACAACUAAUGAAAGGAGGUGUCCUACGUUUAUACAGAGUGUCUGAGGACACUGGUGGCAAUGGCUAACUGGAGGUGGAUUGGAGGUUAGUGUUCUAUCUUCACUACCCAUCCUUCUCAGAGUUCACCAGGGUUUGGGGAAGAGGAACUGUCACUAACGGAACAUGACACAUUCUUCUUUCAAUUUUCCUUCACUUGUACAGUGAGCAAGCAAAAUUUAAAAAUGAGAGCUGUGAGUAAUCCCGUAAGACGUUUCCUGGGGUUCACCUCAAGACAGCAGCCUCAUGCUAAGGAAAUGCGGUCACACCUUGUCCAGCUACGUGACGGGAUAGUAGGGGCAUUGUAUGUCUCUGGUUAUAAGGGGGGACUUGCACACUUUGGUCACUGUAGUUUUUAGGGCAUCAUCAUUUCUUCUCUGGUAAGGGGUGAUUUCUAAACAAGUUUGUAUAUGGUACAUACGUAUAUGUACUGUAAUAUCCAGCGUAUGUAGAAGUUAAUUUAAUGUAAUAUAUAAUAUCAGAUUAUAGGUUAUGUUUCUAAAUUUGCACAUUCUCAAUACCACUGUUUAACUUAUCUGCUCAAAGGGAAUGCAGAUAAUAAAUAACUCAAUUUUAUCCAACAAGACAAUCCCUGGACAGAUACGUUUAAUCAUGUUUUUUGUCAGUUUAAUUAUUAUUAGCUGAUAAUUAUUGUAAUGUUACGGGUAGGAAUUUACUGAGUACUGGUAUCUGGGAGCUGCUCAACCGCUCAGCACUAUCAGGAAAACAGACAUAUUUGUUCUGUCCUCUACGCAUGUAUAUUUAAUGGUAGACGUGCGUGUAUGAAAGGGGUUUAAACAUCUGUAAAGGGGAGAAGGGUGGCAAGAAAAAAGAUGGGGGGUUGGGGGAGGAAAUGCAGAGAAAGAAGGAAAUUAUACAAAAAGCAGGAGAAAGAGACAAAGUGGAAAAAGAACAAGUAGUGAAAUUUAAUAGAAUGACGGAGACUGACAAAACAAGUGAUACACAAAAAAAGAAUAAAGGAGAAGAAAAGAAUAUCAUGCAGAGAGUGACGUAGGGUGUAAGAACAAUGCUAAAAUGGAACCACAAAAAGAAAGAAGGGGAGAAUGGAAGCGAUCAUCAGGUGGAUGGCAGGAUGUACAGAUUGGCAAUGAAUAUAACAUGAUGAGCUGUGAGAAUACAUUAAUCGUAAACGGGUGGAAAAUCCAUAAUGGAGAGGGUGACUGGAGAAGGGACAAAUGAGGUUAAAAAGCAUAAGAGAUGAGACUACAAAAAUAACAGAAUAGGAACAUUGGCAUAUGGGUGGCACAACCUAAUGAAACAGAAGGACUGGUGGGGUUGAAAAGAAGGUCAACAGAAAUGUAGAGAAUGUAAUAUAUCUGGGAAAGGGGAUGAAAAAAGACGGAUGAUACGGUCAGUCACAAUUUACGGGAGCAGUCGAAUGUCAAAGCUAUGAAGGCAUGUUUAAGAGUACAUUUGCGGGUAUUUGAGUGGCUGGUAGCUCUAUUUACUGUUAUGUAGUUUCCCUAUUAAUAGUGUGUGUUCUUCAUUACUGGUUUGUAUUCUAGAGCCAUUAUAAAUAUUAUGAAGGUUUAUAUUUCCAAACUUUCUGUCUGCAGAGGAACUUAGAGAUAUAACAAUAUCUCUGGCAAGUAACGAGAGCUUCAGAUACUCCUAGUGCUGCUGAGCGCAAUGUAAGCAAAACAUUUUCCACUGAAAUUCCUAUCGAUCUGUACAUUUUCUAGAUAUCUGGCCGGCACGUUUUAUAGAUUUCUUUUAUGGCUCUUUAAAGUGGAUGUUUCACCCAAGAGUACUUUAUAGAAAUCAGCAGAGCUUGAAAACUGUCUGGAUCUCAAGUAACAGUUCAGCGUCUUUUAAGUUGUUUAAAAUUGCCUUAGUAUUUAGAUAAAACAAUGGGAUUUCCAACAGCUAUUAGAAAUGUUGACAGAGUGUCUAUAUCCAUGCCUUGCGUAACUUAAAGGGACGCUAUAGACACCUAUACCUCCUCAUCUCGGUGAAGUGGUCUGGGAGUGGUGUCUCUGCCCUCUUAGUCCUGCAAUGUAAAAUAUACUGCAGUUUUAGAGAAAUAUACUUUAAAGGAACACUAUGGUCACCUAAACAACUUUAGCUAAUUAAGCACUUUUAGUGUAUAGAUCAUGCCUCUCAGGUUUUACUGCCCAAUUCACUGCCAUUUAGGAGUUAAAUCACAUUGUUUCUGUUUGUGCAGCCAUUGUCACACCUCCCCUGGCUCUGAUUGACACAGACUGCAUGAAAAAAACUGGUUUCACUUUCAAUCAGAUGUAAUUUAUCUUAAACAAUUUUAUCUCUUGCUCUGUAAAUUGAACUUUAAUCACAUACUGGAGAAGCUUGCAAGGUCUAGCAAGCUAUUAAUAUAGCAGGAGAUAAGAAAAUAUAAACUAAACAGAACUUGCAAUAAAGGAAGUAUAAACUUCAGAUGACUCUUUACAGGAAGUGUUUAGGAAGGCUGUGCAAGUGCACAUGCAGGGGGGUGUGACUAGGGUUAAUAAACAAAGUGAUUUAACUCCUAAAUGGCAAAGGAUUGAGCAGUGAGGCUGCAGGGACAUGAUCUAUACACCAAAACUGUUUCAUUAAGCUAAAGUUGUUUUGGUGACUAUAGUGUCCUUUUAAUGUAGAGCUUCAUGCCUCUCUUUCCUGCAUCUGGGCACCUCCAUCUUGUAAAUCAUUGUUAUUAGCUCUCUCCUUUGCUUCUGGCAGUCAGCAUAGAGAGGGCAUACAGAGUAGGAGAGAAAAAACAUUUCAGUUUUACCUCAUCAUUUGCAAUGUUUGCACUGGCUGCCUUGUCUGAACUGAAUUAUGACGCCAUGUGUUAAGUCUUUCAUUUUUAAAGAAAAUAGAACAUCUCAUUAAAAAAGGUCAACACAAUUUAUUGGUGAUUGUUAAUGCUUUAUUUGGUGGUUCUCCCCCCAUUUAAAGGACCACUAUAGUGCCAGGACAACAUACUCGUUUUCCUGGCACUAUAGUGCCCUGAGGGUGCCCCCACCCUCAGGGUCCCCCUCCCGCCCGGCUCUGGAAGGGGGAAAGGGGUAAUAACUUACCUUUUUCCAGCGCUGGGCGGAGAGCUCUCCUCUCCACCUCCGAUCCGCCCCGCCGGCUGAAUGCGCACGCGCGGAAAGAGCUGCGCGCGCAUUCAGCCGGUCUCAUAGGAAAGCAUUUACAAUGUUAAAAUCACAGUGAGAAGCACGCAAGCGCCUCUAGUGGCUGUCAAUGAGACAGCCACUAGAGGAUUAGGGGGAAGGCUUAACCCAUUCAUAAUUAUAGCAGUUUCUCUGAAACUGCUAUAAUUAUGAAAAAAUGGGUUAACCCUAGAAGGAUCUGGCACCCAGACCACUUCAUUAAGCUGAAGUGGUCUGGGUGCCUAGAGUGGUCCUUUAAGGUUUGGUCUAGAGAUCAGAACCUUUUAAUCUUUUUUCCCAACUCAUUAAAUUAUAUUACAUCACAACAGCACAAAUUCUAUGUGAAAGUCCAAAUAGCUCUGGCAUUAAUAUAUAAACCGUGAACUUUGUAGUAUAUUGUAUUAUUUUUUAUAAGUUUUGAUAUUACAGACUGGAGUCUAAACUUUGGAUUCGUUUUUCUGAUUUAUAAAACACCGACAUGUGUCGCAGGGCUGCAAAAUUGGUGAGCAGAUCUGACGUACAGGAACAAGAGGUGAUGAGAGCCCUGCUCAGAUGAGCUGCCAUCGAAAUAUAGAAAAAUUUAAAGCCAACCUGCUUAUGGGACUUGUGAGAAAGAAAGAAAUUCACUGUAAAUCAGUAAUUUUAUUUUUCUAAUCUUGCCGAAUGUGGUAAUUGAAAUUUUAGGUUAUCGACAUUACUGUCAUUAGGACUGUUUUUGUGAUAAAAGUUUGAUCUUACACUAAGCCUGUGAUCAAUGAACCACAUGGAGGGCUAAAUCACAUCUCAUUCCACACCUAUAAAUAUGUCAGCUUGCUGAAGUUUUUGGGUGAGGAAUAUCUCAUAAUAAUGACAGUUUAUAAAUAUUUCAUGAAAGACCAUCCUGACUGUCGUUCAAACAGCCAGGGUGGGAUUCUUCCUGCUUCCUAUACACUAAGCUAAUGGAAGUUGCAGGCACGCUCUACUUGAGCAAAACCUGCCUCCUCCCACUCUCCCAGCAUCCUUCAGAUCGGACCUCAGAUUAGCGUCUGUCCACAGACCUCAGACCAGUAUGCUGUAAAGGAGCACGUGCACACACAGCGGAAGCGCGCAUGAGGAUGUGCGCGUGCAUGGAGGGAGACCUUAAAGGACCACUCUAGGCACCCAGACCACUUCAGCUUAAUGAAGUGGUCUGGGUGCCAGGUACCUCUAGGAUUAACCCUUUUUUUUUUAUAAACAUAGCAGUUUCAGAGAACGAGUAUGUUUUCCUGGCACUAUAGUGGUCCUUUAAGAGGCUUCUCAAUGAGAAUCCUCUGGUGGGCUAUAUUCUCGUGAAGAGACUAAAAGUCUGCAGAGGCGGCAGUUCAUAAGAUCUGCAGCUUUUUCAAACUGUUUUAAGAUACACCCCAAUGUACACUUACAUAGAAAUACAAUGCAUGUAAUAGAAACAGGAUUUCAAAUUGUUUGCCCAUUUGGGCAAUGAAAUCUUAAUUAACUCUUCAAAAUCAUCAAUAAUUGAGAAAGGGAACUGGAAAUGUGAGAAUUGCGCUAAUUCAGAUUAAUUUCUCUGUAUGAUUUUUUUAACCCUCUCCUAGUUAAUUUCUGUCAUGUUUCCAAUAUCAUGAACCGAUUAGCACCUCUAGGGUUAAAGUGACAGCUCAUGUCACUCUCCAACCUCUCACACCUGUCUCAGAAACUCUAAUCCUAAUCCUAAUACAAUUACAAAUAAAAUAAAUCAGAUCUGGCAUCAUGAAGACCGAGGGAUAAAGAUAAUCAAAAUGGCAGGUGUUUGCCAAAUCAUGAGAUUAUUAAUGAGAGGCUUUAAUAGCAAAUACAAUGACGAAAUUCUUACUGGGAACAGAUUAUAGAAAGCUAGCAGUGUCCGUUACACAAUAUAAAUAUGAUCAGAUAGCUCUAACUAUGAAAACCCAGCCCGUUAGAGACAGAAACUCUAUGUUGUAUAAAACCAGCUAUUAAACUACAAAAUUAAAAAACAAUUAAAUAAAAAUGUAUAUUGUGCAUACCGGUUUAGCUGCAAGGAUUAAAAAACUAAACUAUGGUGGUAGAUGUACAAACUUGUUUUCCAAACGCAAGUAUUUUCCUCUUUAUUGCAGAUUAAGCCCCCCUAAAUCUAAAUAAAAACUGGAAUAAAGGAUAUUACAUACCUUUUUUUUUUAUCAGCGACUGCUGGCCCCUCAAUUCCCCUCCGGCAGCGUCACAAGCAGACGCUUCCAAAGGUCCCCAAUAAAAUGGAGGUUCUCACAGCAGAAGCUGUCAUAGUGCUUGUCAGGAAGACCGCCACAACAGGUGUGUUUAACCCUUUAGUUUAAACAUUGCUAUUUCUUUUAAACGGCAAUGUUUUACAUUGAAAUUAAGGGUAUGGGUGCCUUUACUGUGAUCUUUUAACCCCUUAAAGACACAACUUCAGAAAUAAAAGUAAAUCAUGGCGGAAUAUUUCCGUCGUGUGUCCUUAAGGGGUUAAACCUGUUUUUUAAUUUUUUUUUGUUUACAUAGGUCAUUUUUCCUUUAUGAAAACGCCACGUUGAUGGGUUAAAUCACAAAGACAUUGGGGGGAGCUAGAAGGAAGCAGAAUAAGGUGUAUGUACGCCAGUAACUGAAACUCUGCAAGUUAUGGGUGACGCUCUAUGAUUCCCGCAUUGAUAAUCCCAGAAUGCCUUGCAAGUUUGAAUGAUUCUACUAGAAAGCUACAAUUUAUUUGUGGACCAAAUUGAUUUUUUUUUCUUUUAGUCCCAGGGUUGUACUAAAUUAUUUGAUAUAAGAAAUUCCUUGUCCAAUCAUAAUUAUGUGCAGAACAAUGUAUUUAACCGAACUAUAUAGAGAUAUUGAUUACAGCAUUCAUGUUAAGGAGUCUAAUCAAUUUAUUAAACUAGUUCUCAUACUGUCAUUUCUGUUGUAUUUGUUGCUGUUAUAAAAGGUUUGUGAUGUUCUGUUGUAUAUUAAAUUGUCAAUUUAUUUUAUCACAGCAAAUAUGAAAAUGAUUAUUAUUUGUUAAAUCAAGGUAAACAAUGUACAAUCUGGAUGAAGGGGUUAAUUAAUUAUUGAUUAUGAAGGCUCGUUGAGCAUCAGUGAAGAAUCUGCCCCCGUGAUUUGCAUUUAUUUGUUUGGAGAAAUAAAACUGAAUGAAUAAUUCUUGUUGUUAUUAUCAUUUAUUAACCCCUAGGGAAAGAGGCAAUAGUCCAAGUUUUGAACCAAAACAAAACCUAGAAAUUGAGCUAUAUAUUUUAUCAACCAUAAAUUACCUCUUUCAUAUUAACUUAUUAUAUUUCAUUUUUUUAGGAGAAACAGGGCUUUCAUGACACAUCAAAUAUUUGUAUAUUAAACAUAAUUUAAUAUGAAUAAAAUAAAAAUGUGUAACAAAUUAAGAAAGGUUGUGAUUUUCUGCAUGGUUCUGCAUGGCAUUUUAACUGUGAAUGUCAUAGUGCUGUUAGCCCCCCAUGUACAGGUUUCAUAGUAUUUUGGAAAGUUACAGAGUCCAAUAAAGAGCUUGACCAUUUCAGUUUUAACACAUUGAUAUUUUCCAGAUUGGUUUGCAGGGCCUAUGUUGUCUUCGAGGUCGUAUGGCAGCUCAGAAAUAAAAAUGACUCCAUCAUGGCAUACCUUUUGAAAAAGUAGACAACUCAGGGCAUUCAAAACAGGGUAUGUCCAGUCUUUUUUUAGUAGCCACUUAAUCACAAACCCUGGCCAAACUUAGUGGUCAUAUUUAGUUUUUGCAUUUCUCUUAGAAAAACUGCUCUUUCACUGAUGAUAUUAUCGUCAUUAUGCAUUUUACUGCUUUAACAUACUCAUAUUUGUGUUCAGCAGUGUCUCACACAUACAAAAGUAUCCAAGGAUACCUCCUCCCUUCGUUCUGUCUCAGUUGGAGCCCCUUAAGACUCUGUCCUUGGUCCCCUUCUAUUUUCUGUUAUACUGCGUAAGUAGUGUCGUUGGCUGUCCGCAUACGGAGCCAGGGUAGAGUGUAUCUCAUAAACUGAGACUGUAUGAGAUUAAGAAAACAAAAACAUUGAGAUAAAUAAAUAACGUAAAUAACGUAACGUCAUGCAUAUAAACCUGGUAUAUAUAACGGGACUAGAAGGCCUUCAACUGGGUGUUGUGGUACACGCUACAGAGUACAUUAUUUUAUGUUAUAGGGGUGAAAGUCUGCUCAGCUCAAGUUGGGAGGUCCGCCGCCCUUUGGACCGUUCCACUGGGCGACAUUUGAGAGUGUGUCUUGAUAAGUCACGGCCAGUAAGCGUGUUAAUAUCCCUGCGAACAAGCGCCAUAUCGGCGUCGAACAUCGCCCUGAUUUCCUGCAUCAUAGCCUUUAUAUCGGCUUUUUUAAAUAGUGCCUAGGUCACCUAGGUCUGCUGGCUGCUGUCGCUUAGUUUGUACUUUGGAUCCUGCAGGCAGGGAGUCUGGUAGGCUGUCCUCUGCCGGCGCCAUCUUGGUGAGCUCAUGUCGCUGGGUCGGGCGCAUGAAAAUGCCUAUAUCUUUGGAUCCGGAGCCUAGGUCCGCUCUGUGCUUCUUUGCUUUUUUCCCCAUGGUCUAGGGUGUACAGGAGGCCCUUCUUUCGGAACCCCGAAGUGUAUUUUGCCUCUGUUACAGUCGUUUUACCGGGUUCAGCGCACGGAGCUGUGGUAAGCUGCGACUUUCUCGUUCAGGCGCUGGCUCCGCCUCGGCAGUUCCCUUUCUUUGGAAUAGUCUGCCAACCGCCAUCAGACUCUCCCCUAGUCUUCAGUCGUUUAAGAAGUGCCUUAAAACUCAUCUCUUUAGGAAAGCUUAUGGCCUCCCAGACUAACCUCUAUCUCACAUAUCUGUCAUUCGCUCUCCUAAAGGGCAGCACUCUACUCUCUCCUCCAGCUCUGCUUCACUCCCACCUUAUUUGGUUGCUAUUUCCUGUCCUAUUGUGUUUUAUACCCCACCUCCUAUAGACUGUAAGCUCGUUUGAGCAGGGUCCUCUUCAACCUAUCAUUCCUGUAAGUUUUCUUGUAAUUGUCCUAUUUAUAGUUAAAUCGUCCCUCUUAUAAUAUUGUAAAGCGCUAGGGAAUCUGUUGGCGCUAUAUAAAUAAUAAAACAAUAAUAAUAAAUAAUAAUAAUAACAGGGUCCUCAUUAACCUAUUGUUCCUGUAACAUUUUAGAAUUGUCUCAUUUAUUGUUUCAUUUCCCCUUUCCAUAAUAUUGUAGUGUUACUGAAUUAGUUGGUAUUAAUCCAAGUGUUCUGAUAUUGUGCAACUUGCUGGUGUGUCCAUGUCAUUGCAUGCUGCCAGAGUUUAUAGUGCAGAGGUAGGUAGGCAAUCUUUGGUUUCAUUGGGGUGGAGUUGAGUGUGCGAAGUCUUUAUUGCACCAUCUCAAUAAAGUGGCCUGUAUGCAGUGGUCCUUUAGUUUUAACAUUGCAUUGUAAGACAAUGUAGUAUUUUAGAAUCACAAUGUUUUUUCCACCUCUAAUGGAUGUCUUCCAGAUAGCCACUAGGUUCAUCCAUGGCUUUCCUAAGGGGACAAUUGGAUGAGCUUGUGACAUCAAGUCGCCAGUGCUCCUCUAUGAGGAGGAUUGCAUUGGAACAGGCCAGAUGAUGCAAUAGAAACAUAGAAACAUAGAAUGUGAUGGCAGAUAAGAACCAUUCGGCCCAUCUAGUCUGCCCAAUUUUCUAAAUACUUUCAUUAGUCCCUAUCCUUAUCUUAUAGUUAGGAUAGACUUAUGCCUAUCCCACGCAUGCUUAAACUCCUUUACUGUGUUAACCUCUACCACUUCAGCUGGAAGGCUAUUCCAUGCAUCCACUACCCUCUCAGUAAAGUAAUGCCAUCUCCGUGAUGUCACAGGAGUAGGAUAGGUAAGUAGCACAGAGGAUCAUGGAGGUGUGGAGAUAGGUUUGUAUUCCUAAUGCUUUAGUGUUCCUUUAUUAAAUGGAUACAAAUAUUUAUUUUAAAACAGUUUUUAUACCUCUUCAUGUUUGUGGUUAUAUGUGGUUCUCUUUUUUUUUUGUAUAUAACACCCUAAGUGCUUGUAUGUUUAAAUGGAAUUAUUAUUGCAUUGUUUCAUAAUGCUAGUUGUUUGAUUUUCAUACUUAUUCUAAUUUGAUCUUCUAAAUGGAAUUAAAUAAUGUGUUUUAUGCCAGAUGGGUUUUAAAAACAAAAUAAACAAAAAAAACAUUUAUUUUAUAAAUCUGGGCAACAAAACAAGCCAAACCCAGCUUUUAGUGCAUGAUUAAUAAAACUUUCAAGUACAUAGCAAGCAGUGUUGAUCUUAAAGGAUAAGUCGACACACCAAAACCACUUUAGCUUUAUUAGAACCCUUAUAGCACAAGAUUAUUAUACAGAUGGUCCUCAUUUUACGACCUAUCUGUUUUACAACGGCUCGCACUUACAACCAGCUCUCUAGCGUGGGGGUAAGUGUGAGACGUGGUGGGGAUUAGAGGGGAUACCUUAAAUCCAUGUUCGGGAACAUUCCCUGUUCUGGUGCGUUCGUUUAUUUUCGGGCAAAUUUCCCUGAACAUAGACAAGCACACCAGAGCAUGGAAUCCCUCAACUCCUCACUUACCGGCCAAUUUGUUCUAUGACAUUGUCGUAAGAACGGAACCCGGUCGGUAAGGGAGCAGUACCUGUAUUUUAUUAUUUCCUAUGAUUUGUAAAAGAUCCAGUAAUUAAAGGGUUACUCCAAGCAUUAUAGCCACUACAACCCUCUCUAGUGGUUGUGAUGCUAGGAGUACCCUGAAGCUGUUCAGAGGUAAAGCGGACAAUAAUUUGUAAUGGCUUGCCUUUGUCCUCCAUACCGCUGGGCACCAAGCCUCAAAUUAUGGCGGCUAAACUGUAUCAUACUGAAACGCUGCACGUACAGACUCCUUGCACCUAGGAUCACUUCAAAAUACUGAAGUGGCCAUGGUACUUGGAAUAACCAUUUAAUUAUUUAAAGGGACCACUUCUGCCCAUUGGAGUGGUCUGGGUACCAACUCCCACCCCCCUUAACUGCAAGCGUAAUUAUUGCAGUUUCUAUAAACUGCAAUAAUUACCUUGCAGAGUUAAGUCCUCCUCUAAUGGCUGUCUAUCAGACAGCCACUAGAGGGAAUUUUGUGUUCUUAGAACACGUAAAGUGUUUUAAACGAUGCUGGACAUCCUCACGCUAUGUGAGGACCUCCAGUGUUGCCAAAAUCCCUAUAGGAAAGCAUUAAAUAAUGCUUUCCUAUGGGGAGGUCUAAUGCGCGUGCACUGCCAUUGCCGCGCAUGCACAUUAGGUCUCCCCUGCUGACGUCAGGAGAGUAGGCGGAGCCUGACCCAGCGCCGAGGGACAUCGGCGCUGGACUCAGGUAAGUCAGCAACAUGGGAUGGGCGUGGGAGGUAGAGGGGCACUGCAGGGUCAAAUAAGUUUUCCUGGCACUGGAGAGUCCCUUAAAUAAUUUUAAAAAAUUCUAAAUUAAUUUUCUUACCUGGUUGAUAAUAUAAUGUUAUGUAUUCCUCAUUCUCGAGUACUCUACCAGAGGGCUGAGAGUCUAAGUGUUCUUCACAUCUUGGUUCCUUUUCCUAGAACUAACCUCUUCUGGACAGCGAUCUCAGAUGUCCCACCAGGAAUCUGUUGAAGCCACUCCCCCAACUUGGAGUUGCAGCCCCUAAUGCUCCUAUCACAAUUGGGACUACAACAUCUGUCAUCACUUUCCACAUCCUUUAUAGAACCUCUUUGAGUCCUUGGUAUUUGUCCACCUUCUAAUGUUCCUUCUCCUGAUGUUUUGGUCUCUGGGUAUUGCUACAUCCACCACCAACACUGCAGUUUUCCUUUCCUUGUCUACCACCACUUUGUCAGGUUGGUUGGCUGCUGCUUACUUGUCUGUCUGGAUCUGAAAGUCCCACUAAAACUUAGCCAUUUCAUUCUCAACUACCCUCUGUGGUAUUUCCUAUCUGGAUUCUAGCCCAUAUUCUGAGCAGAUGUUUUGGUAGACAAUCCAAGUAACUUGGUUGUGCCUCUCAGUGUAUGCUGUCCCUGCUAAGGUCUUGCACCAGCCUCUGUGAACUGGAUUGUCUCGGAGGCCUCUUUGCAUAGUCUGCACCUUUGGUCUUGCAUGGUGUGGUAGACUCCAGCCUCUAUUGAUUUGGUGCAGAGUGCCUGUUCCUGUGCGGCUAGGAUUACUGCCUCAGUGCUGGCUUUUAGUCUUGCCUUUUCCAACCACUGUCUCCACAGUGGUUUUAACUGAGAUGCUUUUAAUUGGUUACUACUCAUUGAUAACCAGGAGAUUUUGGACAAAAAGGGUGCAGCUCAGCUUAGCUACAGAAAUCAAAUUCUAUGGAUCAGUAAAAGUAGGAUUUAAAGCAAUCAGGAAGAUAAUCUUUAACAGCAUAUACCUGCCUUCUCUUAUACUCUAUGUGAUAUUAGAUAGUUAUUGAUUGGCAUACGAAGGUGGGAGAUGGAAGCUGUCUUGCUAUAGAGGAUGAGUUGUCAUGAUGUGUGGUGGAGCGUAUAUGGUUGAUAAUGGCCUCAUAAAAAGUAUCUGUGAAAAUUAUAUUAAGAUUUUACAGACAGCUGUCUAGAUAGGCUUGCAGGCAAGAAAACUGGACUAAAAUCGGUGUAUUUAUUGCGCAAUGUGAUUCCGGAGAAUUUCUUCUUUCCACUUAUUGUGAUAAUUAGAAAGCUUUUAAACUUCAGUUAGCCACACUAAGAGUCUCCAGUGUUCAGUUUAUUAAUUCAGUCUUACGAAGUAACUACUAUAAAGGUUAACCAUGUCCAGCUAUCCUAUUAAACCUACAUUUAUACAAUCUUCUAGGCUAAAAGCACAAUUGCAGUUUGAGAUAAUUAGGUAGAGUUUUUCUAAAAUACCCAGGACUAUGAAGACAGAAAAUUAAUUCACUGCUUAUAUUUUAACAAGUAUUUUAUAGACUCCGUACUCCACAGGGGGAUCCUCGGAGGCAGUUCUGAAGUGCUGGGGGGGAAUUCUAAUAUGUUUCUACUCCCUAGAGUCACUCAAAUACUGUAAAUUGAAAAUUCCCAUAAAACUGAGCAUUACCGAGGCACAGCAUUCAAAGCAACUGGUUAUGGUGGAGUAGAUAGAAGAAAGUGACCUUAAUAGAAAAUCACACCAUCUUUACAUUGUGUCAACAAAGAUUUGUGAAGAUGUGUUUAACUGUUUCAGUGCUGAAUCACUUUUCUAAAACUGUUUUUGUUUCAAUAAGUAAUUAUAUGCACUAUUGUAUUAUGUAUACCUCAACAUUCAAAACCAAUCUAUCUACACUUUAUUUAAAGGGACACUAUAGGCACUAGAACAAUUUUACCUUAAUGAAGCAGUUUUGCUGUAUAGAUCAUGCCCCUGUAGUCUCUCUGCUUAAUUCUCUGCCAUUUAGUAGUUAAAUCACUUUGUAUAGGCAGCGCUAGUCACAACUCCCAUGCUUCAUAAAUACUUCCUGUAAAGUGAGAUCUAAUGCACAUGCACAUUCUGUUUAACUUUGAAUUUCAUCGUUCCUGUACUGUUAAUAGCCUGCUGACCUUGCAGGAGGCACCUGUGUGAGAUUAAAGUUUAAUUUACAGAACAGGAUAUAAAAACUUAUAAAGUAUGUUAAAAUCUGAUUGAGAAUAAAACCAUUGUUUCAUGCAGGCUGUGUGAGUCUCUGCCAAGGUAGGCAGAUAAUUGAGUUGUGAGAGUUGUUUUUAGUCAUAUAGUAUCCAUUGUAAUGUGUCAGUCUUUAAUUAUUAUUUUCUCUGCCUGUGCAAGUUUCACUAUUCCAAAUGUUGUGAUUUGGAGUCAUCCUGCUGACGGAGUGUUUUGUGAUGGAUGGAGUUCACCAGAUCGCAGUCGAUAGCAUUGAUCUUGUAAUUGAUGCAGAAAUCCGACACUUGAUUAACCCAAGUAUAACGAGAGCUGGAUUGUUGUGGCUUUCAGCCAUUAGAUGGGUAGGGGGUGUUUGAACACUAAGGAACCAUUCCAGAUGCAACCAAAGUGGUGAAUGUUCUAACACAGAAUCACCAAUCCCGAGGAACCAGUGAUACAUUGUCAUUUAUUUCAUUCUUUGUGCUAACAGAACAAUCCAAAAUGCUUUCUCUCUGUUAUUAUCCUAUACAUAGUUACUAUCCUAAAAAUAGUCUGAUCGACACCUGUCCCUCCACAAAGAUGCAGAUGAAUCUUUGAGAUGGUACUUGUGCGCUAAUAACAAAAUACUAAACUUCCCAACUCCAAACACAUCGUAUUUCUAGUCUUUUUGGCUAUAUUGUUCCAAUCUCUGGCAGUAAAAUGGAUACUUGGUGUCAAUGGGAUAAACACAGAGAUUAGGAUUAACAUGUUAAGUAGUAGCUAGUUUAUUCCACUACCUUCGAAUGCUGGACUUCGUUACCCUAGCAGGGCAGAAAGAUAAAAAUCUAACCUUGCAAUCAGCCCUCUUUACUUAACGGGUUAAUGUUAGGGCUUUCUUCAAUAAACCGGCAACUGUGGAAAACUGGCAACAGUGAAUCCCAAAUAGCCAAAUUACAGUGGGGUUACUGGAGAAUUUGUCCUAUUCAGUUUCUUUGACUUAAAAUGUAAAAUUCUCUAGUCAGUUCCCCACAAUUCCUAGUGAAUAGGCGUAUAUAGUAAACUCUACCAUAUAGUGUAAGCUCCUCGGCACUCGCAGUGUUAAUGCUUUGAUUGAUUUCAGAGCAUAUUGAUCUCCCCUGAGCCAUUUAAAGAGUUAAACUGCCAUGGAGAUGAGUGUCUCUUAUUAAGAGGAAGCACCCUGGAGGGGAGACCCUGAUGAGAGCAUUUGCAGGAAAUCAAUAGGGAGAAGAAAUGAGUAUUAAGGCUCAGAAUAUCAAGGAUUUGAAAAGGAGGCAUUAAUUGUCCAAUGAAAAGAGAUAUACUCGUCAUUUGUCACAUGCAGCUUGGCCAUAUUGUAUCUGUUCCAGGGUUCUGGUGGGGUACAUGGCUCUCAUAGUAAUCACAAAUCAGCUCUCUUUAUUCCUAAGAAAAGGCUUGAUAAUUAAUCUUAUUAAUAAAUAAAACCCUGUAACCCUUUUAAAAGUUGAUAUACCCUAAAUUUAGCACUAAAACUUGCAAAAAAAGGCGAAACCUGACUUUCAUGCUUCUUCAUGAGUGUUAGUACACCUGGAAAGAUACCCUCGCACUAUAUUAAGAGGGCUGGCCAACACGAUUGGCAGUGAAUACCUCCCAGGCGGACAUAUCUAUUGUCCGGGUGGGUCUGUCACCGGUCCACCUUCUUUUGACCUGCCCUCCAGCAUCCCUGUUUACUGGAUGCCACUGUUGGACACAUACUAUUACUCAUACAGGCAUGUAACAAUACACCUACAGACAAACUGGUACUCACUUGCCUCUUCGGCCCCACUUGUGACACAUGCCUGCUUUUAUCAUUUAUGUCCUUUUUGCAGUCCCUUUUGUACAUAUAUCAGGCCAUUAUCAUUCUGCAUCAUAAUAAAUUGGCAUCCAUUUACUGCCAAUCCAAUGUAAAGUGCUGUUAGUGCACACAGCAAAUUAUGAGCAGCCUGGGGGAAUUUUUACCUCUGAUCGGUCAUGCGGCUCCUUGAAGUGGAGGCCCAAGUCUGGUGCCCUGCUGACCAAAGUUCAGGCCUGUCUACAGUAUUUCGUGGAGGGGGGAGUCAAUGUGCACUGUUAUGUUCCAGUCAAACUGGCCAUCCCUCUCGUACACAUAUUAGAGUGAGUAGAGUGUCACAAUCAUUGGUUGAAAUGCAGACCUUCUAAUAAACAAGUAGUCUUAGGGACCCCUUCAGGUAGGUGCAUCUUGCAAUCAAUACAUCUGCUGGCAAUUUUGAGUACAAUAUACAAUCCUUUAAAGGAUUCUCUUUAAAUGUUCAUUAUAAAAGCAGAUACAAUAAGGUACCUGGGGCUGGCUCAGUGUAAUCCCAGUGACAUACUGCAGGGAUUAAUCAGACUGGAAUCAUUUACAUAUUGAUUUUUAUUCAGGACGCUAUCAUUCUCCGUUGUUUAUCAACAUAAUCCCUCUUUCUACUUUCUCGUUACCUCAUUUGUUCCCUCCCCGCAAGAAUUUCUUUCUGAGUAUCAGCAAAUAUUUACAAAGAGAUUUGCAUCCAGCGCUGUUUACUCAGCGAGCGGAGGUAAUCAACGUGUUUCAUUUCACCGUGCCUGAGAAACGAUGGUUUAUAUACUCCUAUUAAACACAGUUAGUGUUUACUCGAGAACUGAUUAGUUGGAUUAUAGGUGCGGCUGACAGCGUGAGGAGGAAGAUUGUAAAUCUGGCAAAACAAUAAGAAAAACCUCUAGUUACUAACAACAUUUCCAGUUUCCUAUUUAAUGGCAAAACAUGUUGUGCACAGCCUCUCCCAUUUAACCCUCACUUUCCCUUCUCAUUAUGAAUUCUUCACCCCUAGCAUCCGACAUCUUGGAAUCCUGUCUUCUCUCCGACAAACAUAUCAUCUAAUCCUUCCAUCAACCGUUUCAACCACCAUCCACUAAUCUCUCUCCAUCUAAUAAAACAUUAAAAUGCUAAAAUUCACCCAAAAAAUUAAAAAUACUCCCUCAUUAUUACUAAACAUGAAUACUGUAAUCUAAUACUCCCUCAUUAUUACUCAACAUGCAUACUGUAAUCUAAUACUCCCUCAUUAUUACUAAACAUGAAUACUGUAAUCUAAUACUACCUCAUUAUUACUCAACAUGCAUACUGUAAUCUAAUACUCCCUCAUUAUUACUAAACAUGCAUACUGUAAUCUAAUACUCCCUCAUUAUUACUAAACAUGAAUACUGUAAUCUAAUACUCCCUCAUUAUUACUAAACAUGAAUACUGUAAUCUAAUACUACCUCAUUAUUACUAAACAUGAAUACUGUACUCUAAUACUCCCUCAUUAUUACUAAACAUGAAUACUGUAAUCUAAUACUACCUCAUUAUUACUAAACAUGCAUACUGUAAUCUAAUACUCCCUCAUUAUUACUAAACAUGAAUACUGUAAUCUAAUACUCCCUCAUUAUUACUAAACAUGAAUACUGUAAUCUAAUACUACCUCAUUAUUACUAAACAUGAAUACUGUAAUCUAAUACUCCCUCAUUAUUACUAAACAUGAAUACUGUACUCUAAUACUCCCUCAUUAUUACUAAACAUGAAUACUGUAAUCUAAUACUCCCUCAUUAUUACUAAACAUGAAUACUGUAAUCUAAUACUACCUCAUUAUUACUAAACAUGAAUACUGUAAUCUAAUACUACCUCAUUAUUACUAAACAUGAAUACUGUAAUCUAAUACUCCCUCAUUAUUACUAAACAUGCAUACUGUAAUCUAAUACUCCCUCAUUAUUACUAAACAUGCAUACUGUAAUCUAAUACUACCUCAUUAUUACUAAACAUGAAUACUGUAAUCUAAUACUACCUCAUUAUUACUAAACAUGAAUACUGUAAUCUAAUACUCCCUCAUUAUUACUAAACAUGAAUACUGUAAUCUAAUACUCCCUCAUUAUUACUAAACAUGAAUACUGUAAUCUAAUACUACCUCAUUAUUACUAAACAUGCAUACUGUAAUCUAAUACUCCCUCAUUAUUACUAAACAUGAAUACUGUAAUCUAAUACCACCUCAUUAUUACUCAACAUGAAUACUGUAAUCUAAUACUCCCUCAUUAUUACUCAACAUGCAUACUGUAAUCUAAUACUACCUCAUUAUUACUAAACAUGCAUACUGUAAUCUAAUACUACCUCAUUAUUACUAAACAUGCAUACUGUAAUCUAAUACACCCUCAUUAUUACUAAACAUGCAUACUGUAAUCUAAUACUCCCUCAUUAUUACUAAACAUGCAUACUGUAAUCUAAUACUACCUCAUUAUUACUAAACAUGCAUACUGUAAUCUAAUACACCCUCAUUAUUACUAAACAUGAAUACUGUAAUCUAAUACUACCUCAUUAUUACUAAACAUGAAUACUGUAAUCUCAUACUCCCUCAUUAUUACUAAACAUGCAUACUGUAAUCUAAUACUACCUCAUUAUUACUAAACAUGCAUACUGUAAUCUAAUACUACCUCAUUAUUACUAAACAUGAAUACUGUAAUCUAAUACCACCUCAUUAUUACUCAACAUGAAUACUGUAAUCUAAUACUCCUCACAUACUCUCAACAUGCAUACUGUAAUCUAAUACUCCUCAUUAUUACUAAACAUGAAUACUGCACUCCAAUACUCCCUACAUACAAAACAUGAAUACUGUAAUCUAAUACUCUUCAUUAUUACUAAACAUGAAUACUGUAAUCUAAUACCACCUCAUUAUUACCAAAUAUGAAUACUGUAAUCUAGCUGCUCUCUAUUAUUACUAACAUGUAUAAUGUAAUCUAAUACUACCUCAUUAUUACUAAACAUGUAUACUGUAAUCUAAUAAUACCUCAUUAUUACUAAACAUGAAUACUGUAAUCUAAUACUCCUCAUUAUUACUAAAUAUGAAUACUGUAAUCUAAUACCACCUCAUUAUUACUAAAUAUGAAUACUGUAAUCUAAUACUCCCUCAUUAUUACUAAACAUGAAUACUGUAAUCUAAUACUCCCUCAUUAUUACUAAACAUGAAUACUGUAAUCUAAUACCACCUCAUUAUUACUCAACAUGAAUACUGUAAUCUAAUACUCCCUCAUUAUUACUCAACAUGCAUACUGUAAUCUAAUACUCCCUCAUUAUUACUAAACAUGAAUACUGUAAUCUAAUACUCCCUCAUUAUUACUAAACAUGAAUACUGUAAUCUAAUACUCCCUCAUUAUUACUAAACAUGAAUACUGUAAUCUAAUACUACCUCAUUAUUACUAAACAUGAAUACUGUAAUCUAAUACUCCCUCAUUAUUACUAAACAUGAAUACUGUAAUCUAAUACUACCUCAUUAUUACUAAACAUGAAUACUGUAAUCUAAUACUCCCUCAUUAUUACUAAACAUGAAUACUGUACUCUAAUACUCCCUCAUUAUUACUAAACAUGAAUACUGUAAUCUAAUACUCCCUCAUUAUUACUAAACAUGAAUACUGUAAUCUAAUACUACCUCAUUAUUACUAAACAUGAAUACUGUACUCUAAUACUACCUCAUUAUUACUAAACAUGAAUACUGUAAUCUAAUACUACCUCAUUAUUACUAAACAUNNNNNNNNNNNNNNNNNNNNNNNNNNNNNNNNNNNNNNNNNNNNNNNNNNNNNNNNNNNNNNNNNNNNNNNNNNNNNNNNNNNNNNNNNNNNNNNNNNNNCCCAAUUUUCUAAAUACUUUCAUUAGUCCCUAUCCUUAUCUUAUAGUUAGGAUAGACUUAUGCCUAUCCCACACAUGCUUAAACUCCUUCACUGUGUUAACCUCUACCACUUCAGCUGGAAGGCUAUUCUAUGCAUCCACUACCCUCUCAGUAAAGUAAUGCCAUCUCCGUGAUGUCACAGGAGUAGGAUAGGUAAGUAGCACAGAGGAUCAUGGAGGUGUGGAGAUAGGUUUGUAUUCCUAAUACUUUAGUGUUCCUUUAUUAAAUGGAUACAAAUAUUUAUUUUAAAACCGUUCUUCAUGUUUGUGGUUAUAUGUGGUUCUCUUUUUUUUGUACAUAACACCCUAAGUGCUUGUAUGUUUAAAUGGAAUUAUUAUUGCAUUGUUUCAUAAUGCUAGUUGUUUGAUUUUCAUACUUAUUCUAAUCUGAUCAGAAGCAUUUUGAGGUCAUUUACUAUAACUGUAUCCACAAAUCAAUCUUCUAAAUGGAAUUAAAUAAUGUGUUUUAUGCCAGAUGGGUUUUAAGAACAAAACAAACAAAAAAAACAUUUAUUUUAUAAAUCUGGGCAACAAAACAAGCCAAACCCAGCUUUUAGUGCAUGAUUAAUAAAACUUUCAAGUACAUAGCAAGCAGUGUUGAUCUUAAAGGAUAAGUCGACACACCAAAACCACUUUAGCUUUAUUAGAACCCUUAUAGCACAAGAUUAUUAUACAGGUGGUCCUCAUUUUACGACCUAUCUGUUUUACAACGGCUCGCACUUACAACCAGCUCUCUAGCGUGGGGGUAAGUGUGAGACGUGGUGGGGAUUAGAGGGGAUACCUUAAAUCUAUGUUCGGGAACAUUCCCUGUUCUUGUGCGUUCGUUUAUGUUCGGGCAAAUUUCCCUCAACAUAGACAAGCACACCAGAGCAUGGUACCCCUCAACUCCUCACUUACCGGCCAAUUUGUUCUAUGACAUUGUCGUAAGAACGGAACCCGGUCGGUAAGGGAGCAGUACCUGUAUUUUAUUAUUUCCUAUGAUUUGUAAAANNNNNNNNNNNNNNNNNNNNNNNNNNNNNNNNNNNNNNNNNNNNNNNNNNNNNNNNNNNNNNNNNNNNNNNNNNNNNNNNNNNNNNNNNNNNNNNNNNNNGAUCCAGUAAUUACAACAUCCAGACUACAACAUCUGUCAUCACUUUCCACAUCCUUUAUAGAACCUCUUUGAGUCCUUGGUAUUUGUCCACCUUCUAAUGUUCCUUCUCCUGAUGUUUUGGUCUCUGGGUAUUGCUACAUCCACCACCAACACUGCAGUUUUCGUUUCCUUGUCUACCACCACUUUGUCAGGUUGGUUGGCUGCUUACUUGUCUGUCUGGAUCUGAAAGUCCCACUAAAACUUAGCCAUUUCAUUCUCAACUACACUCUGUGGUAUUUCCUAUCUGGAUUCUAGCCCAUAUUCUGAGCAGAUGUUUUGGUAGACAAUCCAAGUAACUUGGUUGUGCCUCUCAGUGUAUGCUGUCCCUGCUAAGGUCUUGCACCAGCCUCUGUGAACUGGAUUGUCUCGGAGGCCUCUUUGCAUAGUCUGCACCUUUGGUCUUGCAUGGUGUGGUAGACUCCAGCCUCUAUUGAUUUGGUGCAGAGUGCCUGUUCCUGUGCAGCUAGGAUUACUGCCUCAGUGCUGGCUUUCAGUCUUGCCUUUUCCAACCACUGUCUCCACAGUGGUUUUAACUGAGAUGCUUUUAAUUGGUUACUACUCAUUGAUAACCAGGAGAUUUUGGACAAAAAGGGUGCAGCUCAGCUUAGCUACAGAAAUCAAAUUCUAUGGAUCAGUAAAAGUAGGAUUUAAGGCAAUCAGGAAGAUAAUCUUUAACAGCAUAUACCUGCCUUCUCUUAUACUCUGUGUGAUAUUAGAUAGUUAUUGAUUGGCAUACGAAGGUGGGAGGUGGAAGCUGUCUUGCUAUAGAGGAUGAGUUGUCAUGAUGUGUGGUGGAGCGUAUAUGGUUGAUAAUGGCCUCAUAAAAAGUAUCUGUGAAAAUUAUAUUAAGAUUUUACAGACAGCUGUCUAGAUAGGCUUGCAGGCAAGAAAACUGGACUAAAAUCGGUGUAUUUAUUGCGCAAUGUGAUUCCGGAGAAUUUCUUCUUUCCACUUAUUGUGAUAAUUAGAAAGCUUUUAAACUUCAGUUAGCCACACUAAGAGUCUCCAGUGUUCAGUUUAUUAAUUCAGUCUUACGAAGUAACUACUAUAAAGGUUAACCAUGUCCAGCUAUCCUAUUAAACCUACAUUUAUACAAUCUUCUAGGCUAAAAGCACAAUUGCAGUUUGAGAUAAUUAGGUAGAGUUUUUCUAAAAUACCCAGGACUAUGAAGACAGAAAAUUAAUUCACUGCUUAUAUUUUAACAAGUAUUUUAUAGACUCCGUACUCCACAGGGGGAUCCUCGGAGGCAGUUCUGAAGUGCUGGGGGGGAAUUCUAAUAUGUUUCUACUCCCUAGAGUCACUCAAAUACUGUAAAUUGAAAAUUCCCAUAAAACUGAGCAUUACCGAGGCACAGCAUUCAAAGGAACUGGUUAUGGUGGAGUAGAUAGAAGAAAGUGACCUUAAUAGAAAAUCACACCAUCUUUACAUUGUGUCAACAAAGAUUUGGAUUAUCAUGAAGAUGUGUUUAAUUGUUUCAGUGCUGAAUCACUUUUCUAAAACUGUUUUUGUUUCAAUAAGUAAUUAUAUGCACUAUUGUAUUAUGUAUACCUCAACAUUCAAAACCAAUCUAUCUACACUUUAUUUAAAGGGACACUAUAGGCACUAGAACAAUUUUACCUUAAUGAAGCAGUUUUGCUGUAUAGCUCAUGCCCCUGUAGUCUCACUGCUUAAUUCUCUGCCAUUUAGUAGUUAAAUCACUUUGUAUAGGCAGCGCUAGUCACAACUCCCAUGCUUCAUAAACACUUCCUGUAAAGUGAGAUCUAAUGCACAUGCACAUUCUGUUUAACUUUGAAUUUCAUCGUUCCUGUACUGUUAAUAGCCUGCUGACCUUGCAGGAGGCACCUGUGUGAGAUUAAAGUUUAAUUUACAGAACAGGAUAUAAAAACUUAUAAAGUAUGUUAAAAUCUGAUUGAGAAUAAAACCAUUGUUUCAUGCAGGCUGUGUGAGUCUCUGCCAAGGUAGGUGUGGCUGGGGCAGCAUUAGCAAAAACAAAUAUGAUUGAACUCUUAAAUGGCAGAGAAUUGAGUUGUGAGACUGCAGGGGCAUGAUCUAUACACCAAAACUGCUUCAUUAAUCUACAGUUGUUUUAGUCAUAUAGUAUCCAUUGUAAUGUGUCAGUCUUUAAUUAUUAUUUUCUCUGCCUGUGCAAGUUUCACUAUUCCAAAUGUUGUGAUUUGGAGUCAUCCUGCUGACGGAGUGUUUUGUGAUGGAUGGAGUUCACCAGAUCGCAGUCGAUAGCAUUGAUCUUGUAAUUGAUGCAGAAAUCCGACACUUGAUUAACCCAAGUAUAACGAGAGCUGGAUUGUUGUGGCUUUCAGCCAUUAGAUGGGUAGGGGGUGUUUGAACACUAAGGAACCAUUCCAGAUGCAACCAAAGUGGUGAAUGUUCUAACACAGAAUCACCAAUCCCGAGGAACCAGUGAUACAUUGUCAUUUAUUUCAUUCUUUGUGCUAACAGGACAAUCCAAAAUGCUUUCUAUCUGUUAUUAUCCUAUACAUAGUUACUAUCCUAAAAAUAGUCUGAUCAACACCUGUCCCUCCAUUUCCUGUUAAAGAUGCAGAUGAAUCUUUGAGAUGGUACUUGUGCGCUAAUAACAAAAUACUAAACUUCCCAACUCCAAACACAUCGUAUUUCUAGUCUUUUUGGCUAUAUUGUUCCAAUCUCUGGCAGUAAAAUGGAUACUUGGUGUCAAUGGGAUAAACAGAGAGAUUAGGAUUAACAUGUUAAGUAGUAGCUAGUUUAUUCCACUACCUUCGAAUGCUGGACUUCGUUACCCUAGCAGGGCAGAAAGAUAAAAAUCUAAUCUUGCAAUCAGCCCUCUUUACUUAACGGGUUAAUGUUAGGGCUUUCUUCAAUAAACCGGCAACUGUGGAAAACUGGCAACAGUGAAUCCCAAAUAGCCAAAUUACAGUGGGGUUACUGGAGAAUUUGUCCUAUUCAGUUUCUUUGACUUAAAAUGUAAAAUUCUCUAGUCAGUUCCCCACAAUUCCUAGUGAAUAAGCGUAUAUAGUAAACUCUACCAUAUAGUGUAAGCUCCUCGGCACUCGCAGUGUUAAUGCUUUGAUUGAUUUCAGAGCAUAUUGAUCUCCCCUGAGCCAUUUAAAGAGUUAAACUGCCAUGGAGAUGAGUGUCUGUUAUUAAGAGGAAGCACCCUGGAGGGGAGACCCUGAUGAGAGCAUUUGCAGGAAAUCAAUAGGGAGAAGAAAUGAGUAUUAAGGCUCAGAAUAUCAAGGAUUUGAAAAGGAGGCAUUAAUUGUCCAGUGAAAAGAGAUAUGCUCGUCAUUUGUCACAUGCAGCCUGGCCAUAUUGUAUCCGUUCCAGGGUUCUGGUGGGGUACAUGGCUCUCAUAGUAAUCACAAAUCAGCUCUCUUUAUUCCUAAGAAAAGGCUUCAUAAUUAUUCUUAUUAAUAAAUGAAACCCUGUAACCCUUUUAAAAGUUGAUAUGCCCUAAAUUUAGCACUAAAACUUGCAAAAAAAGGUGAAACCUGCCUUCCAUGCUUCUUCAUGAGUGUUAGUACACCUGGAAAGAUACCCUCGCACUAUAUUAAGAGGGCUGGCCAACACGAUUGGCAGUGAAUACCUCCCAGACGGACAUAUCUAUUGUCCGGGUGGGUCUGUCACCGGUCCACCUUCUUUUGACCUGCCCUCCAGCAUCCCUGUUUACUGGAUGCCAUUGUUGGACACAUACUAUUACUCAUACAGGCAUGUAACAAUACACCUACAGACAAACUGGUACUGACUUGCCUCUUCGGCCCCACUUGUGACACAUGCCUGCUCUUAUCAUUUAUGUCCUUUUUGCAGUCCCUUUUGUACAUAAAUCAGGCCAUUAUCAUUCUGCAUCAUAAUAAAUUGGCAUCCAUUGACUGCCAAUCCUAUGUAAAGUGCUGUUAGUGCACACAGCAAAUUAUGAGCAGCCUGGGGGAAUUUUUACCUCUGAUCGGUCAUGCGGCUCCUUGAAGUGGAGGCCCAAGUCUGGUGCUCUGCUGACCAAAGUUCAGGCCUGUCUACAGUAUUUCGUGGAGGGGGGAGUCAAUGUGCACUGUUAUGUUCCAGUCAAACUGGCCAUCCCUCUCGUACACAUAUUAGAGUGAGUAGAGUGUCACAAUCAUUGGUUGAAAUGCAGACCUUCUAAUAAACAAGUAGACUUAGGGACCCCUUCAGGUAGGUGCAUCUUGCAAUCAAUACAUUUGCUGUCAAUUUUGAGUACAAUAUACAAUCCUUUGAAGGAUUCUCUUUAAAUGUUCAUUAUAAAAGCAGAUACAAUAAGGUACCUGGGGCUGGCUCAGUGUAAUCCCAGUGACAUACUGCAGGGAUUAAUCAGACUGGAAUCAUUUACAUAUUGAUUUUUAUUCUGGACGGUAUCAUUCGCCGUUGUUUAUCAACAUAAUCCCUCUUUCUACUUUCUCGUUACCUCAUUUGUUCCCUCCCUGCAAGAAUUUCUUUCUGAGUAUCAGCAAAUAUUUACAAAGAGAUUUGCAUCCAGCGCUGUUUACUCAGCGAGCGGAGGUAAUCAACGUGUUUCAUUUCACCGUGCCUGAGAAACGAUGGUUUAUAUACUCCUAUUAAACACAGUUAAUGUUUACUCGAGAACUGAUUAGUUGGAUUAUAGGUGCGGCUGACAGCGUGAGGAGGAAGAUUGUAAAUCUGGCAAAACAAUAAGAAAAACCUCUAGUUACUAACAACAUUUCCAGUUUCCUAUUUAAUGGCUAAACAUGUUGUGCACAGCCUCUCCCAUUUAACCCUCACUUUCCCUUCUCAUUAUGAAUUCUUCACCCCUAGCAUCCGACAUCUUGGAAUCCUGUCUUCUCUCCGACAAACAUAUCAUCUAAUCCUUCCAUCAACCGUUUCAACCACCAUCCACUAAUCUCUCUCCAUCUAAUAAAACAUUAAAAUGCUAAAAUUCACCCAAAAAAUUAAAAAUACUCCCUCAUUAUUACUAAACAUGAAUACUGUAAUCUAAUACUCCCUCAUUAUUACUCAACAUGAAUACUGUAAUCUAAUACUACCUCAUUAUUACUAAACAUGAAUACUGUAAUCUAAUACUACCUCAUUAUUACUAAACAUGAAUACUGUACUCUAAUACUCCCUCAUUAUUACUAAACAUGAAUACUGUAAUCUAAUACUCCCUCAUUAUUACUAAACAUGAAUACUGUAAUCUAAUACUACCUCAUUAUUACUAAACAUGAAUACUGUAAUCUAAUACUCCCUCAUUAUUACUAAACAUGAAUACUGUACUCUAAUACUCCCUCAUUAUUACUAAACAUGAAUACUGUAAUCUAAUACUCCCUCAUUAUUACUCAGCAUGCAUACUGUAAUACUGUAAUCUAAUACUCCCUCAUUAUUACUAAACAUGCAUACUGUAAUCUAAUACUACCUCAUUAUUACUAAACAUGAAUACUGUAAUCUAAUACUCCCUCAUUAUUACUAAACAUGAAUACUGUAAUCUAAUACUACCUCAUUAUUACUAAACAUGAAUACUGUACUCUAAUACUCCCUCAUUAUUACUAAACAUGAAUACUGUAAUCUAAUACUACCUCAUUAUUACUAAACAUGCAUACUGUAAUCUAAUACUCCCUCAUUAUUACUAAACAUGAAUACUGUAAUCUAAUACUCCCUCAUUAUUACUAAACAUGAAUACUGUAAUCUAAUACUACCUCAUUAUUACUAAACAUGAAUACUGUAAUCUAAUACUCCCUCAUUAUUACUAAACAUGAAUACUGUACUCUAAUACUCCCUCAUUAUUACUAAACAUGAAUACUGUAAUCUAAUACUCCCUCAUUAUUACUAAACAUGAAUACUGUAAUCUAAUACUACCUCAUUAUUACUAAACAUGAAUACUGUACUCUAAUACUACCUCAUUAUUACUAAACAUGAAUACUGUAAUCUAAUACUACCUCAUUAUUACUAAACAUGCAUACUGUAAUCUAAUACUCCCUCAUUAUUACUCAGCAUGAAUACUGUAAUCUAAUACUACCUCAUUAUUACUAAACAUGAAUACUGUAAUCUAAUACUACCUCAUUAUUACUAAACAUGAAUACUGUACUCUAAUACUCCCUCAUUAUUACUAAACAUGAAUACUGUAAUCUAAUACUCCCUCAUUAUUACUAAACAUGAAUACUGUAAUCUAAUACUACCUCAUUAUUACUAAACAUGAAUACUGUACUCUAAUACUACCUCAUUAUUACUAAACAUGAAUACUGUAAUCUAAUACUACCUCAUUAUUACUAAACAUGAAUACUGUACUCUAAUACUCCCUCAUUAUUACUAAACAUGAAUACUGUAAUCUAAUACUCCCUCAUUAUUACUAAACAUGAAUACUGUAAUCUAAUACUACCUCAUUAUUACUAAACAUGAAUACUGUACUCUAAUACUCCCUCAUUAUUACUAAACAUGAAUACUGUAAUCUAAUACUACCUCAUUAUUACUAAACAUGCAUACUGUAAUCUAAUACUCCCUCAUUAUUACUCAACAUGCAUACUGUAAUCUAAUACUACCUCAUUAUUACUCAACAUGCAUACUGUAAUCUAAUACUCCCUCAUUAUUACUAAACAUGCAUACUUUAAUCUAAUACUCCCUCAUUAUUACUAAACAUGAAUACUGUAAUCUAAUACUACCUCAUUAUUACUAAACAUGCAUACUGUAAUCUAAUACUCCCUCAUUAUUACUAAACAUGAAUACUGUAAUCUAAUACUCCUUCAUUAUUACUAAACAUGAAUACUGUAAUCUAAUACUACCUCAUUAUUACUCAACAUGCAUACUGUAAUCUAAUACUCCCUCAUUAUUACUAAACAUGAAUACUGUAAUCUAAUACUACCUCAUUAUUACUCAACAUGCAUACUGUAAUCUAAUACUCCCUCAUUAUUACUCAACAUGCAUACUGUAAUCUAAUACUCCUUCAUUAUUACUAAACAUGAAUACUGUAAUCUAAUACUACCUCAUUAUUACUAAACAUGCAUACUGUAAUACUGUAAUCUAAUACUCCCUCAUUAUUACUAAACAUGCAUACUGUAAUCUAAUACUCCCUCAUUAUUACUAAACAUGCAUACUGUAAUCUCAUACUCCCUCAUUAUUACUCAACAUGCAUACUGUAAUCUCAUACUCCCUCAUUAUUACUAAACAUGCAUACUGUAAUCUAAUACUACCUCAUUAUUACUAAACAUGCAUACUGUAAUCUAAUACACCCUCAUUAUUACUCAACAUGCAUACUGUAAUCUAAUACUCCCUCAUUAUUACUCAACAUGCAUACUGUAAUCUCAUACUACCUCAUUAUUACUCAACAUGAAUACUGUAAUCUCAUACUCCCUCAUUAUUACUCAACAUGCAUACUGUAAUCUAAUACUACCUCAUUAUUACUAAACAUGAAUACUGUAAUCUAAUACUACCUCAUUAUUACUAAACAUGCAUAAUGUAAUCUAAUACCACCUCAUUAUUACUCAACAUGCAUACUGUAAUCUAAUACUCCCUCAUCAUUACUAGGUAUAAUUUACUGUAAUCUAAUACUACCUCAUUAUUACUCGGCAUGAAUACUGUAAUCUAAUACUAUCUCAUCAUUACUAGGAAUGAAUACUGUAAUGUAAUGCUACCUCAUCAUCACUAGGAAUGCCUAGUGUAAUAUAAUACCACCUCAUCAUUACUAGGUAUAAUUUACUGUAAUCUAAUACUCCCUCAUUAUUACUAGGUAUAAUUUAUUGUAAUCUAAUACUCCCUCAUUAUUACUCGGCAUGAAUACUGUAAUCUAAGCAGUAUCAUGUUUUCUUAUCAUUACUAGGCAUGAAUACUGAAAUCUAAUACUCCCUUAUUAUUACUAGGCAUGAAUACUGUAAUCUUAAUACUCUAUGAUCGUUACUAGACAAAAUGCUGCAGUCUAAUUAAUACGCUGUCACUACUAAUCUAAUACCCCCUCACUGUUACAAUGCAUUACUACUGCAGUAUCAUGCUUUCUUAUCAUUACUAGGCAUGAAUAUCGUAAUAUAUUACUCCCUGAAAUUCACAAAGCUUGAAUUACUGCAGCUCAAGGCUUCUUUAUGUUUAUUAGACAUCGCAAUGCCAAUCUCACACUUCAUUCAUUACUAGACAUGACUAUGCCAAUCUCACACUUCAUUCAUUACUAGACGUGACUGUACCAAUCUCACACUUUGUUCAUUACUAGACAUGACAAUGCCAAUCUCACACAUUGUUCAUUACUAAACAUGGCAAUGCCAGUCUCACACUUUGUUCAUUACUAGACAUGACGUUGCCAAUCUCACACUUUGUUUAUUACUAAUCAUGACUAUUCUAAUCCCACGCUUCCUCAUCAUUACUAGACAUGACAAUGCCAAUCUCACGCUUUAUUCAUUACUGGACAUUUAUUUAUUUAUAAAAUAUUUUACCAGGAAAGAUACAUUGAGAUUAAUCUCGUUUUUAAUGUCAUAGGUCCACAAAACAUUGAAUUGAUACAGUAGGGUACAAUAAAAUACAAAAACAAUAUUAAUACACAAUAUAUACAAAAUGUAACAUAGAACAGGUAGGAAAUAUAUUAUCAACCAUGACAGGUGCAUUCUGUUUAGAGGUAUGUAGAGAGGGAUCUCUUAAAGGACUUUAGGCUUGGGGAAGAUUUGAAAGUGUGCGGGAGGUUGUUCCAUAAUUGCGGUGCUCUGUAGGAAAAUGAGGAUCGGGCUGCUUUCUUUUUGUAUUGAGGUAGACUAAAUAAAGUGCUGGUACUGGAUCGGAGGUUAUAGGAAGUGGGAACAGCUGGGGAGAGCACUCAGGUAGGGUGGGAGCUUCCCAGAAAAGCUCUUAAACACAAGGCUGGAAAGAUUAAGUGUACUAGACAUGACAGUGCCAAUCUUACACUUUGUUCAUUAGUAGACAUGACAAUGCCAAUCUCACACUUUGUUUAUUGUAAAACAUGACAAUGCCAAUCUCACACUUCAUUCAUUACUAGACAUGACAGUGCCAAUCUCACACUUUGUUUAUUAUAAAACAUGACUGUGCCAAUCUCACACUUUGUUUAUUAUAAAACAUGACUGUGCCAAUCUCAUGCUUCCUUGUUGUUACUAGACAUAACUUUUCCAAUCUCAUGCUUCAUUCAUUGCAAGGUCACUUCACCAAAUUCUAAAUGCAUGUGUACCCUUCUAAAUCUGCUGUUGUCCUUUUAUAAAAACCCCACACACCACAGAGUGAUUUUUAAACUCCUUGCUGAAAAUGAUCUGUAACCUUCCUAUCUCUCUAUGAUUGCCCUGCUUUAAACGUAAACACCUCCACAACCCUGCCUUCACCACUUCCUUGCUCAGUUCAUCCUUCAUCUGAACCAAGCUACCCAAUCAUCUUGUGCCACCUGCCUCGCCAUUUACUCACUCCUGAAAUCCCAGCUAUUCACUAACACUUUCCUUGACCUUCCAUAGUUCCAUUCUCUUCCCAAGCUUCUGAUUAUCAGUGCCCAUCAGACCAUCCUGCUCAUAUCAAUUCACUGAAUUCUCCCAUUAUUGUCUGUACCCCACCAGUGCACUUUAUCUUUUCUUCCCCCUAUUAAAAUGUCCACCUGUCUGUCUGUCUGUAUGUCUGUCUAAACAGCGGAAUAGAGCAACAGAAUAUAAUCAAGCCUGUUCUCUCCAUGUCUGCCAACAUUAGGACUAUAUUCAACUCCAUGUAGUGCUCACAGAGAGACUUAUUUUUCAGUCUCUCACAUUACAAUUAUUAUACAUAAUGUCCCCAGCUGGUUUCUUCUCUGUUGUUUGCUGGUAAUGUGUUUUUCUCCAGAGAGAGAGACCAUUUUCUAUUUCACUUGCUGUAAGAAGAGUGUUGUGUGCUGGGAGGCAUUUUCUCCAGAUUACACACUCGGUUAGUAAAAUAUAGCUCUGCCGUGUUGGCUUCUCGGGGUACGUUUGGUAUUACUGCUGGCGAGGUUUUCCAGUGACCUUUCUCUAGUUGUUUUUCACAAGUUAUGUUCAUGUAAGUUUAGAUUUAAAAUACCCGUUUUGUAAGAAACCGGUCCAUAAUAAAAUGAAAUGGCCAUAAUGGAAUAUCGAUGUUUAAAGAUUCUUAGCAUUUCUUUACAGUAUGAAAAAUAACAGUUUGGUGCUGCAUCGCUGUAUAGCAAAAUAAUCUGUUUAUUAAUAAUCUUGCAAUGGACAUUGAAAGUCAUGUGUCAGUGUUUGCAGAUAACACAAAGCUUGAUGAGGGGAUAUAGUGAGAGCAGGUUAUUGCAUAGCUGCAGGUGGACUUGGAUACAUUAAGGGAUUGGGCAGACAAUCAGCAGGUGAGGUUUAGUGUAGAUUAAUGCACUUUGGGUCAAGUAAUGCACAAGCAACGUAUACUUAAAUGAGGACAGGUAGCAGUUGCUGAUACCAGUAAGGUAUCGUCAAGCAUAAAAAUGAGUAUUAAUCAACAAGAAAAAUAUAUAAUCCUGCCUCUUUAUAGAUCAAAGACCCCUCUUUGAAUAUGUGCUAUAAUUCUGGCCACAUGUUUAAAAGAAUGGUGUUACAAAAGUUGAAACAGUGCAGAGGUGGGCUAUAAAUUUAAUACGGGGAAUGGACAAUUUGAAAUGUGGUGAUUUUGCUGCAAAAUGGGGGGAAAAAAUCCUUCUUGAUAUCAAAGUGGAAAUCAGAUUUCUCCUUAUAUACGCAAUCUGUUCCCCCGCACAUGAAUUUAUCUGAUAAAACAAGCUCUUUAGACACACACUUGUGCACCUUCAUUGUUCUUACCAUAAAGAACAAUGUCUUCUGUCAACACAAAACUUUCCUUUCUCUGUUCACCUACUUUUGGAUUAUCAGCAAAAACAGUCAUGAGAAAUGCUAAACUCGAUGGACUUGAAUCUUUUUUCAGAAGAUAUCACUAUGUAAAAUGUGGAGGAAGUUGCCAACACAAGUCAAUCUUGUGCACCUUAGUGGUUAUGGUCCGAGGAGUCCUCUGGUUCUAUUGCGCAGUUUUCAUAUGGUUUGACACUGAUGCCAUCCUCCAGUUUCUGAAUAGUUUGACAUUUUCCUGGCCCCUCUGUACACAGGCCCCUCUUUAGAUAUUGCUGAAGCUGAACUUUGUACUUCCACAUUAAUGAAAUCUAUUUUUCCUGUUUUGUUCAAUGAAUAAAGUACUCUAUAACAAUCCUGCUUUCAUGAGGGGGAUUCCUUUUAAAUGAAUGGCACAAGGAAACUAGCAGGGCUACUUACUAAAGUGUGAGUUGUUGAGAAAUUAAAGUGAAUUUCAAAGGUUAGGCAAAGGUAGCAGAAAUCAUAGCUGAUAUGGAUAAGUAUUUUUAUUGAAAUUUUAAAUUCACUUUCCAUUUGAAUUCAUGACAAGUCACACUUUACUGAUAAACUGUGGACAAAAUGUGUCGAUUUGGUAAUAAAAAACCUUAAACCGGACUGUAGUCUCAUCUUCCUAAAUGUUGCAAUUCUGGUUUCAGUUUGUGACAAUGAGUUUUUUCGGGAAUAAACUCCCCUUUAUGGGACACCUGUGAGCAGAAUGUUGUGUUUUAUUGUCACUGCGGCUGUGUUCCUGGUUCAGUGAUUUGCAAAGUGAUUCGUAUAAUAUGGAUGGAAAUAAACCGCUUUGUGUGACGCUAUUAGCACGGUUUUUGUGCAGUGUGUUACAUAGUUACAUAGUUUCAUAGCUGAAAAGAGACUUGCGCCCAUCAAGUUCAGCCUUCCUCACAUAUGUGUUGCUGUUGAUCCAAAAGAAGGCAAAAAAACUAGUCUGAAGCGCUUCCAAUUUUGCCACAAACUAGGAACAAAAUUCCUUCUUGACCCCAAAAUAGCAGUCAGAUGUCUCCUUGGAUCAAGCAGCUAUUACCCCACUAAUUAGAAAUUAUAUCCCUGUAUGUUAUGUUUUUGUAAGUAUUUAUCCAAUUGCAGUUUAAACAUCUGUAGUGACUCUGACAAAACCACCUCUUCAGGCAGAGAAUUCCACAUCCUUAUUGCUCUAACUGUAAAAAAAAACCUUUUCUUUGCCUUAGAUGAAAUCUCCUUUGUUCCAGCCUAAAUGUGUGACUUUGUGUCCUAUGUAUAGCCCUGUUUAUGAAUAGAUUUCCAGAUAAAGGUGUGUGCUGGCCCCGAAUAUAUUUUUAUAAAGUUAUCAUAUCCCCUCUUAGGCGCCUUCUUUCCAAACUAAACAGAUUUCAUUUUUUAACCUUUCUUCAUAACUAAAAUGCUCCAUUCCUUUUAUCAAUUUUGGAGCUUGUCUCUGGACUUUUUCUAGUGCCAUGAUAUCUUUCUUUAGAACAGGUGCCCAAAAGUGCACAGCAUAUUCAAGGUGUGAUCUUACCAGCUAUUUAUAAAGAGGCAAAAUUAUAUUUUCAUCCCGAGAAUUUAUGCCCCUAUUUAUACAUGACAAAAUCUUACUGGCCUUAGCAACUGCAUAUUGCUGCCUAAUUUGUUAUCUAUAACAAUUCCCAAAUCCUUCUUGUGUGUGGUUAUCCCUAAUUCACUACCAUUUAGUGUGUAAGUUGCUUGUGCAUUCUUAACCCCGAAGUGCAUAACUUUGCAUUUCUCUACGUUAAAUUUCAUCUGCCAUUUUAGUGCCCAGUCCCCCAAUCUAUCCAAAUCCCUCUGCAGCAAAGCAAUGUCCUGCUCACAUUUUAAUACUUUGCAAAGUUUUGUGUCAUCUGCAAACACUAAAACAUGGCUAUCAAUAAUUAUUUCAUGAUCAUUUAUAAAUAUGUUAAAUAGAAGCGGUCCCAAAACAGAACUCUGAGGGACACCACUUACCACUUUUGUCCAGCCUGAAAAUGUACCAUUAAUUACAACUCGUUGUACUCUAUCCUUAAGCCAAUGUUCUACCCAAGAUCAAGAAUAUUCAUCUAGACCAAUUUCUUUUGUGUUCCUAAAGCAAAGGUACAGUUAUUUUUGUAUUCAUUUAAAUGAAACAGCUGCAUGCUCCAAUUAGGUUUAAUUGACGUUUUUUCCUCCCUAUUAUAGGAUAAUGCCAGAUUAUAUGCUCGGAGGAUUUGAUAGGCUGAUGAUUAUAUUUGUGAUUUAGCUUCCUUGUUUCUGGCAGAGAGUACAGUGCUCCAGCAUUGCUUUGAUGAAGAAGUCUUUGUAUCCACUGAGUGGUGGGGUAUUUGUUAUAUGCUGGGUUCUCUGUGUAGGGCUUAGGAAGGUGUAUUAACUAACCUGUUAAAGGGACAAGUAAUAAAACUAAGCCGUUUCUGUGUAUAGAUUUUGUCCCUGCAGUCUCACCUCUCAAUUUUCUGCCGUUUAGUUCACUUUUGUUUCUGUUUAUGCUGACUUAGCCGCACCUCCCCUCGGUGUGACUCAUGCAACCUGCAUGAAAACAUUGUUUCAUUUUCAAUCAGAUCUCACAACACAGUGUGUUUACUUUAGAAGUUCUACUCUUUAGAACGUCCUUCUCUGUUAAUUGAACUUUAAUCACAUACAUGGGCUAUUGGAGGCUCUGCAAUUUCUCACCAAGGCCAAGUUCUUCCUGCAAGGGGAGUGACAUCCCUAAUGCCUGGCUGAUGGUGGGGACCCCAUGACACUAUUGACCAUACAUUGUUUGCAUGGUAUGUGUGCGAAAUGCAGACACCUUUAAUGCACAGUUUUAACGUUAUCAGAUUAAAUAUCUUGUUCCUGGCUACUAGUGAACCUGUGAGAGGUACACGUAUCAAAGCAAAGUGCAUUAUAUCUGUAUGUGUAAUUUUUCUUUCUGCACAUGCAGAGUUAAAGCACCAUAACCACUUCAAAGCACUGUGACUACUUAAGUGGUCAUAGAGUUUGUAGUAAUUAAUUUACCCCAUAAAAACAGCUCCAUAAACAUUGUCCAGUUCAGUUAUCUUACAAUAAACAUAUUUUUUUCCCCCUUAAUUCUCAUGCUGUAGUGAAUAAGCUACUGAGUAGUUUCCACAGCAGGAGAGGAUGAAUCCUUCGCUACCCAGUUAUUGAUGAACGACAUCUCUCUUUAUGUUUCCAACCACAACCUGCUCACCAAAAGCUGAGUGGACAAUACAGGGGCCAGAAUGUUAUGUUUUAUUAAUAUAAUAUCGAAAUUGAGGAAGCGACCAGCCUAAAGAAAAAAAAACGGAAAUGAUCCAUUUUUUAGAUUUGUGAAUUUAUGACCUUCUGUCAUAUUUGAUUAAUUGAAUAUUUUUUAUUUAUAGUAUUUUACUUUUGAUAAACAGUAAGAUAAUCAUCCAGUUUCAUGAUUGUUCUUCCGGCUUCCGCAGCGCUGAGAUUCUAGAAUAUCUGGUUCCGAGCCUGAAUGAGAAUCUAGAAUGUCUGGUGCUGGAAGCAUUUGUGAUAAAUGAUUGUCACAAAACAAUAGAGAGAGAAUGGAUUGUAAUUACAGGACGCUCCAUCAAAGCUUUUUAAUAAUUAUAAGCCCUUAAACCAAAUAUUAUCUCUUGGUUUUAAAUGCGCAGAAAAAUUGCUCUCAUUUGUCUAUAAUGAAACAUUUAAUGAAUCACAAAUUGUUUUAAUUAAGUCAAAAACACAUAUUUGAUACAUUGUUUCUGAUGUAUGAAUCUGUAUUAAUAUAAUUAGGAGAAACAUGCCUUGAAGUAGCUGGGAAAUGCUCCCAAUGAUCAUUCCGCUCCAGUAACACUUCAUAUAUAUUGCUAAAUAUACUGAAUAAUCAUGGGGGCUAUAUACUAACCAGAGAACUUGCGGCAUUGACCUGCACAGGGAGGUAUGCUGCGUGUAUAUAGUGUCCGCACACCUGAGCUACAUAUAGAAUAUAUGAAGGUAUUUAGUAAGAAACCGUGAACUUAUGGAAUAAGCACAUAACUAAAGUGUCUAAAUGGAUAUAGUCACAUCAUAUGAAAAACCUUAGCAUAUAAGGAGUUAAAGGGCUUUAUGUGUGAAGAGUGUGUCCUCUUUUAAUUUUACAAAAAGUGUAGAUUUUAAUAGAAACUGGCACUUUUAUAAAUUAACCUGGUUACACCCCCUUAGAUGUCAGUCAGACAACUGGUCCUGUUACUUCCUGGUUUGUUUAGCUCAGUGGAGAUGGCAGCAACUACCAACUGCCAAGAGCACCUGCCUUGCAAUGACUUCUCAUUGAGCUCCAUUGAAUAGUCUGUGAUUGGACAGCCACAGAAGGUCUAGUUAAUUAAUUGUGGGUACAUUUACUAAGAAGUGAUUGUUAUUUAUUUGGGCUGAAACAGGUUUCUCAUCUGCCACUUCUUCCAGGCUGACCAUUACCCCAAACCUUCCAGGUUCGCCAGUCCUCACCCUGUGAUAUAUGAUGACCCUGUUGUUUUUUUAUUGUUUUUAUUCUUAACCAAAUAUUUCCUAUUUUUCUUAAUAAUUAUUAUUGCUGUUACAGGUGUUUAUAAAGUGCCAACGUAUCCGCAGCGCUGUGCAAAUAAUUGUACAAUAUACACAGACCAAUAGUAAAGAGGGUCCUCCAUGUAAGCUCAGAUCUAGCCAUUGAAGCUCUUAUAUACAAAGUACUCUGCUGGAUAGCCUGUGUGCUUACAAUCCAAAGAUUAAAUGGGGAGCUGAGACAAGCGGUAGCAGGAAAAUUUGGAGGCGACAGACAGAGAAUUAUAGGAUAUUUGCAGCUUCUGGAAACAUCGGGAAAGAGGAGUUAAUUGUGUAUGAUGGCAUCCAUAUUGCCCUGAACCUCUAAUAGACUGAACUUCUACUGAUACGUUUGGUCUGCAUUAGUAUCAAUAUGGAUUAAAAAAUUUAGCUUCAAAAGGGCCCGUCGGUUGAGAGACAGGAAUGUUCCUACCCGUGAUUGUAUUCAGAAUAGAGUGGAGAACAGAUCCAUGUAGCAAAAUACCUCUGAGAGGGAGACUGAAAAUGUUUGAAUUACUUGAUUAAUCUCAUCAAUAACUAGACUAUAAAAUCAUUUGAGGACUUACCAUCAAGCCUCAAUGAAAAUGGAAAAGUCGGGCAAUCACAACAGCAACCAACAGAUUCUCCUACUGAUUCCGUUCACUUUUAGCAACUAUUAAUUUAUUUGUGUAAACGUUUACAAUUAAUAAUUAUAGCAUCCUAGCUAUUUCUUAUAUUACAUUACAGAUAUAUAUAUAUUGUUUUACGCACAGAUUGCUCUUAUUGAAUUAUAGAACACAAAUAAUAAUAAUAAUUAUUUAUCUAGCCCUGCCAGGCUUGCCUUCUUUGCAAAUAGUUUUUAAUAAAUAAAAAAAAAGUAGGGAAUAUAUAUAAGGGAUGGGGUACAAAGAUGAAAAAGGGGAAAAUGAGGAAGAAAAUGAUCUCUUCAUCCAAAAUCAUGCAUGCUUAAACUUACAUAUCUAAUAAAUCUAAUAAGAAACUUCUUCAAUGUUAUCAGUAUGUUAAAUUCAUUCCCGGCCUCAGCAUGUUGUAAUUUUCACAUUAAACUUAGUUGCGUAUCAGUAGGGAAAACAUAUCAGCUUUCUGAACGCCAGGAGUAUUGGCCUUUAUAUUGAGACAUUAGAAACAUUCCAGCGUUGCAGCUGCCAAAAGCAAACAUCAACAUCUGCACUAUUGUUCAGUCUGCGGCGUCGUUGGCAAGGAACCGACUCUUAAAUCUCGGCCACGCAGCAGGAGUGCGCAGUUUAUAUUUCCUUGCCAGCAGAGUGCUCACUCAGCAGAUGUUUAACGAGUACAGAAAUAAUAACAAAAAGCACCCGCUAUUGGUUAACAAUGGAAUAUUAACAUAUAUGAUUAUUUUCCAAUACACGCAUGUGCCCUUUGGCUGUAACGGUACAAUUAGAUUUCACUUAAAAGGCACACCCGUGGCCAAUCUGGUAUAAGUUGGUCUGGUAAAGACCAGGCUAAAACACCUCUACUAGAGGCCUGGGAGUCUAAGGGUUCUGUGCAGUAUCUUAGCUGUUCCUAGAACUGCACUCUUCUGGACAGGGAUCUCAGAUGUCCCAUCUGGAAUCUGCUGAAGCCACUUCCCCAACUUCGGGUGUCACAGCCCAAUAUGCUCCUGUCACAACUGGGACUACUAUUGCCUUCACUUUCCACAUCCUUUCUAGCUCUUCUUUCAGUCCUUGGUAUUUGUCCAUCUUCUCAUGUUCCUUCUUCCUGAUGUAAUAGUGACUGGGUAUUGCCACAUCUACCACGACUACAGUCUACUGUGCUUGUCUACCAUCACGUUGUCAGGUUGGUUGGCCACAACUUGCUUGUCUGUCUAGAUCUGAAAGUCCCACAGUAUCUUAGCCCUGUCAUUCUCAACUACUCUUUGUGGUAUCUCUCAUCUGGACUUAGGCAGUUUCUGAGUUUUGACAUCUAUGGUGACCAGCUCUUCUCUUGACCAGGUUCCUAUUCCAGCUGGGUACUUGAUAAAUGGUAGGGCAUAUGUGUUGAUGGCUUGGAUCUUACAUGAGACGUCACUUGAAGUAUUGUACGCAGUACUCGAGACCAUAUCUCCAGAAGGAUAUUGCUACUUUAGAGAGAGUUCAGAGAAGGGCUACUAAACUGGUUCAUGGAUUGCAGAUAAAACUUACAAGGAAAGGUUAAAUGAACUUAACAUGUAUAGCUUGGAAGAAAGACGAGACAGGGGGGAUAUGAUAGAAGAGGUUAACACGGUGAAGGAGUUUAAGCAUGCAUGGGAUAGGCAUAAGGCUAUCCUAACUAUAAGAUAAGACCAGGGACUAAUGAAAGUAUUUAGAAAGUUGGGCAGACUAGAUGGGCCGAAUGGUACUUAUCUGCCGUUACAUUCUUUGUUUCUAUGUUGAUGUUCAGUUGUGUUAUUGUCCUUGAAUUGGCUUCUAGAGUUGUUUCCACUUGCCCAUUAAGUUCUUGGUGAAGGCUCUUAUUGUGUUGUUGACCUUGUAUAAAGCUAAGCAUUCAGCACCCAAGUGGCAUUGUUUCAUAGGCUUUCUUGUAGUAAAUCUGGGCUGUGCACAGAUUAGUCUGGUUUUACAAUCCCAUGUGACUGCUUGGUCUACGAGUAGUUGGUGUUUUGAUUCUCUGGUGCGGUUUUCAAUCCUGACUUAUAUGCCCAUCGAACUUGGAGACAAUGAUGCCUGACAGGACAGGCCAUGUUGUGGGGAGGCAGGUGAUUGGUCGAUAGUUAGAUGGUAUUGUUCCUUUGUGAAAGGCCCUUCAUGACCAGUAUUAUUCUGUCUUGUGUUAGCCAGUCAGGGUGGGAACCUGUUGGUAGUUGCUGGUUCGUUUGCUAGGUGGUCAUGUAUAGAUGUUAAUUUGUCUAUCAUGUGUGGAUCAUGUCAGGUCCUGGUGCUAACCAAGUCUUCAUGUGGGCUACUCACUGUUGGAUAUCUCUGGCUGUGAUGGUGACUGGUUCCUGUACUGGGAACAUUUUAGGUCUAGUAGCCACUGAGUCUUGGCUUCUUUUACCUAGGUGUUCUUCCAGUACUGUUCAGUCUCUGCUGUAGGUGGGUCUUGGGAAGUCUUGUGAGUAUGGGAAUUUCUAACCCCUUGUGGCUCAUGUUUGAUGUUUUGUGUAGUCAAUCUAAUUGUCCACUAGCUUCCUCUUGACAAUGUUCAAACGUUGAGUAACUAGCUGUUUUGGUGUUAGGGUAGAUGAAGGUCUCUUGUUUAUCAAUAGUUUCCAUCCGUAGUUGUGUUUCUUGUAGUCUCUCUCAUUGGGUCUACUGUUGUAGUAGCAGUCAAGCAGGCAUAGGUUCUCACUUCGUGCCCAGAAAUAGUUUGCUCCAGUAGCCCACUUGUCAUCAGAUUGCCAUGGUUCCCUAGCAUCUGACGAGGACCUUGUUAAUCUGGGUGAUGUCCAAGCCGACAUAACUCCCUUGGGUCAUGUUAAUCUCAUAUUAUAAGGGUAUAUAUUGUUAGGUAAUGUCACUAAGGCAGUGACAUUACCACUGUGCUAACCAGUGGGCCUAGGGUUGGAUUAGGGCAUGGUAUAGGGCUAGUUUUAAGAGAGGCUUUUAUCAAUAUAUGUGGAAGGGGUCAUUCAAUGACCAUUGGGAUGAGGUGCCUGGUGUUUUUGCCACCUUCUGCACAGACAAAUACAGGUGUGGUGGUGACAUGUAAAACUCUACAAUAUUUGGAAAAAAAAACCAUUCAUAAGUACAAGCAGUAGACAGCAGUCCAUACCCUUGAACCUGCUGUGGACUCCAAUCCAAGAGGACAAUUACAGAAAGCAAGUGGUUUGCAGUACCAAAGCCAGAUUAUAAACAUUGAUAAGACCCAAGUGGUCUGUCUCAUCUGGCAUGAAAACAUACACAGCUUUCAUUGACUCUGUUUCUGUGUUAGAUUUUCCUAUCCCAGGUAACUACUUCCCUUCAUAUGUGACGGAUACAGGCUAUUCCAGGUAUCUACUAUCCUUUCUAUAUCACUGUUAGCCUUUAUUACUUCCACUGGCAGACUGUACCAGGUAUCUAGUAUCUAUUCUAUAUCUCUGUUAGCUUGUACUGCUUCCUCUGGAAGGCCAGUUCAGGUAUCUACUACUCUUUCUAUAUGUCCGUUAGCUUGUACUGCUUCCUCUGGAAGGCCAGUCCAGGUAUCUACAACUCGUUCUAUAUCACUGUUAGCCUUUACUACUUCCACCAGGAAGCUAUUCCAGGUAUCUACUACCCUUUCUAUGUCACUGUUACUGCUCCCACUGGAAGGCUAUUCCAGGUAUCUACUACCCUUUCUAUGUCACUGUUACUGCUCCCACUGGAAGGCUAUUCCAGGUAUCUACUACCCUUUCUAUAUCACUGUUAAUGCUCCCACUGGAAGGCUAUUCCAGGUAUCUACUACCCUUUCUAUAUAACUGUUACUGCUCCCACUGGAAGGCUAUUCCAGGUAUCUACUACUCUUUCUAUAUCACUGUUACUGCUCCCAUUGGAAGGCUAUUCCAGGUAUCUACUACCCUUUCUAUAUCACUGUUACUGCUCCCACUGGAAGGCUAUUCCAGGUAUCUACUACCCUUUAUAUAUCACUGUUACCGCUCCCACUGGAAGGCUAUUCCAGGUAUCUACUACCCUUUCUAUAUCACUGUUACUGCUCCCACUGGAAGGCUAUUCCAGGUAUCUACUACUCUUUCUAUAUCACUGUUAGCCUUUACUACUUCCACCAGGAAGCUAUUCCAGGUAUCUACUAGGCCUUAAAUAGCUCUGUUGCCAUUACUGCUUCCACUGGAAAGCUUUUCCAUAUCAAUGCUGCUGCACUACUUUUCUUUCUACACCCUCUUUUUGUUAGAAAGAGCUACAGUAGUCUUUAAGAACCAAUGAACAUUCAGACAUGCCAUGCUACAGUGAGAUUUGCCUGCCCUUUUGCUCCUUCAGGUCUAAAAGGUACCAGGGAACGUAUGAAUUCAUGGGAUCAUCAUCCUGAUCAAUUUGUAUGGUGUUUACUAGACUUGUGCAAAGAAUCGAUUUGUCUGGGUUUUACCUGAUGAAUCUGAUUAAAUUAAUAGGACUCCACAAGUAAAUCCCAGACAAAACUGUUUUUGAGUGUGAAUUAAAAGGAUUUUGAUUUGAAUGAAAUGGCAGAAGAUUGUUCUGGAUAAAUCUAGUAUUUAUUUAGUAAACAUGUCUCACGUCAGUCCCUAAAUCAGGAUCAGUGCAGGAAGAAGUGUGGAGCUGGAGAAAGUAUAGAGCUGAGCUCCCUGUCAAUCAUUGUUAUAAGCUCCACCCUUUACACCUGGCAGUCAGUAUAGAGAGAACCACCUCCAUCUUAGCUCCCUGUCAAUCAUUGUUAUAAGCUCCACCCAUUACACCUGGCAGUCAGUAUAGAGAGAGCCACCUCCAUCUUAGCUCCCUGUCAAUCAUUGUUAUAAGCUCCGCCCUUUACACCUGGCAGUCAGUAUAGAGAGAGCCGCCUCCAUCUUAGCUCCCUGUCAAUCAUUGUUAUAAGCUCCGCCCUUUACACCUGGCAGUCAGUAUAGAGAGAGCCGCCUCCAUCUUAGCUCCCUGUCAAUCAUUGUUAUAAGCUCCGCCCUUUACACCUGGCAGUCAGUAUAGAGAGAGCCACCUCCAUCUUAGCUCCCUGUCAAUCAUUGUUAUAAGCUCCGCCCUUUACACCUGGCAGUCAGUAUAGAGAGAGCCGCCUCCAUCUUAGCUCCCUGUUAAUCAUUGUUAUAAGCUCCGCCCUUUACACCUGGCAGUCAGUAUAGAGAGAGCCCCCUCCAUCUUAGCUCCCUGUCAAUCAUUGUUAUAAGCUCCGCCCAUUACACCUGGCAGUCAGUAUAGAGAGAGCCACCUCCAUCUUAGCUCCCUGUCAAUCAUUGUUAUAAGCUCCGCCCUUUACACCUGGCAGUCAGUAUAGAGAGAGCCGCCUCCAUCUUAGCUCCCUGUCAAUCAUUGUUAUAAGCUCCGCCCUUUACACCUGGCAGUCAGUAUAGAGAGAGCCACCUCCAUCUUAGCUCCCUGUCAAUCAUUGUUAUAAGCUCCUUUACACCUUUACAUCUGCUGCAGCAGUCAGCAUAGUAGAGAGAGCCACCUCCAUCUUAGCUCCCUGUCAAUCAUUGUUAUAAGCUCCGCCCUUUACACCUGGCAGUCAGUAUAGAGAGAGCCACCUCCAUCUUAGCUCCCUGUCAAUCAUUGUUAUAAGCUCCGCCCUUUACACCUGGCAGUCAGUAUAGAGAGAGCCACCUCCAUCUUAGCUCCCUGUCAAUCAUUGUUAUAAGCUCCGCCCUUUACACCUGGCAGUCAGUAUAGAGAGAGCCACCUCCAUCUUAGCUCCCUGUCAAUCAUUGUUAUAAGCUCCGCCCUUUACACCUGGCAGUCAGUAUAGAGAGCCACCUCCAUCUUAGCUCCCUGUCAAUCAUUGUUAUAAGCUCCUCGGCCAUUGGCACUCUGGGUGCCAAGUAUGUGAGAGAUCUGCCUACCUUAGCCUCCCUGUCAAUCAUUGUUAUGUUUCUCCGCCUAUUGGCACCUGGCACAAGUAUGAGAGAGCCGCCCAUUCCUUUGUAGCUCCCUGUCAAUCAUUGUUAUUAGCUCCGCCCUUUACACCUGGCAGUCAGUAUAGAGCCGCCUCCAUCUUAGCUCCCUGUCAAUCAUUGUUAUAAGCUCCGCCUUUUACACCUGGCAGUCAGUAUAGAGAGAGCCACCUCCAUCUUAGCUCCCUGUCAAUCAUUGCUAUAAGCUCCGCCCUUUACACCUGGCAGUCAGUAUAGAGAGAGCCACCUCCAUCUUAGCUCCCUGUCAAUCAUUGUUAUAAGCUCCGCCCUUUACACCUGGCAGUCAGUAUAGAGAGAGAACCACCUCCAUCUUAGCUCCCUGUCAAUCAUUGUUAUAAACUCUGCCCUUUACACCUGGCAGUCAGUAUAGAGAGAGCCACCUCCAUCUUAGCUCCCUGUCAAUCAUUGUCAUAAGCUCCGCCCUUUACACCUGGCAGUCAGCAUAGAGAGAGCCACCUCCAUCUUAGCUCCCUGUCAAUCAUUGUUAUAAGCCCCGCCCUUUACACCUGACAGUAUAGAGAGAGCCACCCCAUCUUAGCUCCCUGUCAAUCAUUGUUAUAAGCUCCGCCCUUUACACCUGGCAGUCAGCAUAGAGAGAGCCGCCUCCAUCUUAGCUCCCGUCAGUCAUUGUUAUAAGCUCCACCCUUACACCUGGUGUCAGUAUAGAGAGAGCCACCUCCAUCUUAGCUCCUUGUCAAUCAUUGUUAUAAGCUCCGCCUUUUACACCUGGCAGUCAGUAUAGAGAGAGCCGCCUCCAUCUUAGCUCCCUGUCAAUCAUUGUUAUAAGCUCCGCCUUUUACACCUGGCAGUCAGUAUAGAGAGAGCCGCCUCCAUCUUAGCUCCCCGUCAAUCAUUGUUAUAAGCUCCGCCUUUUACACCUGGCAGUCAGUAUAGAGAGAGCCGCCUCCAUCUUAGCUCCCUGUCAAUCAUUGUUAUAAGCUCCGCCCUUUACACCUGGCAGUCAGUAUAGAGAGAGCUACCUCCAUCUUAGCUCCCUGUCAAUCAUUGUUAUAAGCUCUGCCCAUUACACCUGGCAGUCAGUAUAGAGAGAGCCACCUCCAUCUUAGCUCCCUGUCAGUCAUUGUUAUAAGCUCCGCCCUUUACACCUGGCAGUCAGUAUAGAGAGAGCCACCUCCAUCUUUGCUCCAUGUCAAUCAUUGUUAUAAGCUCCGCCCUUUAUACCUGGCAGUCAGUAUAGAGAGCCACCUCCAUCUUAGCUCCCUGUCAAUCAUUGUUAUAAGCUCCGCCCUUUACACCUGGCAGUCAGUAUAGAGAGAGCCGCCUCCAUCUUAGCUCCCUGUCAAUCAUUGUUAUAAGCUCCGCCCUUUACACCUGGCAGUCAGUAUAGAGCCACCUCCAUCUUAGCUCCCUGUCAAUCAUUGUUAUAAGCUCCGCCCUUUACACCUGGCAGUCAGUAUAGAGAGAGCCACCUCCAUCUUAGCUCCCUGUCAAUCAUUGUUAUAAGCUCCGCCCUUUACACCUGGCAGUCAGAAUAGAGAGAGCCACCUCUAUCUUAGCAUAAAACAAUCAGAAUUUUUCAAUGUUGAAAUCAUUACAAGCUGACUAUACAACUCUCUGUCCUCAGACUAUAGCGUCGGAUCUAGUUUAUGUAACCGUGGGGUGACAUCGUGUCGCUGACACCGGAUCCUGCUGAAAUAGUCCUUAAAGGGACACUCCAUGCACCCAGACCACUUCUGCCCAUUGGAGUGGUCUGGGUGCCAACUGGCACUACCCUUAACCCUGCAAUUGUAAUUAUUGCAGUUUUUAUAAACUGCAAUAAUUACAUUGCAGGGUUAACUCCACCCCUAGUGGCUGCCUACUAGACAGCCACUAGAGGGCACUUCCUGCUUCAUAGCAAAUAUUCUUUUUGCUAGAGUGUCGCUGGACGUCCUGACGCUGUGUGACGACCUCCAGCGUCGCUCAAUUCCCCAUAGGAAAGCAUUGAAAAUAUGCUUUUCUAUGGAGAGACCUAAAGCGCGUGUGCGGCUUUGCCGCGCAUGCGCAUUAGGUUUCCUCAGGCGGCGGGAUCAGUCUCGCCCACCGGCUGACGUAAUUACUCGGAGGAGCGACACUGACCCGAAACCACCACCGAGGGACAUCGGCGGGGUCUCAGGUAAGUGACCUGAAGGGGUUUUCACCCCUUCAGCUACCUGGGAUGGGAGGUGGGAGGGAGAAUGGAUUAUUUUCCUGGCACUGGAAUUUCCCUUUAACACCACUCACAUCUUCAAUGGAUUCUAACUUGGGAACACGGACGGCACUAUACCAUGGUUCAAUACAACGCUAGGCACACUGUCAUAUUAAUACGGGGAGUCGGGGACCAACACUUACCUUUUUAAUGACGAGAUUAUGAAAGAAAAUCAACGAGUUGUGAAUUAGCAGUAUAUACUCCGUGGCACCAUGCUCACAGAUUACCUCAGCCACGUAUGUAACACAUCCAACUGAGGAUGGAUUGGGAUCCGUGGUGGUGAUUUGGGGAUUUAUUUUUGUAUAUAAAAAUAAUUUUUUUCAUACACGUUGGAAUACUCGUGAUCUGACUGUCAGUAUUCAAUUUUAAUGUUUGUAAUCUCCUAAGUAAAUGGAGGUCAGUAUGCACUUAGUACAAAUUAAACCAUUUUAAAACAUCCCUUCUAAAAAGUCUCUGGAUCCUGAUCUUUCUCCACAUAAACGGCUGAGGGCUCUGAGACUGCCGCGUCUCCCGUGGCUUUCUACGGGAGAGAUGUAAUUACCCACAAUCCUCUGCUCAGCGUGCACGACAGCAGAAACCUCCUAUAUUUAUUAAUUCAGAUUAUGCAUCUCUUCAACCCUGGAAACAUGGACCUUAGUGAUGUGUAUGGUCUUGGUCAUAUAUAUAUAUAUAUAUAUAUAUAUAUAUAUAUAUAUACACACACACACACACAAUUUUUCAAAUCACUCUUUUCAGUUAAUUUUUAAACUUAACUAUUUUGUUUGAAGUUUUGUACUUUUGUUCUUAAUUCUCCACUUUAUUAAAUCCUUUUGCCUCUGCAAUAAGUAUCAAUAUUCCAUAUCAAAUCCAUUCCGGGUAUGAACUCUCCCUACGCGCCCUUUACUGGUGACAAUAUUUCAUAUCAAAUCCAUUCCGGGUAUGAACUCUCCCUACGCGCCCUUUACUGGUGACAAUAUUCCAUAUCAAAUCCAUUCCAGGUAUGAACUCUCCCUACGUGCCCUUUACCGGUGACAAUAUUCCAUAUCAAAUCCAUUCCGGGUAUGAACUCUCCCUACGCAACCUUUACCGGUGACAAUAUUCCUUCUCAAAUCCAUUCCAGGUAUGAACUCUCCCUACGCGCCCUUUACUGGUGACAAUAUUCCUUCUCAAAUCCAUUCCAGGUAUGAACUCUCCCUACGCGCCCUUUACUGGUGACAAUAUUCCUUCUCAAAUCCAUUCCAGGUAUGAACUCUCCCUACGCGCCCUUUACCGGUGACAAUAUUCCAUAUCAAAUCCAUUCCGGGUAUGAACUCUCCCUACGCAACCUUUACCGGUGACAAUAUUCCUUCUCAAAUCCAUUCCAGGUAUGAACUCUCCCUACGCGCCCUUUACUGGUGACAAUAUUCCUUCUCAAAUCCAUUCCAGGUAUGAACUCUCCCUACGCGCCCUUUACUGGUGACAAUAUUCCUUCUCAAAUCCAUUCCAGGUAUGAACUCUCCCUACGCGCCCUUUACUGGUGACAAUAUUCCAUCUCAAAUCCAUUCCAGGUAUGAACUCUCCCUACGCGCCCUUUACUGGUGACAAUAUUCCAUAUCAAAUCCAUUCCGGGUAUGAACUCUCCCUACGCACCCUUUACUGGUGACAAUAUUCCUUCUCAAAUACAUUACAGGUAUGAACUCUCCCUACGCGCCCUUUACUGGUGACAAUAUUCCUUCUCAAAUCCAUUCCAGGUAUGAACUCUCCCUACGCGCCCUUUACUGGUGACAAUAUUCCUUCUCAAAUCCAUUCCAGGUAUGAACUCUCCCUACGCGCCCUUUACUGUUGACAAUAUUCCAUAUCAAAUCCAUUCCGGGUAUGAACUCUCCCUACGCGCCCUUUACUGGUGACAAUAUUCCUUCUCAAAUCCAUUCCAGGUAUGAACUCUCCCUAUGUGCCCUUUACUGGUGACAAUAUUUCAUAUCAAAUCCAUUCCAGGUAUGAACUCUCCCUACGCGCCCUUUACUGGUGACAAUAUUCCAUAUCAAAUCCAUUCCAGGUAUGAACUCUCCCUACGCACCCUUUACUGGUGACAAUAUUCCUUCUCAAAUCCAUUCCAGGUAUGAACUCUCCCUACGUGCCCUUUACUGGUGACAAUAUUUCAUAUCAAAUCCAUUCCAGGUAUGAACUCUCCCUACGCGCCCUUUACUGGUGGCAAUAUUCCAUAUCAAAUUCAUUUCAGGUAUGAACUCUCCCUACGCGCCCUUUACUGGUGACAAUAUUCCUUCUCAAAUACAUUACAGGUAUGAACUCUCCCUACGCGCCCUUUACUGGUGACAAUAUUCCUUCUCAAAUCCAUUCCGGGUAUGAACUCUCCCUACGUGCCCUUUACUGUUGACAAUAUUCCAUAUCAAAUCCAUUCAAGGUAUGAACUCUCCCUACGCGCCCUUUACUGGUGGCAAUAUUCCAUAUCAAAUCCAUUCCAGGUAUGAACUCUCCCUACGCACCCUUUACUGGUGACAAUAUUCCUUCUCAAAUCCAUUCCAGGUAUGAACUCUCCCUACGUGCCCUUUACCGGUGACAAUAUUCCAUAUCAAAUCCAUUCCAGGUAUGAACUCUCCCUACGUGCCCUUUACCGGUGACAAUAUUCCAUAUCAAAUCCAUUCCAGGUAUGAACUCUCCCUACGCGCCCUUUACCGGUGACAAUAUUCCAUAUCAAAUCCAUUCCAGGUAUGAACUCUCCCUACGCGCCCUUUACCGGUGACAAUAUUCCAUAUCAAAUCCAUUCCAGGUAUGAACUCUCCCCUCGUGCCUUUACUGGUGACAAUAUUUCAUAUCAAAUCCAUUCCAGGUAUGAACUCUCCCUACACACCUUUACUGGUGACAAUAUUCCUUCUCAAAUACAUUACAGGUAUGAACUCUCACACGCCCUUUACUGGUGACAAUAUUCCUUCUCAAAUCCAUUCCAGGUAUGAACUCUCCCUACGUGCCUUUACUGUUGACAAUAUUCCUUCUCAAAUACAUUCCAGGUAUGAACUCUCCCUACGCGCCCUUUACUGGUGACAAUAUUCCUUCUCAAAUCCAUUCCAGGUAUGAACUCUCCCUACGCGCCCUUUACUGUUGACAAUAUUCCAUAUCAAAUCCAUUCCAGGUAUGAACUCUCCCUACGCACCCUUUACUGGUGACAAUAUUCCUUCUCAAAUCCAUUCCAGGUAUGAACUCUCCCUACGUGCCCUUUACUGGUGACAAUAUUUCAUAUCAAAUCCAUUCCAGGUAUGAACUCUCCCUACGCGCCCUUUACUGGUGGCAAUAUUCCAUAUCAAAUCCAUUCCAGGUAUGAACUCUCCCUACGCGCCCUUUACUGGUGACAAUAUUCCUUCUCAAAUCCAUUACAGGUAUGAACUCUCCCUACGCGCCCUUUACUGGUGACAAUAUUCCUUCUCAAAUCCAUUCCAGGUAUGAACUCUCCCUACGUGCCCUUUACUGUUGACAAUAUUCCAUAUCAAAUCCAUUCCAGGUAUGAACUCUCCCUACGCGCCCUUUACUGGUGGCAAUAUUCCAUAUCAAAUCCAUUCCAGGUAUGAACUCUCCCUACGCGCCCUUUACUGGUGACAAUAUUCCAUAUCAAAUCCAUUCCAGGUAUGAACUCUCCCUACGCGCCCUUUACUGGUGACAAUAUUUGUGAUAAUUGUGAUAAAAUCCAAUUAACUAAUUAAGAAUGAUUGAUUGAUCACUAAUGAGCAAAUUAAUCUAUCAUAGAUAGUUAAGAUAGCACUUGGUUUAAACUGUGUCGCACUAAGAAAUUCGACUUGUGUCGCACUAAGAAAUUCAGCUAUGAUGACAUUGCAUAAAAUGCUUAAACUGUGUCGCACUAAGAAAUUCAACAUUGCCUGGAAUAUUCCAUAGCAUGUCUGGCCAAUAUCCAAAAAGGCCCACGUGCUGAACAGAGGGAAUUGGUGCCAACAAAUGUAUGGAGAGAUAAGAGUAGGGACAUAGAGAGAAUAAGAUACCGCACGUGUCUGGCAUGAGCCUUGGGUGGUCACGACUGGCCUGAUCAACCAUACUGAUUACUUAAUGCGCAUGACAAGAUACAUGCUGGGCUGUCCUGAUAAGAAAUCUUGAAAAAGUUACAAACUUGCUAAAAGGUAUAAAAGACGGAGAAACUUGGCACUCACUUGGAGAACUACCCACCUGUAAUGCGGACGAGUGUUGCUGGUCUCUGCUGUUCCCAGAGAGGGUCCCUCCAUGCCGACUGCCAGAGUUCUCCCCAGUCAAGUGCAGAGGACACAAGCCCCUCUAACGGUGAUGUAUACUUAAGCUGAUAUAUCCGGAUGCUAAGCUGUUUUGAAGUGAAUGCAUGCAACUGCUUAAUGAGAAUUAAGCUUACUCUGUAUUGGGUCCCCUUGUGGACAAUAAAUUGUGGUGUGAAUUCUUAUCUGCAACUUGGUCUCUGUGUGGUUUCUUUUUCCUAUAGCCCAAGACACUCAUCUCGAACUGGGUUGUGUGCCCGCCAAUAUCGUCAUAAACCUUAUUAGGUAAUUGAUUAUUACUUUUUGGAUAUUGGUGCUUCAUGAAUUUAAUGAUUAGGCACAACAAUAUUCCAUAUGAAAUCCAUUCCAGGUAUGAACUCUCCCUACACGCCCUUUACUGGUGACAAUAUUCCUUCUCAAAUCCAUUCCAGGUAUGAACUCUCCCUACACACCCUUUACUGGUAACAAUAUUCCAUAUCAAAUCCAUUCCAGGUCUCCCUACACGCCCUUUACUGGUGAUUGGUGAUAAAAUGACACACAUGUCCGAUUUCGGAAGCUCGUAGUGAUUUAUUUAUUAUUAAGGUUCACUUUUCGACGCUAUUUAAACAAUGACUUUAAAUGAGACACAGAUAUAAAAUAAAUCUUUUAAAUAUAUAAUCGCACCCAAUAUUUAAUGUUUUUGUUUUCAUUUUUUUAUUUUUUUUUUAUUUCCAGUACCAAUACUUUGUAAAAUAGAAAUGAAAUAUACAAUACUGAAUUCGACAAAAGCCAAUUCUCCCAUUGUAAGCGGCAGCCAUUUUGUGCAAUCGUGGAUUUCCUGUGCAAGUCCGCUAGAAGUUACUUUAAACCUUUCAACGCUCAAGGGUUGUGCACGAGCCUCUGACAAAAGCAAGUAAAAUAGCGCAAGAGAUUUGAAGGAUGUGUUAAGAGUCCAGUAAGCAGUAUACAUGUAUAUACACAUACGCACAUAGCCCUCAACAAACCAUUAUAAAGGGCUCGUGGUACAGGUUCGAGAGUAACACACAGGGUUGGAAUUAAUGCAGCGCAUGUAUGUAAGGUCACAGGUUGAUAUGGAAUUAGUAAAUCUCAAGCACUUAUAGAAAUGAAAUAAAUAUCUAGUGAGCUUUUUAGAGCAACAAAAUCCUUAUUUCUUCCUUUUGGUAUUUUUAACGCUUUACAGUGUAAAUACCCUGCCUCCAUCUACUACCAAGUGCAUGGAGAGCCAUCUGAACCUUGAUUGGACCUUAGGAUGGAACGUUUCUUAUAUUUGGAAUCAAAUCCCUCUGUCCCUCUUUUUUAGGAGCUCCGUGUUGUUGGUGUGUCUGAGUGUAUAACAGAGCUCCACAGCAAUAAUACUCCCAGUAAUGUGUCUGAGUGUAUAACAGAGCUCCACAGCAAUAAUACUCCCAGUAAUGUCUGAGUGUAUAACAGAGCUCCACAGCAAUAAUACUCCCAGUAAUGUGUCUGAGUGUAUAACAGAGCUCCACAGCAAUAAUACUCCCAGUAAUGUGUCUUUAAAAUACAAUACAUUUGUUUAGAAAUCAGUCUGUGUAAAUAAGAUCCAUUGUUCUUCUUCUUAGUUGUAUACAUUUUUAUUAGUAAGUCACCUAAAAUUUCUUAGAACAGUCGCCCCUGGCCACACCCCUAAAGUGAAAGGGUCCCUCAUCGUCCAUUAGAAAUGUUGGGACGUACGACGUCGUUUGCCUCGAGAAUAUUUGUAGCAUGGAAUGCUAAUCUCUGGCCGCAAUAAUUUGCUUUAUGUCUGCCUAAGUGCUAAAAGUGAAUUAAAUGACAGGUAUAGGUUGACCUAGAUGUGCAUCACACGCUCAGUGUUUUUAAUAAAACAUUUUUUUUGUAAGGUUUUAAUGUGCCUUAAAUUAAAUCUCAGCAUUGUUUCUGAAGCGACGCUUGGAGCUUGUUUAUAUAGUAUAUAUUUGAUUCCGCAGUUCACAAAAAGCACCUCUGUCCUCACAAUAAUUAGGAAUAUCGAUUUCAAAAGUGCUAGAAUUUUUCUUAAUGUAUAAUAAUACAUACAAUUUUUGAAGAACUCUUUUAGGUUCGUAAAAAAAACAAAAAACAUACGUGUCAUAAAACACAAUGGAAACCGCACGCGGCUUGACUUUUCAGACGUAAUUCUUGAAUUUUAGCAUUUUAAAACAGAGAAAAUUACAGACAUCUGGAAAACCGCUAAUCCAUGAAGCCAUUUUUACCUCAUUCAGAACUUGUGAUAAUAAAAUGCCAAAUUGUGCCAUCUGUCCAGCUAAACCAGAGACCUCAAUCGCGCAGUGUUACAACACACUUCACAUGCACAAAGGUUGAAAUUAAAAUAGAAAUUGUAUUCACUCAGGGCUCAUUUUCAUUAUUGCCAUUAACUACCUAUGGUAAGCUGUUAUAAUGAACAGUUGAUAAAUAUCUAAAGCCAGAAAAUAGCAGCUGGUUUCCAACCGAUGAUCUGUCCCCGAUGAUACUGUCUGCACCUUAACACCAUAGCAAACAACUGGAUCACGUCUACUAAAGUGGGAUUUUGUACUAGGCUGGGUACACGUAUGUGGGAUAUUGUACUACGCUGGGUACAUGUAUGUGGGAUAUUGUACUAGGCUGGGUACACGUCUGUGGGAUAUUGUACUAGGCUGGGUACACGUCUGUGGGAUAUUGUACUAGGCUGGGUACAUGUAUGUGGGAUAUUGUACUAGGCUGGGUACAUGUAUGUGGGAUUUUGUACUACGCUGGGUACCCGUCUGUGGGAUUUUGUACUACGCUGGGUACACGUCUGUGGGAUUUUGUACUAGGCUGGGUACACGGCUGUGGGAUUUUGUACUAUGCUGGGUACAUGUAUGUGGGAUAUUGUACUAAGCUUGGGUACAUGUAUGUGGGAUAUUGUACUAAGCUUGGUACAUGUAUGUGGGAUAUUGUACUAGGCUGGGUACACGUCUGUGGGAUUUUGUACUAGGCUGGGUACACGUAUGUGGGAUAUUGUACUAGGCUGGGUACACGUAUGUGGGAUAUUGUACUAGGCUGGGUACACGUAUGUGGGAUAUUGUACUAGGCUGGGUACAUGUAUGUGGGAUAUUGUACUAGGCUGGGUACAUGUAUGUGGGAUAUUGUACUAAGCUUGGUACAUGUAUGUUUGGAUAUUGUACUAGGCUGGGUACACGUCUGUGGGAUUUUGUACUAGGCUGGGUACACGUAUGUGGGAUAUUGUACUAGGCUGGGUACACGUAUGUGGGAUAUUGUACUAGGCUGGGUACACGUAUGUGGGAUAUUGUACUAGGCUGGGUACACGUAUGUGGGAUAUUGUACUAGGCUGGGUACAUGUAUGUGGGAUAUUGUACAAGGCUGGGUACAUGUAUGUGGGAUAUUGUACAAGGCUGGGUACAUGUAUGUGGGAUAUUGUACUACGCCGGGUACACGUCUGUGGGAUUUUGUACUAGGCUGGGUACACGGCUGUGGGAUUUUGUACUACGCUGGGGACAUGCAUGUGGGAUAUUGUACUAGGCUGGGUAUAUGUAUGUGUGAUUUUGUGCUAUGCUGGGUACAUGUCUGUGUGAUGGCCCUCUUUUUAUAUGAAUUUUACGUUUGAAUGGCAUGCACAUUACUUACAUCUCACCCUCUGUAGUCUCUGGUGUCUGGCAUUUUGCUUUCUGAUGGCUGAUGCUCUUUGACUUUAAAUGUAAUGCCAUGUAUAUGAAGAUUUUUCCUAUAUGAUGUAUUAAGCAUCUGUAGUGGUUGUCUUGACCCUAGUGGAGUCAGGUUUUAAUUUCGGUGCGAUAUCGCAGCUGGUGGAAUCUAGCGCCUGGCCUCGAAAUGAGUCACAAGUAGCAGUUUUUUCUAAUUUCCGUAGCGCUGUACAUUGGGAUCACCUCCUAUUAUUCUCUACGGUAAUUACAAGUCACAACUGGUAAGUCUUUGUAUUAUUGAAAGAGCCGCUAUUUACCAACGUUACAGACAGCCUAUUUAUUAACGGCUUGUCGCUAAAAACUGACAACGCUGGAAAUGAGCCCUACAUUGGGAAUAGUGGAGACAUGAUAUGCAGAUUGUAUAUUUUAGGUAAAACUAGGAAAACUUGCAGGAAUUGGAGAAAUUCUACAACUCCGCUAUUCUGGUCUAAAUCUGUAAAUGCCUUGCCAAUUCCCCACGAGUCUCAGGUUAGCUGUUAAAGCCUGAUGGUAUUAGCAAGACAUAUUGAUGAAAUGAUGGUUUAUAAACUAAAAGGUGAAUUGUAAGAAACUGGAAACAAAUCGCAAAAUGUAGGUAAAAAUAAAAAUAACCAAUUUGGUUAUUCACCAGAAACACCAGUCCACCCACCAGCUCGGAUAUAGUGAAACAUACAUUAAACCAGAACCUGGAUGGGAGAAUCGAGCACAAUAAGACUAGCAGACAAAUCCAGUAAAUAAAAAGCAGUGCUAAAAAGAAGCAGAGGCUCAACAGCUUUUCUUAAACUACAAAUCUCAUGCCAUUGUUUAAAGGGACAUUACAGUUUAUUGAAUUUGUUCUGGUGAGUAGAAUCAUUCCCUUCAGGCUUUUUGCUGUAAACACUGUCUUUUCAGAGAAAAUGCAGUGUUUACAUUGCAGCCUAGUGAUAACUUCACUGGCCACUCCUCAGAUGGCUGUUAGAGGUGCUUCCUGGGGCAGUGCUGCAAAGAGUGACUGACAUUCAGUGUCUCCACCCUCUGCAUGGAGACACUGAACUUUCCUCAUAGAGAUGCAUUAAUUCAAUGUAUCGCUAUGAGAAAAUGCUGAUUGGCCAGGGCUGUGUUUGGCUUGUGUUGGCUCUGCCCCUGAUCUGCCUUCUUGACAUUCUCAGCCAAUCCAAUGCUUUCCUAUGGAAAAGCAUUGUGAUUGGCUGAGAUCAAAACUUCUAGUAAUGUAAGCCAAGGACGCAGAUUAGGGGCAGAGCCAGCAGCAGCAGACUUAAAUAAAAGUAAGAUUUUACUAUAUUUGGGGGAGAAAUUAAUGCAUGUUUGUGUUCCUUUAAAUGUUGUAACCGACUAAUACCUGUAAUACCAGGUACCCGUAAACACCCAAUCUUCAUUGGCAUACUGCACCCCACUCAAAGUUACUCACUCUUCAUUACGACAUUUGUGAUCAUAAAUUCUACCACAUUUUCCUUAACACACAUCAAAUGGCAAACGGAACUGGAAUUCAGAGAUUAAGCAGCUCCUACAUUUCAUAAACAGCGAAUGAAGUUAUAUAUGAUUAUAGAUAUUAAAGGAUCACUAUAGGGUCAGGAACACAAACAUGUAUUCCUGACCCUAUAGUGUUUAACCCAAUGUAUAGGUGGCUUGCCCCCCUCCGGUCCCCCACCCCCCUUAGCCCCCUCAGAAUGGGUUAAAACUCUCCACGGCCCGCCCCCUUGGUGACAUCAAAAUGGCUGAUUGGGAAAGCAUUGGAUUGGCUAAAAUCGGCAAGUGGGGGGGGCCAAAUGUAGUUUUGGCCAAUCAGCACCUCCUCAUAGAGACGUAUUGAAUCAAUGCAUCUCUAUGAGGAAAAUUCAGCGUCUCCAUGCAGAGCUGCUUACUGUGCAGCACUGAGCCAGGAGGCACCUCCAGUGGCCAUCUAAGGAGUGUUCACUUGGAGGUGUCCCUAGGGGCAAUGUAAACACUGCCUUUUCUCUGAAGGGAGCUAUUAUACUCACCAGAACAACUACAUUAAGCUGUAUACCAUACAUUAAGCUGUAUAUUAUACAUUAAGCUGUAGUUGUUCUGGUGUCCCUUUAAGUUAGAGUUUAGAAUAGUUAGUAAGUACAGUAUAGAAAAUUUAGGUUAGUUUAGUUUGGUAGACUUUCUGACAUGGUAGUGCACCCAAAUUAUUUGUUUAGUAAGUGAGAUUGAGUAGUGUCUGUUCAAUAUAUUGUCCCACUGGAAAGAAUAUACUAAAUUUGUGCUAUUCCAAACUCUACAUCAGAAUACUGAUACCGCCCUGCACAAAUCGUAUGAGGUGGUUACCCCCUACCCAGUGGCGUACUAAGGGGGGGGCGGAGGGGGCGGUCCGCCCCGGGUGCCAGCCGGGUGGGGGGUGCCAUGGCCAGCCCCCGCCCCCCCCCAUGCUGCAGCCGCCCGAGCGCUCUGUAGUGAGCCUCAGGCGGCUGCAGCUUUGCCCGGGAGGUGCGUCCAUGAGGGCGGACCGCACCGCCCGGGCGCAGCCUGAGGAGAGGGGCUGACAGGAGGGCAGCGCUCAGCGCUCCCUCCUGUCAGCUCCCUCACUGUAGCGUGGCCGAGCCCUGUAUAGUCGGCGGGUACAGGGAGCAGCUGUCUCCUGUACCCGGCCGGACUAACAGGAAGUGCACACACUGUGUGCACUUCCUGUUAGUCCGGCCGGGUACCGGAGACAGCUGCUCUCUGUACCCGCCGACUAUACUGGGCUCGGCCACGCUACUACACAGGUAGGGGAGGGGGGAAGAGAAAGGAGAGGGGGGUGAAANNNNNNNNNNNNNNNNNNNNNNNNNNNNNNNNNNNNNNNNNNNNNNNNNNNNNNNNNNNNNNNNNNNNNNNNNNNNNNNNNNNNNNNNNNNNNNNNNNNNACACAGCACUCACACACAUCACACUCAGCACUCACACACAUCAUACACAGCACUCACACACAUCACACUCAGCACUCACACACAUCAUACACAGCACUCACACACAUCAUACACAGCACUCACACACACAUACUGCACCCCUCACAUACACACACAACCCCCCGAUACACUGCAUCACACACAUACACAAUACUUCCAAACAUAUUUAUAUUAUAUAUAUAUAUAUAUAUAUAUAUACACACACAGCACCCCUCACACACAGCACCCCUAAACACAUUUCAUUCCAGACACACACUAGAUCCUCUACCCAACUCUGAAUCAUCUACACACACUAGAUCCCUAUAUACACUCUGAAUCCGUUAUAUACGCACGCUCACUAGAUCUCCUAUACGUAGUCUGGGUCCUUCACACACACACACACACACACACACACACACUCUGGAUCCCCUAUACGCACACUAGAUUCAUUGUAAGCAAACCCAUACAUUCCCUGAACACACACACACACACACACUAUAGCCUGUAUACACACACACACACACACACACACACUAUAGCCUGUAUACACACACUUGCUACAUCCCCUAUAGACACAUUCUCUACAGCCCCUAGCCACAUAUGCAUUACAUUACACCACAAACACAACACGACUAAAACCGACCUUAUUACACAAUACCACACCACGACCAGCUCACUCUGCACACACGCAAUACCACAAGCAGGCUCCAAACACAUGCACAAUACUCUUUCCUGGCCCUUUUGUCUCCUGGUAUCCAUUUAUAGAGACACCAGAGACAUGUUGCAAGGAAACACAGUGCAAGCAUGUUAUUAAAUUUGCUUGCACUGUGCAAAACAAAUACAGGGCUUUUUUCUCAUGCUAGAGCUCUUCAGCAGAGCUCUGUGCAUGGUCUGCCCUGGAAGAGCAUUGAACCAACAUGCUCACUUUGAGAGGGCGCGUGUUGUCAUGAGUGAUGACAAAACACACCCUCUCUGCCCCGCCCCCUUCGUAAUGGGCCGCUGUGAUAAAAAAAUGCCCGGGCCGAAUUUUUAUCCCAGUCCGGCCCUGGGUCUGUGUGUUAGCUGGGAGGAGUGACAUGCAGUCACUUCCUCCCAACCCUGUGAUAUAAUCACAGGGGGCCCGGUCGCGCUGUUAAAGCGCCCAGCGCUGACUGGGCCCCCUCACAAUCCACAUCCAUCAGGUGACCCUGACAGCAUGGGUAGGGAUUUUCUAAUUUUGAGAGAUUGGGUGGGCAGGCGGGUGCGAGCCGGCGGUACCCCUAUGACCUGGUACCGCCAUCACCACUUGUGGCCCCGGCCCGCGCGGCAAACCGCUGGGCCCGCAUAUGGAGCACCCAAUCUCUCAAAAUUAGAAAAUCCCUACCUCCCACCUGGAAUCCUGAAACGCCCACUAGUGGGCGGUAGGGACCAGGUUGACGACCCAUGGGGAAGAUUUAGAGCUGCAAUGUAAACUAAGUGCAAAAGGGUCACAGCACCCAGACUACUUCAGUUAGCUGAAGUGGUCUGGGUGCUUUCAGUGACCCUUUAAGCCAACAUUAAUACAUGUGUAUGAUAAAUAUUACAGGAACAUUAAAAACUGUUUCCUAUAUAUUAAAUGUUCAUUGAUACGGCUGUACUGGACCUCCCACAUUCACAUAACUGUACACAUUGCGUAACCCCAGCAUUUGCAACUAUUGAGAAUCUGUUUCGCCUGCACAUUAUGCAGAACAGUCCUGCAUUGUCAGAUAUAUACACCUGGCUUAUACUCGAUUUAUAGUUAGAGCACAACAUAUUUCAUUAAAUGAAUAUGAGUUUUGCAUACAGACUGGUAUUAUGGGUAGAAUUUCCCAAAGCAUGCCCCCUGCACAUCUGUUAAAUUAAACCCAGCUGCCCUAGAUAUCUUUGGUUGGCACUAUCAUCUGAGCUGAACAUUCCAUCGCUUGUUACAGUGGCAGGAAUGAAACGCGUUGGUGAAUUGGCUCGCACUGUGAUCAAGGCAGAUGCCAAGCUUUUUAUUAGGACGUGGUAAAUCAGACAUUUAGCCCUGUACCUAAGUUUACUAGUAGAAUGGAGAAAGCAUGUCCUGCUUACUAAUACAGCAUUGAUUGCCAUUCUGCAAUUAGACCAUCCUCCUCGUAUGUCAGUCAUUUUUCAUAAAUCAGUUAUGACAGCGUGGAGUUUGUUCCUGAGCAAGUACUCAACGUUAGAGACUUCCAUCUCCAGAAAUGUAUUGAUCCAGGCAGCUCAUCGCCCGCCUACAUUAGUCAGCGGCAAGAGGAAAUCCUAGAAAGGGGUUAUCUGCUAAACAGUGAGCUGCAAGGUUGCAAUCAGAAUAAAAUCACCAUCUUCACUGAGAGAAGAUUUAUUGUCAACUUGCAAAUCACUUGUAAACUCACUGUUAUAGUAAAUACAAUUCGAUAAGCGUUGUUCCCUUUUAUUUGAUAAACAUUGUAAUUGUAUUAGCACAUUCUCAAAUGUAAUGUUAUCUUAGGAAAUAUCAGGUAAGAAGCAAAACAAUAAGUGGGGGAUUCUAAUAAAACAUCCUAAAUAUAAUAUACAUACACUGUAUACCUACUGUACCUCCAUCUAUUGUAAUGUAACCUGUAAAGUGCUGAGUACACCUGUUAGCGCUAUAUAAAUAAAAUAUACAUACACUGUAUACCUACUGCACUUACUGUACCUCCCUCUACUGUAAUGUAACCUGUAAAGUGCUGAGUACACCUGUUAGCUCUAUAUAAAUAUAAUAUACAUACAAUGUAUACCUACUGCACUUACUGUACCUUCCUCUACUGUAAUGCAACCUGUAAAGUGCUGAGUACACCUGUUAGUGCUAUAUAAAUAAAAUAUACAUACGCUGUAUACCUACUGCACUUACUGUACCUCCCUCUACUGUAAUGUAACCUGUAAAGUGCUGAGUACACCUGUUAGCGCUAUAUAAAUAAAAUAUACAUACACUGCAUACCUACUGCACUUACUGUACCUCCCUCUACUGUAAUGUAACCUGUAAAGUGCUAAGUACACCUGUUAGCGCUAUAUAAAUAAAAUAUACAUACACUGUAUACCUACUGCACUUACUGUACCUCCCUCUACUGUAAUGUAACCUGUAAAGUGCUGAGUACACCUGUUAGCGCUAUAUAAAUAAAAUAUACAUACACUGUAUACCUACUGCACUUACUGUACCUCCCUCUACUGUAAUGUAACCUGUAAAGUGCUGAGUACACCUGUUAGCGCUAUAUAAAUAUAAUAUACAUACACUGUAUACCUACUGCACUUACUGUACCUCCCUCUACUGUAAUGUAACCUGUAAAGUGCUGAGUACACCUGUUAGCGCUAUAUAAAUAAAAUAUACAUACACUGUAUACCUACUGCACUUACUGUACCUCCCUCUACUGUAAUGUAACCUGUAAAGUGCUGAGUACACCUGUUAGUGCUAUAUAAAUAAAAUAUACAUACACUGUAUACCUACUGCACUUACUGUACCUCCCUCUACUGUAAUGUAACCUGUAAAGUGCUGAGUACACCUGUUAGCGCUAUAUAAAUAAAAUAUACAUACACUGUAUACCUACUGCACUUACUGUACCUCCCUGUACUGUAAUGUAACCUGUAAAGUGCUGAGUACACCUGUUAGCGCUAUAUAAAUAUAAUAUACAUACACUGUAUACCUACUGCACUUACUGUACCUCCCUCUACUGUAAUGUAACCUGUAAAGUGCUGAGUACACCUGUUAGCGCUAUAUAAAUAUAAUAUACAUACACUGUAUACCUACUGCACUUACUGUACCUCCCUCUACUGUAAUGUAACCUGUAAAGUGCUGAGUACACCUGUUAGCGCUAUAUAAAUAAAAUAUACAUACACUGUAUACCUACUGCACUUACUGUACCUCCCUUUACUGUAAUGUAACCUGUAAAGUGCUGAGUACACCUGUUAGCGCUAUAUAAAUAAAAUAUAGAUACACUGUAUACCUACUGCACUUACUGUACCUCCCUCUACUGUAAUGUAACCUGUAAAGUGCUGAGUACACCUGUUAGCGUUAUAUAAAUAAAAUAUACAUACACUGUAUACCUACUGCACUCACUGUAUCUCCCUCUACUGUAAUGUAACCUGUAAAGCGCUGAGUACACCUGUUAGCGCUAUAUAAAUAUAAUAUACAUACACUGUAUACCUACUGCACUCACUGUAUCUCCCUCUACUGUAAUGUAACCUGUAAAGUGCUGAUGUACAUGUAAGGGUGAUAUAAUUAAAAUAUACAUAUGUUGAACAAGUACUACACUUACUGUAGUUCUUGUAAUGUAAAUUGCAAAUUGUUAUGUAGAGCUAUUAACACUAUACAAAUUAUUUAUACAUAUAUACAUUUGUUUAUAGUUAAGUCAUUUGUCAUAAUGUGUGCAUGGCUGUAUUCAAUUCUAACUCAUAUGUAUUCACAUAUAAUAGCAUCAAUUAACGAGUGAGGGAAAAAACAUUACCACCAAAAUAAACUAAUCAAUUAUUUGAAAACAAAUAUGUUACCAUUCAUAACGCUUUUGAUAAUUAAUACAUUAUUUAUAAAUGUGUUAUUUAUAAAUGUAUCAUAAAGGGAAUCAACACAGUAAAGGAGGAGACUAAAUUCAAAAGAAGAAAAACUACCACAACAAGAGGACCUAGUCUUAAAUUAGAGGGACAAAGGUUUAAAAAUAAUAUCAGGAAGUAUUACUUUACUGAGAGGGUAGUGGAUGCAUGGAAUAGCUCUCCAGCUGAAGUGGUAGAGGUUAACACAGUAAAGGAGUUUAAGCAUGCGUGGGAUAGGCAUAAGGCUAUCCUAACUAUAAGAUAAGACUAGGGACUAAUGAAAGUAUUUAGAAAAUUGGGCAGACUAGAUGGGCCGAAUGGUUGAAGUUUUUAUAUGGUAAAAAGAAAAUACUUAUCAGUUUGAAAUUGUUUGUAAACUCUCCCCAACUGACUGUUCAGUGAAUUUACUCCCUCACUAAUUCCAUAUUUUUUUUAGAAAGGCCUUAAAAUGGCAUUCUAAGCACCAUCACUACUACAUCUCAUUUAUAAGAGUCAAAUCAGAUUUGAACAUUUCACACUUACCAGUGUCCCCAGAUGCCCAGGGCUCUCAACAGUCGUACUUUCAUUGGGCCAGUCCCGAUUUCAAGUUCCUGUCCAGCUGUCCCGAUUUAUUUUUUAUUUGUCCCAAAUUUGAUGAAACUAGGUAAGUGUUAUCGGGCAGCACAACAUGAGCGCGUCAUUAGAUGGGGAGCUAAGGUGAUAGAGACAGUGCUUUAACAGCACUUCAUGGGUUACCUUUUGUCAAACUGGUAUUGAAAGCUCUUUCUAUGGAGAAUCCCACAGUCAGAUGCUAUCACUGUACCUACUGAUUACUGGACCUCCGGACAUGUCUGCGUUCUCGGGGUGGGAAGGCCAUUCCUUUCUCCACAGUGCCAUUUUUGUGACCAUUUUUUAUUAAUUUCCUUGUUUCCUCUCCCUCACUGACCUGCCCCAACUCGUAUUACCUCGAGCUACCCUUUCCUGGCUUGGAUCGCCGAGAGCUGAGCAGGUAUCUGGGUCCCUCAUAACGUUUAAGGCAUGCUGUGUAUAACCUGACCUGCAGGACCAUAGGGACACAAGAGACACUAUGAGAACCAUAGCCGUUACAGAUAUUACAGCAGUUAUCAUACGACCCAACAUUUCUAAUGGACAGAGAGGGACACAAUCAUUUUCUGGGUGUGAGUGUAGGUGUGGCCCCAGAGUAAGGAUGUGGUAAGGAGCGGGGCUUCUCUGAGAAAUUUUAGGUGACACUAAUAACAAUUUAUAAAAUUAAAAUGUAAUUUCUAACAAGAACAAUGUAUCUUACUAACAGACUGAUUUCUAAACACAUUUAUUGCAGUUUAAAGACACAUUGCUGGGAGUAUUAUUGCUGUGCAGGGCCGGAAUAACAUAGGGGCUGAUGGAGCUGCAGCUCCAGGCCCAGGCCCAGGGCCAUGGAAUAGGCCCAGUUUAAAACACUACUCUUAGGGCACAGCCAAUAUUUGAGGCUGCCUGGCUGUGACGAUAUUGCAGUAAUACCGGCAAUACAAAUGCAAAUAUUUUUCUCAGUAUAAACGGAGAUUACUCUGCAAUACCAUCACCGGCCAGUAAGGGUCACUGUGUAUGGAGAGACGCAGGGAUAGGAAGUUACAGCAUCUCCCUGCCUCUCUCUACUCACUGAUCCGUGGGGGAGCAGCUACACAGCACAGAGAGUCCAGACAGCAGCUCCCAGCCUGCAGACAGACUACAGCUCAGGUAUGUAAAGGAUGGGGGAAAAGGCAGCAGGGAAACAUAGGGACACUGAGACACAUGGGGACACUGAGACACUAGGGGACACUGGAAGACGUGGGGACACGGAGAUACUAGGGGACACUGUGAGACAUGGGGAUGCUGAGACACAUGGAGACUCUGUGAGACAUAGGGAGACACAUUGGGACAUGGACACACUAGGGACACAGUGUCUCAAUGUCUCCCAGUGUCCUCAUGUCUCCCCGCCAGUGUCCCUAGUGUCUCAGUGUCCCCAUGGCUCCCAGUGCCCCCAAGUCUGCCAGUGUCUGUGUCCCCAUGUCUCUCAGUGUCCCCAUGUCUCCCAGUGUCCCCAAAUGUCUGUGUUCCCAUGUCUCCCAGAGUCCACAUGUCUCAUAGCCAGUGUCUCAGUGUCCCCAUGUCUCUCAGUGUCCUUAUGUCUCCCAGCUAGUGUCCCUACUGUCUCAGUGUCCCCAUGUCUCCCAGUGUCUGUGUCCCUAGUGUCCCCAUGUCUCCCAGUGUUCCCAUGUCUAUGUUCAUAAGUGCCCCCAUGUCUCCCAGUGUCCCCAAGUGUCUGUGUCCCCAUGCCUCCCAACCAUUGUCCCCACUGUCUGUGUCCCCAUGUCUCCCAGUGUCCCCUAGUCUCCCAGUGUCUGUGUUCCUAUGUCUCUCAGUGUCCCUAGUGUCUUAGUUUCCCCAAAUGUUUGUGUCCCCAUGUCUCCCAGUGUCUGUGUCCCCAUGUCUCUGUGUCGAUAGUGUCUGUCACACCUUUUCUCCCAGUGUCCCCAAUGUCUGUGUCCCCAUGUCUCCAUGUCUCCCAGUGUCCCCAUGUCUGUGUUCACAAGUGCCCCCAUGUCUCCCAGUGUCAUUUGUCAUAAUGUGUGCAUGGCUGUAUUCAAUUCUAACUCAUAUGUAUUCACAUAUAAUAGCAUCAAUUAACGAGUGAGGGAAAAAAACAUUACCACCAAAAUAAACUAAUCAAUUAUUUGAAAACAAAUAUGUUACCAUUCAUAACGCUUUUGAUAAUUAAUACAUUAUUUAUAAAUGUGUUAUUUAUAAAUGUAUCAUAAAGGGAAUCAACACAGUAAAGGAGGAGACUAAAUUCAAAAGAAGAAAAACUACCACAACAAGAGGACCUAGUCUUAAAUUAGAGGGACAAAGGUUUAAAAAUAAUAUCAGGAAGUAUUACUUUACUGAGAGGGUAGUGGAUGCAUGGAAUAGCCUUCCAGCUGAAGUGGUAGAGGUUAACACAGUAAAAGGAGUUUAAGCAUGCGUGGGAUAGGCAUAAGGCUAUCCUAACUAUAAGAUAAGACUAGGGACUAAUGAAAGUAUUUAGAAAAUUGGGCAGACUAGAUGGGCCGAAUGGUUGAAGUUUUUAUAUGGUAAAAAGAAAAUACUUAUCAGUUUGAAAUUGUUUGUAAACUCUCCCCAACUGACUGUUCAGUGAAUUUACUCCCUCACUAAUUCCAUAUUUUUUUUAGAAAGGCCUUAAAAUGGCAUUCUAAGCACCAUCACUACUACAUCUCAUUUAUAAGAGUCAAAUCAGAUUUGAACAUUUCACACUUACCAGUGUCCCCAGAUGCCCAGGGCUCUCAACAGUCGUACUUUCAUUGGGCCAGUCCCGAUUUCAAGUUCCUGUCCAGCUGUCCCGAUUUAUUUUUUAUUUGUCCCAAAUUUGAUGAAACUAGGUAAGUGUUAUCGGGCAGCACAACAUGAGCGCGUCAUUAGAUGGGGAGCUAAGGUGAUAGAGACAGUGCUUUAACAGCACUUCAUGGGUUACCUUUUGUCAAACUGGUAUUGAAAGCUCUUUCUAUGGAGAAUCCCACAGUCAGAUGCUAUCACUGUACCUACUGAUUACUGGACCUCCGGACAUGUCUGCGUUCUCGGGGUGGGAAGGCCAUUCCUUUCUCCACAGUGCCAUUUUUGUGACCAUUUUUUAUUAAUUUCCUUGUUUCCUCUCCCUCACUGACCUGCCCCAACUCGUAUUACCUCGAGCUACCCUUUCCUGGCUUGGAUCGCCGAGAGCUGAGCAGGUAUCUGGGUCCCUCAUAACGUUUAAGGCAUGCUGUGUAUAACCUGACCUGCAGGACCAUAGGGACACAAGAGACACUAUGAGAACCAUAGCCGUUACAGAUAUUACAGCAGUUAUCAUACGACCCAACAUUUCUAAUGGACAGAGAGGGACACAAUCAUUUUCUGGGUGUGAGUGUAGGUGUGGCCCCAGAGUAAGGAUGUGGUAAGGAGCGGGGCUUCUCUGAGAAAUUUUAGGUGACACUAAUAACAAUUUAUAAAAUUAAAAUGUAAUUUCUAACAAGAACAAUGUAUCUUACUAACAGACUGAUUUCUAAACACAUUUAUUGCAGUUUAAAGACACAUUGCUGGGAGUAUUAUUGCUGUGCAGGGCCGAAAUAACAUAGGGGCUGAUGGAGCUGCAGCUCCAGGCCCAGGCCCAGGGCCAUGGAAUAGGCCCAGUUUAAAACACUACUCUUAGGUUUGCCACCUGACUGGUAUUUUAAGGCACAGCCAAUAUUUGAGGCUGCCUGGCUGUGACGAUAUUGCAGUAAUACCGGCAAUACAAAUGCAAAUAUUUUUCUCAGUAUAAACGGAGAUUACUCUGCAAUACCAUCACCGGCCAGUAAGGGUCACUGUGUAUGGAGAGACGCAGGGAUAGGAAGUUACAGCAUCUCCCUGCCUCUCUCUACUCACUGAUCCGUGGGGGAGCAGCUACACAGCACAGAGAGUCCAGACAGCAGCUCCCAGCCUGCAGACAGACUACAGCUCAGGUAUGUAAAGGAUGGGGGGAAAGGCAGCAGGGAAACAUAGGGACACUGAGACACAUGGGGACACUGAGACACUAGGGGACACUGGAAGACGUGGGGACACGGAGAUACUAGGGGACACUGUGAGACAUGGGGAUGCUGAGACACAUGGGGACUCUGUGAGACAUAGGGAGACACAUUGGGACAUGGACACACUAGGGACACAGUGUCUCAAUGUCUCCCAGUGUCCUCAUGUCUCCCCGCCAGUGUCCCUAGUGUCUCAGUGUCCCCAUGGCUCCCAGUGCCCCCAAGUCUGCCAGUGUCUGUGUCCCCAUGUCUCUCAGUGUCCCCAUGUCUCCCAGUGUCCCCAAAUGUCUGUGUUCCCAUGUCUCCCAGAGUCCACAUGUCUCAUAGCCAGUGUCUCAGUGUCCCCAUGUCUCUCAGUGUCCUUAUGUCUCCCAGCUAGUGUCCCUACUGUCUCAGUGUCCCCAUGUCUCCCAGUGUCUGUGUCCCUAGUGUCCCCAUGUCUCCCAGUGUUCCCAUGUCUAUGUUCAUAAGUGCCCCCAUGUCUCCCAGUGUCCCCAAGUGUCUGUGUCCCCAUGCCUCCCAACCAUUGUCCCCACUGUCUGUGUCCCCAUGUCUCCCAGUGUCCCCUAGUCUCCCAGUGUCUGUGUUCCUAUGUCUCUCAGUGUCCCUAGUGUCUUAGUUUCCCCAAAUGUUUGUGUCCCCAUGUCUCCCAGUGUCUGUGUCCCCAUGUCUCUGUGUCGAUAGUGUCUGUCACACCUUUUCUCCCAGUGUCCCCAAUGUCUGUGUCCCCAUGUCUCCAUGUCUCCCAGUGUCCCCAUGUCUGUGUUCACAAGUGCCCCCAUGUCUCCCAGUGUCCCAAAGUGUCUCAGUGUCCCCAUGUCUCACUGUGUCCCCAUGUCUCUAAGUGUCCCCUAGUAUCCUAGUGACAGUGGAAACACUGAGACAUGGGGACACUGGGAGAAACGGGGACACCGACACUGGGAGACUAGGGGACUGGGCGACAUGGGGACACUGACACUGAUACAUAGGGACACUGAUGCCAGGCUGGCCUUCCAAUUCUUUGGACAGACAUGCCCCCUUUUUGGGCAUGUUCGCCCCUUUUGGCAGUUAUGGUCACGUGAUUCGCGUCAGUGGCCCACCCUUUUACCCCGCUCAUUGACUUCCUGCUUCAUUGGACAUUGCUUAAAAGGUAAAAGCAUAAAUGAGAGGGAGAUUAGCAUAGAGUAUGUGUUUUUUUAUAGCUGCAUCCUUUGAGUUUCCCUCCAACACCAACUCCAUCAGAUACAUGACGCUUGAGAGGUAUGACUGUUUCAGUGUUUUUGGUUGAUAAGAUUCUGUAAUUAGGCUCCAUCAUAAUUGUCAGCACCAGGCCCACUGGGCUCUUAAUCUGGCCCUGUUGCUGUGGAGCUCUGUCAUACACUCAGACACAUUACUGGGAGUAUUAUUGCUGUGGAGCUCUGUUAUACACUCAGACACAUUACUGGGAGUAUUAUUGCUGUGGAGCUCUGUUAUACACUCAGACACAUUACUGGGAGUAUUAUUGCUGUGGAGCUCUGUUAUACACUCAGACACAUUACUGGGAGUAUUAUUGCUGUGGAGCUCUGUUAUACACUCACACAUUACUGGGAGUAUUAUUGCUGUGGAGCUCUGUUAUACACUCAGACACAUUACUGGGAGUAUUAUUGCUGUGGAGCUCUGUUAUACACUCAGACACAUUACUGGGAGUAUUAUUGCUGUGGAGCUCUGUUAUACACUCAGACACAUUACUGGGAGUAUUAUUGCUGUGGGGCUCUGUUAUACACUCAGACACAUUACUGGGAGUAUUAUUGCUGUGGAGCUCUGUUAUACACUCAGACACAUUACUGGGAGUAUUAUUGCUAGGGAGCUUUGUUAUACACUCAGACACAUUACUGGUAGUAUUAUUGCUGUGGAGCUCUGUUAUACACUCAGACACAUUACUGGGAGUAUUAUUGCUGUGGAGCUCUGUUAUACACUCAGACACAUUACUGGGAGUAUUAUUGCUGUGGAGCUCUGUUAUACACUCAGACACAUUACUGGGAGUAUUAUUGCUGUGGAGCUCUGUUAUACACUCAGACACAUUACUGGGAGUAUUAUUGCUGUGGGGCUCUGUUAUACACUCAGACAUUACUGGGAGUAUUAUUGCUGUGGAGCUCUGUUAUACACUCAGACACAUUACUGGGAGUAUUAUUGCUGUGGAGCUCUGUUAUACACUCAGACACAUUACUGGGAGUAUUAUUGCUGUGGAGCUCUGUUAUACACUCAGACACAUUACUGGGAGUAUUAUUGCUGUGGAGCUCUGUUAUACUCUCAGACACACCAACAAUAUGGAGCUCCUCUUUAAUACGGGUGCAACACAGGGAUCAGAGCUCCUGAUUCAGCAACCUUUGGAAAAUGGGUUGGCAGAAAUUGGAGGGAUUGCUCAAAAGAUAUCAUGCACCAAAACCACUACAAAGGCACACAAAUUCUCAAGCUGCCAAUAAUAGAUAUAAUGUAUGCCCAGUAAUAGGAAUAGAUGAACCUGUGCCUCUCACUGAUCCAUGCGUUCCCAGUGUCGGAUUAUUCACACCUUGUUCCUGGGGCUCCGUUUAACCUUCUCUAACGGGAAACAGAUGUGAAAUAUGUUCCUGAUGUUAAAUAAUAUCAGGAAUGUGCCAAACAUUGACUCGCUUACUCCUCUUAAUUAGGCUAGAAAAUGCAAAAUACAUGACAAUAAAACUGAUUAUUCUCGAUUAGGGGAACGAGGGAUAGAGAGAGGUUACAUGAGUGCAAAUUAUAUGCUUAAAGUUUGAUUUUUAUUUUAUUCUAAAAGGUGGUCGCCGAGUCUGUUUACAAAACAUUGAAUUUUACUUAAAAUAUUUGCGUUAAAACACACACAUGGAUGGAUUGGACAAUUUAUUCACUGUAUCUCACAAUUUAGUGAAUUGACCUCUAAGGUUGGAAAUAAAAUCUGAAUCUACCUAUUGGCUGCAUCUUUAGAAGCCCCUUUAGGCAGGGCCCAUUUCACCUACUGUUACAGUAUGAUCAAUCAUGUUUUUUUAGAAUUAUCUGUUUGUCUUGUUUGCCUGUUGUACAGCACCGGGAAAUAUAUUGGCGCUAUUUAAAUAAUUGUAGCUAUAGAUUGUGAAUAUAACAUUAUGCGACAUAUCAGCUAUUGACCAGGGUGGACCUGUCUGCUGAGAAAGCCUGUAUGGGCACAUGUACGUCUGGGUAAACCUUCCAUAAAAACAACAAAUACUAUUAACAAUUCCUUCCGUAGUUUUUUCNNNNNNNNNNNNNNNNNNNNNNNNNNNNNNNNNNNNNNNNNNNNNNNNNNNNNNNNNNNNNNNNNNNNNNNNNNNNNNNNNNNNNNNNNNNNNNNNNNNNGUUUUUUUGGAAGUGUUACCAUGUUGUAUUCACAUUUUAGAUACACUGUAUAUAUGUUCCUCCUUACUGCAGGGGAUUUAGGUCAACGCAUUUCUAGAGCUUGCACUCAUUCAUUGUCUAAAACCUGUAAUUGCCUGAAAUUGCAUGCACUAUACAGGGAUCUUCCUUUGAAAAUAUAAGGGCAACCAAUAGAGGAUGCUCUAUAUUGCUACUGUCUUUCCUUUAGCAGUUUGCAUUGUCUAGUUGGCAGCUCUCCCGCUCCUCCGAUCAAUAAGUGCCCCAUUCAUCUGACGCUCAAUCUAUUUCACACAUUUUAUAUUCUCCAGUCAACGCAACAGUUGCACAAAGUCUUCAAGGUAUCUGUGGCUGAGAGAUCUUUUCAGCUGCAUAGCUUGCUUUUUGGGGAAGGUUUAUAGAUUUUUAUGAAACACAAUGAACUGCGCUCAACUGCGAGGAUCAGAAGCCGUUAUAUUCUAUUUAUAAGAAGCUCUUUGUGUUAAACCAAAAUCCUUUGCACACAGCUCCUUACUAAAUACACUUGAACUAUUUUGUGAUUAUUUUUUAUAUUUACAGAUUUCUUAUCUUUACAGGAAUCAAUCAGUCAGACAUUGAAAAAGCCUUAAAGGAUCAAUAGGCAUUACAUUAAUAAUGGUUUUAUACAAAAUAGCAAAAGCUGAAUUCUUUACCUCUGAACGCUUUCAGCUUUCUAUAAAAUUGCAUUCUUGUUAUUCUAAACAUGGUUUGCACAGUUAGCUUGGAAAUGUAGGGCACAACUAGUUAAGGGAUACUUAAACAAAUGUAGAUAAUAAUCUGUUUGAUAAUCCUUUGCAAAGUUAUUUUCGGUCGCUUAACACGUUGUAUGGUAUCUCUUCCAAAAGCUAUACAGUGUAGAUCACAAAACAUAUUUUUAUAAAAUACAGUAGGUGUUACAAAGUAAAAUGCUUGCAGUUUUUUGUAGGGAUCCUGCUGGCAUUUGUGGGAAUGCACUUUUCAUAAAUCCCAUCAGAAUGGAAAUCAUUCAGUAAUCAUUUUGGCUGUACGUAGGCAUUAAGCUUGAAACAGAUAAACAAGUCACGCAUUUCCUGUUCUUGUGAUUGAUCCAAAAGUAGAUAAAAAAACAGAUCUUACAACUAGUUUUCUCAGACUUACUUUAAAAAUGGAAACUAAUUUAAAUGUAAUAUCUCACUACAUUAAAAACCAAAUAUAAUUACCUAUAUCCAUUGUGACAAACUCCCCUUCUCACGUGAGUUUGCCACGAGUUCCUGGAGGAGCCUGCUUGCUAGCCUCCUGCCCAUAGACUAUGGGCCCUGGAAUAUACACCGUAAAAGUCUCUGUUCGUGUAUUUGGAUGAUAUGGUUCGGGAACCGAACAGCUGCACGAACCGGAGACCACCCAGGAGCUGGUUAAGCCUAAUUGCUCGUCUGGUUGGCCAUAUUUCCUAUGGACGACCACGAGGUGGCAGCCAUCUUGUUCACAUGAACACAGGCAACAGUGUUUGGUUGUCGAGUUCAUGGAACAGAAAAUGCACACAGAAACUCCUGAACAUCACUGAACUUCCAGCAUCUCCUGCAUUCGGUUCUACAACAUUUAGGAGGAUAACGUUCGGUGGAAAUGUUCCUACGAACAAGGAAAACAAGCUCCAGGGUAAGAAUAUUGACUAUGUUCAGUAGUUUGUUCGGUUUUAAACUACCGAACUAGACCAGCCGCAAGCCCUGAUGUUUUGGGCAGGAGCCUCAUGUGCAGUUGGUCAAAUUAGGACUUCCAGGAAAUUCCCGAACCCCUGAACCGAUCUGGAUGGUUUUUUGAUAUGUUGGUCACCCAGAUCGGGGCUAUCAGGCGAUGUAACUUCUAGGGGGGUUUAUGUAUUUUAAAUGUAUUUUUGGGAUGUCUGUGAAUUGUGUUUUUUUUUGUGUCUGGAGAUAAUUGAGUUAGUUCAGUUCCUGACUCAAUUAUCUCUCAGGUACAGGGGAGGAGUUUGGGAUUGGUAACUAGUCCCCUCUCAUGUCCAGGAGAGGGAUUAUGUUGUUUGUGUGGGAAUGUCAGGGGAGUGCUUAACUGUGUUCAGAAUUGUAUAAAAACAGGCCAUCUGGCCAGAUUAAAUCAUUCCAGCUUGUACUCCCAGAACUAUGGGAGUGGAUUAGGCGAGUUCCCCAUUCACCUCCAGGAGGGAGCGGUUCCAGGACCCCAGUCAAGCCACGGCGACUGUGGGCAGAAGUGUCCCUUGUUCCAGGUAGGAAGCAGUCCUUGGCUGAGGUACCCAGCCAAGGGUACAGGGAGCUCUGUUACAUCCAUAAUAAGUAUUGUAUCUCUAAAUGCAGGUCUGAAUUUGAUAAAACAGUCUCUGUGUGCUCAUAUAGACUUUUGCUCUAGUGUCAGAGUUUGAUUUGCAUUAAUUCAUGUUUGUCCCUUAAAAGAUAGAAUCCCCUCGAUAAUGUUCCUUUAAAUCCCUUGAAUUCUCCUGCACACUCCUGUACACUGUAACUUACACGUUAACAGUUUGUUUUCAUUUCAUCCUGUAUCCUUGAGUUGAGAAAUAUCUUUCAAUUGCAAGCUGGCAAUUGAACUACAACUCCCAGAUAAACUCCAUCUGAUAAAUUUCAGCUAAAUAGUAUGUGUGACCAAGAAUUAAGCAAAUAUCCUGCUUUUAUCACCCUUAAAGUGACACGGUUGGCACUAUAACCAUUUUAUCUAUUUGGAGUGGUUGUAGUGCCCGGAGUACCCUUGAUGCUGUGCCUCCAUUCAGUGUUAAGUCAUUUUCAAGCAGUUUUACACUAAAUAAGGGACCUUGGCCAUCCACAGCCCAGACCCUACUGGAAAUAUACCUAAAAUAGAGACUACACUCUUUUAUUCAGCCAUGCCAAUUCAUGACAACAAUAGGUGAUAUGCUAAGUCAGCUGACACUCUCAGUCAAUCACAGCCGCCCACUGCAGCUCAGAUUAAUGCUCUUAAUUCCCCUCUGUAUGAUGUCCAAUUCAUUUCCUUGGAUCUGGGCAGCCUUGAGAUAUCUUGGCAUUUAACCCAAACCAACCUCUCUCUGUUACCUCCCCUACAGCCUAAACUAUGAGCCCAGCCUUUUAAUCAGGAGCCAUGGUAUGAGGACUACACAUUUUCUAUUCGAGCGGAGUAUCGAACAUGACCCCUUCUCUAGGAUUGGAAUGUCAGGACCAGACCUAGUUUUUGUUCAGUGAUUUUUCUUGUUGGGUAGAUGAGCUUUUAAAGCAGCUUUGCUGGAACACAAAUAGUGAUAGUGCUCAUCCUACGUUUGUUAUUCUGGGCAUGCGGAAUCCUGCUUUAGUAGUCACAAUGCGGGCAGAGCUAUGGUUUGUUUGUCAGUUUUAGCAUGGAUGGGGUAAGAAGUCAGAGGAACUCUUUGGUUCUCCUCCAAGGUUUUGUUCUUUAACAAGCAGUGUGCACAAUAUUAUUUUUGUUUAAAAUGAUCUGCUGUGUGAGACACAAACAAUGAAUGCCAAAUAACUUCAAUGGUCAUAGAGUGAGAAAUUCUAUCCAAUUCACAAAGCAGGAACGAACAACGUGGACUGACACAAAUGUUAUUCACAAAAUGACAGCAGAUACAAAGUGAGUUCACCUGUAAAUUAUGCUGCACCUAUUCCUUGGUAUAUCUCGAAUGCGGCAAGCUUCUUCAUACAACCUCUCACCAAUGUUUCCAAUUUAAAAAUGCAAUCCUUCAGUUAUUGCUUCCAAUUUCGUGUCAAAGUACCAUUUCUGCAUAAUUUUAGCACUCCCUUACAGGUCGCCAAUCACAACUUGCAAAACAUUGUAAACUAGGAAAUUCAAUUAUUUGAAAAUAAGCAAACAAAUUUUCAAUUACUGAGCAGUGUUCUGGGCUGAAUGCCAAAAUUGUUAAAAUUAUAUUAGAGCUUUAAGUCUAAUUAAUUCAAUGAGGAACUAUCAUGUUGACUGUUAUGUCUCUCAGUAGACCUGAUGACAAAACAGGGAAAAGGGAGAAUGGCACAGCUACAAUUUUGCAGUAUAAUUCGAUAAAAAUAAUUAUGUGCAAAAGUUAUUUAUAUUUCUGGGUUUCCGUAAACAACUAAAAACUAAUAAUUUUAAACUAAAGAAUGUCUAAAAUAAUUUUUCAGAACGGCUGAUGGAUCAGUAACUCUGUUCAUCAUUUCUAGAAAAAAAAAUACAGUAUUUUUACACAUACAAGACAUGUACAUGUUUUUUUCUAUUUUUUUUCUAUUAUUUUCUAUUUUAGUCUAAAAUUGGGGUUCGUCUUAUACACGGAAAGUCACUGCAGGGGUUAAAAAAACAAAACACUUGUGCGAGGGGGCUAAGUUAAGAUGGCGCCUGCCACAUUUCAGUGUCUCACGGUCCACACACAUUCCUGGCUUACCUCCCGCCGAUCCACUUCUGAAUGCUGUAGCAAGGAGGAAGAGGUCCCUAUAUGUGUGGGUGCUGCAGCAGACAUCAGCACUUACCACCAACGGACCUCCAGAGACAUGCCACACCACAAAAGGAGCAGCCAUAUUAAGGUUUGCUCUACGUCAGAUAGGUCUUGCUUCCUGAUCUUUAUAUAUGGGGAAGGAAAUGGGGAUCAGGGAGCAGAGGGAAUACUACUGUAAUGUCCCAGCAUGCCCUCACACCACCUGAUGUAUUAUGGGAGCUGUAGUCUCCCAGCAUGCCCUCACACAACCAGCUGUAUUGUGGGAGCUGUAGUCUCCCAGCAUGCACUAUAAAGCUAUUAACGUCACAGAGUACCAUAGCAAAGGUUGGCAUGAGAAUCAGAAGUGUGUUGUUCUCCACAGAAAUCCCCUCUAAAACAUCGUUUUAUAUCAACGUUGUUCUAUUUGAUGUUUAAAAUAUUAAUUUCUUAAUCUUGGGCUAAAACAAUAGGGGUUGUCUUUUUCCAUGGGGGCGUCUUAUCCACGGAAAAAUACGGUAAAUGCCUAUCUUCUAGAGAUGUUACCGGUAGACAGCAUUGCUUUUAACCUUUUUAACUUGGACUUAAGUUAUGUGUAUGACUUGGUGACCUAUUCUUCAUUUUUAAAAUGAGUUCAUUCCCCCAUUCUUUAAACGUAAAAUAAUAUAUAGCAAUUAACAAAGUUUGGCCAUGUCGAAUCUCAGCCAAACAUUCUUCUCACAUUUUCCGGAGCAGCUAAAUUGUUAAAGUAUUACUGUAAUAUUGUAACCACUGGUUCUGUCCGCCCUCUGACACCUUUAUUGUUAAUGUGGCAUUAUUCUAAUAUUCUAGUUUGCAGUGCGCUUACUCUGUGUAUUUCCUUGACCUCUAAUGACCAGUAAUACUCCUAUUCUCUCAUAGUGAGAAGAGAUAGGUAUAAGAAGAACCACAUGCAUCUAAACACUCUUUCACCAUAACUAUAACAAGCCGUAGUGGUUGUGGUGAUUAGAGUGCCCUUUAAAGUGGCCUUCUCACCUGAAUUUUUUUUAUUUAUAUGUCAUAAAAUAAGUAACUACUUCAAACAGAUACAUUUAAGUUUAAUCUAACCAAGCUUUAUAUUUACAUAUUGAUCAGCUGCCUUCUCUGUAAGCCCCUUCACUGGCUCCCCAAUCACAGCAGAAUUAAAUUCAGAAUUCUCUGACCCCAAAAAACCUUACUUACACCGCUCCCCACUAACUGUCCUUACUAAUCAACAAAUAUACUCCAGUUCGCCUCAUAAAAUCGAACAAUGACCUGUUCUUUGCGUCUUCAUAUGUUAGACUGCAGGACUUCUCUUGUGCGGCACCAGCUCUUUUCCUCGCCUAAGACUUUUUCCUAGUCUGUCUUGCUUUAAAUGCUCCCUAAAGACAUUUUGUUGUUCAGGGAAGCCUACCAAUCGACCCUUCUGUGCAGUCCUUCCUCGUGUUACUCCAACUAUCCAUCUAAAUUGUAAGUUACCCAGGGAAUAGGGCCCUCAACACCUUCUGUAUUUGUUUGUCAAAUUUAGUAUUUUCUCAGAUGUAUUGUACUUUUGUCUUUUUACUUCUACCAAUUGUACUUAUGAACAGAAUUUAAGGAUUUGUUGCCGCUUUAUAAAUAAAGUAUAAUAAAAUAAUAAUAAUAGUUACUCCUUCAUUAUGUAGUACUCAUUUUGAAAGCCACAGUGGCAAUGUCAGAUGCUCAGGUAAUAUGUUAUAUUUUUCAAACCGAUGUUUCCUUCGACAAAUGUUGAAGACCCUUUAAUUGGUUUAUGAACUGCCUUUGUCAUGGUGGCACUGCUCAGAUAACAUAUAACCUCAAACAAAUAGCGUCAAACUGUCUCUGCAGAGCUACAAACAACCAUAAUUACUCCACACAUUUCUACUUCAUGGUAUAUAGACCCUAACUAAUUUUAAAGGAACACUAUAGGCACCCAGACUACUCCAGCUCAGUUUUUGAGUAGUACAUUGCAGCCUCUAGUGGCUGUCUACCAAAGGCACUUCCAGGAGUUUACUGGACUCUAGGUCCCUAAAUGACGCUGGAUGUCCUUAUGCUCUGCCUGAGGACAUCCAGCAUCCGUGAAAUCCUCAUAGGAAAUAAUAGAUUCAAUGCUUUACUAUGGGGAUGGCCUAAUGCCUUUGUGGCAUUCACUGCGAAUACACAUUAGGUAGGAUGAUGUCAGAAGAGGCGGAGCACUGAAGGACCUCAGCUCUGGAAUCAGAGUAAAUCAAGGGUUUUAAUCCUCUUUGUACCAGAAGGGGUAGCCGCGAGGGAGAGGGGACUAGAGGACACUAUAGUGUAUUCAGAUUUGUAUUUCUAACAAUAUAAAAUCCCUUUUAAUCAGUGUAUGUAUCAGUUAUUACAGGGUCCCCUCCUCACAUCUUAUAAUCAACGAUGUUAGAACAUGGACAGACUUUAUAGUGUGAGUGGGAAACAAAAUAAGCUAAAUAUCAGUAUUUAAAACAGGACUGUGCAAUACACCUUGACUGUUCCAUAUCAUGUACGCAGAGUGUCUUAGUACAGUUUUACUCACAGCUAGGUUUACAAAAUAUAAAUGGAUAUUAUUAAGUGUCAGGAUACACUGAUAUGCCCAACACGCAGAACUAAAGUAAAAAUAAAGAAAAGCCUUAGAACGUAUAAAAGGAAAAACACAAGACAGGCUGAGGACAAGAAUACAGAUAUCGCAUAAACGGUAUGCAAGCCAAAGGUCAAGGAAUAUAGAAGUCAGAAUAGUCAGGAGCCAAGCCAAAGGUCAAGGGAUACAGAGAUCGGAAUAGUCAGUAGGAAAGCCAAGGUCAAUACCAGAAACGCACUCUCGGAUAACCAGAAUGAUAACCAUGACAGGGCACAGAGAAAUGAAGAAAAAAGGUUUAAAUAGCCUAAGGUGCACCUUGAUUGGCUGCAGUGGAGCAUGUGACAGUUCAGUAAUAAUGUGCGCUCAGAUCUAAGCUAUCUGGGGAUAUGUUGAAUGUACCUGUUUUAUGCAAUAGCUGCACAGUUAUAUAUUUUCAUGUAUUUUAUUGUAUCUUGAUACCAUGUGGCUAAUGGAGUUUUGCCUCUGUCCUUGGAGAUAAUUGGAUUACUUCCCAAUUAUCUCCAGGAUAGAAGACUCUGUGGAACUGGUUUUGGGCAGAAAAGCCAUGCUUCCUUUGGUCACAAAGGACUAUGGUCUAUCUUGUGAACCACUGGACCAAUUUGGAUGAUUUUGACAUAUGUUUGUAUUUGGAGUAUGCCGAUUCUUAAAAUGUAAGUUUUAUGUGAAUGUGAUGCAUACUUUUAAAGUUAUGAAUAAUGUGGAAAAACUGUAUUCCUCUGCCUGUGAUAAAUACAUUAACCCAUUGUGUAAGGUAAUUGUAUCACAGGCAGAGGGGAGGAUUUUGUGUGGGAGUGUCUGAGUGUAUUGUACGUGUAUUUGGUUGUUUUCCAAAACCCUGUGGGUGGUUCUAAUGUGUAAGAAUGUGUAGAUAAGAACAAUAAACCCACAGCUCUAUCAGACCACUGCUUGACCCUCAACACAGAGCCUUGUCUCGUUUUUGUGGGGAUUUAUUGUAUGCUGUUCCAGUUUGACUGCUAGGAGUGUAAACCUAUUCGUAUGGUUUUUCCUAUUCGGCUGUUUACAGCAUUUGUAUGGUUCCGGUUCGGUUGUUUACGGCAUUUAUAUGGUUUCCUUUUCAGCAGAUUGGUGUCUUUGGUAGCUGCCUGUGUAUCUGGAAGGGGAAUAUCCUCUAAACAGCGUUUAACCACUUUUAUGCCUGGGGGUGCCGUAACACAGGUGAAGUGACUGGAUAGAAACCGUUCUAUAUUACAUAGUUUCUGUUCUAUCCNNNNNNNNNNNNNNNNNNNNNNNNNNNNNNNNNNNNNNNNNNNNNNNNNNNNNNNNNNNNNNNNNNNNNNNNNNNNNNNNNNNNNNNNNNNNNNNNNNNNGGAGGAUGACAACAUCAUUUUGACUGAUAUAAAGAUAAUUAGUUGUGUCUGGUUGGAAAGUAAUUAGAAUGUUGGAGGAUGUUCUGUUUGAGAUAUAGACCAGGCUCCGCAGGACGCAUGCUUGCAGUUUAUUAAUCUAGCCGCGGUGUAAGAAGGGACUGGCUUUAGAUCUGCAUUUUCCGAACAUAGCAAAACAGCUACAAAACAUAAAACAGAAUACUAUAUCUGGCAGAACAUAAAAUACUGUCUACAUAUUUCAUAUUUUUACGUUUACAGGGAAUAAAGAGUUUUCUGGAUGCUGGAUAAGCAUCAUGGUAACAGCGUUUGGCAAGUGCCUUCAGUUUCAAGGUUAUUCGUCAAUGCUCUAAGUUCUUAGUCAUUUGUCUGACUCAUUGUUUGCGUAAAUUAUCCCUUAUUGUAUUACCUUACUGUAUCUCUUUCUGUCACUAAUUUUGAUCCCCUGCAAACACCACCAUGAAUGAAUGUGCUGAAGGUCAGCAGUGGGCGCUAUAUAAAACCUUGCAGGUUGACACGACGCAUGAUGUAAUGAUGACCUGUAAGUUAAUAUGGCACAUUUAAAUGAUGGAAAAAAACAUGCUAUCCCUGUUAAAUUACCUUUGUUCAUACCUCAGGCAUUUUAUUUGUUAAACUGCGAGUCUGACGUUACAAAUUACAGCUAGAUAUUGGUGUUUCAAUGGCACGGUGAAGAUCAUAUUACCAAAUUGGCCAUGACGGUAUUUUACUGGUGAACCAAUAACCAUUUUAUUGAUGGUCAUUACCUAUCUCAUGCAUUACCAGUUUUAUUCCGAAGACGUUGGGAAGCCUCAUGCAAACCGACAAUGGCUGCCCACAGGGUGUAUGGAUUAGUAUGGAUUAGAUCUGCAAUGUUUAAAAGAGGGAGACCAAUGUGGCCUACUAGAAAGAUCUCAAAACAGGAACCCUCACAUUGUCAUCCGUAGGAUAAGCAUUAUUAAUGGGGUUUGAGGCUGAGAGAGUAAAUGCAACAACAGAGUUCAUAGUUAGACUGGAGCUUCAUGUCUAAGUGGAGAACGUAGGUUCAGGAAGGGACGUGCCUCUGCUGGCUGGGUGACAGAAUGUGGAUUUGUGGAUUGAAUGAGAAAAAAAGCUUUAAGGGUUGAAUGCAAGAAUAUGACUAUGUACAUUAAAGGGACACGAUAGGCACCCAGAACACUUCAUCUCAUUAAAGUGGUGUGGGUGCAGUGCCCUUGUCAGUUUAAUCAUACAAUAAAGUUAUUAAUAAACUACAAUAAUUACUUUACAUGGUUAACUCCCUGGGGUUCACUUUAGGUCGCCUAACUGACGCUGAACGUCCUCACGCUGACUCUACUAAUAUAAAAUGAGCAAUAAACCAGACAAAAGAGCAGCUUUUUCACAGAAAAAAAACUAGUUUGAGCACAUUUCACAAGGACACUGAUUCCAUUAAUAUCAAAGCAAUCAAGGUUGUGUUUUGAUGUAAGAAACGCACAGAGCGUGUGAUGCAUUAAUUUCUGGAAUCAGAACCCUGUAAUAAACGUCACAUCUCUGUCACCAGGUUCACUCCUCCACGACACUAAAAGCAGAACAGGAAUGGGAAAAUAAUGGCAGCGUCAAACAAUACAAUGCUUCCGACACACACAGAGAAUCGUUCAGCUUCACACUCUACAGCAGCCUGCGCCAAGGGAAAUCACAUCACCGUGACACUCACAAGUCCUUCACCAACACAACAUGAAUUCCAUUUGGAGACGUAAACCCGAAUCUGCCCACUUUAGCCUCUCAACGCAUUCUCUGCUCCCCAGAGUUAGGGGAAAUCUAGCUACAUACUCAACACCUCAGUAAUCAUUACCAAGACUCUCCCCGUCAUCCUGUUCAGAUUAGAACAUUAACCAGAUAAGAAUACGGUACUUCACAUAUCAGCCAGCAGAGCAAGAACUCACUGGGUCCGUUAAACACCUCCUGCCCCCAUAUUCGUAAUACUUUAUUUGCCAUGGAGGCAGUCAUAGAAAAGACAAUCACAGGCCCCUGAUCAUAUGAAACUCACAGGAAAUUAUUCACAAAAUGGGCAGUUGUAAACACCACGCAAGGAAACUGCAAAGUUUAAAUAGCAAAAUAGCAGAAGUGAAAAAUGUACACCAUUGUAUUAUGCAUUGAAAAUCACGUAUCAUUUGUAAUAACACUUUUUCAUGAAAUACUUUUCUUUUAUAUAUUAAAGGGACACUAUAGUCACCAAAACAACUUUAGCUUAAUAAAUGCAGUUUUGGUGUAUAGAUCAUGCCCCUGCAGCCUCACUGCUCAAUUAUCUGCCAUUUAGGAAUUAAAUAACUUUGUCUACACAGCCCUAGGCACACCUUCCUGCAUGUGACUUACACCGCCUUCCUAACACUUCCUGGAAAGAGUCAUCUAAUAUUUACACUUCUUUUACUGCAAAUUCUGUUUAAUUUAGAAUUAUAUAUCACCUGCUCUGUGAAUAGCUUGCUAGACCCUGCAUGAGCCUCCUGUGUGUGAUUAAAGUUACAUUUACAGAUCAGGAGAUACAAAUUGUGGCAAACCUAGCCACUUGGGACUGCCUAAGAUAGAAUGGUUGUGCCUAUUUUCUGUUGUGUACUGCGCGCCGGUAUAGUGUGGCGUCUCCGGCUAUGUUUAAUUUAUGCUGUACUGUGUAUGUCUGUUCGAAUCCUCCCCAUUCGUUAGCAUUGCUAUUAAAACUGACUAAGUUGUAUAUUUUGAAGUAGAAAGGUAACGGUUUAUGUCCUCGUAGUUUUCAUUACUGUAUGUUACAGCAGGGGCUGUUGGGAGGAGGACCUGGAAACGGUAGUCUCCCUCCAGUCCCCUCAACCAAAACCCCUGCUGCCCAUCUUUGGAAACCCCUGUUGAGUGACCUGCUUUAAAUAUCAGUUAUUUUUAAUAAAGUGACAGUUGAGUGACCUGCUUUAAAUAUCAGUCUUUUUGAAUAAAGUGGCAGUUGACUCUCAGACUGUGUUUCGUCUGGUUCUUGGGAGGAUUUGGGAAUAUUGCCUGCUUCCAGCUUUGUACUUGGUUAUUGCAUUCUACCAGCAGAGAUCCUGGGAUUAUAAAAUUGCAGCUCUGCAACAAUUGGUGGCAAGCGGCGGGAUCCAACCGUACAGCAGGAAAAACGCUGUUACCGUACAGCAGGAAAAACGCUGUUUAUACGAUUGGAAUUGACAUACUGGAAAGCAGAAGGCAAUUGAUACAGAUGCAGAAGUGAAUGGGGACGGACUACACCAUAUUGAAACGGCAAACGUUAAAGGAGCUGUUGGAAGCCAGGGGUAAGAUAGCCAGCAAUAAGCCUAAAGCAAGACUUAUUGCCGAGCUAAUGGAAGGAGACCGAGCUCGUAGUGCUACACCCCCAGCAAACAUGGAGGAGACCCCAUUUGAACGAGAAAUGAGGACAAGAUUGGCAUUUUGGCCCGCUCCAGUAUCUCCAGAAAUUAUGACCAUAAUUUCGGCGGAUGCACAGGAGUACGUGAUGGCGCAAAGGAAUCAAGCCUUCUCACCUCAAGCAGAAACCGCUGCUGUUUCAACUGUGGGCCAGGGAAGGCCAAAAAUACCACAUCAUGCAUUUAAAACUUUUUGCGAGGAUAAAGACGAAAUAGAUGGAUUCUUGCAAGAUUUUGAAAGAUUGUGUGACUUGCAUGAUGUAGAGCAAGCUAUGUGGGUACCUUUGUUGGCAGGCAAACUGUCUGGGCAUGCAGCAGACGCCUACCGGGCUGUACCCAGAGAGGACAGCAAGAAUUAUGACAAGGUAAAGCAGGCGCUAUUAGAAAGGUAUGCCAUUACCCCAGAGGCAUACCGGCGCAAGUUCCGAGAAUUGAAAAAAGGGGACAAAGACUCACAUGCGGAGUGGGCACACAAGCUUGACCAAGCCUCACAAGGCUGGAUACAAGCCAGCAGAGCUACCACCAUGGAAGAGUUACGCCAGAUGUUGCUACUGGAGCAGUUUUGUAAUGGCCUGGCACCAGAGGCUCAAGAAUGGGUGAAUGACCGAAAUCCUCACACCCUAACCGAAGCGGCACGAUUGGCCGACCAACAUUAUGAUGCUAGGAGGCAUCAUAAAAAUAAUAACCGAGGGUAUGCAAAACCCAACCCGCAACCGUUUCCAGUUAUUGCUCCUGCCCCAGCGACAGCACCAUCCAGACCAGCACUUGUGGGACAACCUCCCCACUCCCGUUAUAAUGGCAGGUCCAACAUCCAGUGCCAUGCCUGUAAGCAAUGGGGGCACAUGGCCCGGGAGUGCACCCAAAACCGGAGCCGCAAGAACUGGAAUCAGCUCCGGCAGAAUAUGGCCCCGCGGGCAGCUGCUCAUUAUUAUCAUGCAGAGCCAACUUUGCCAGGAGUGCCGCUUGAGUCGGCUGAUGAACCCCUGGGCGUUUUGCACGAUGUAAUGUCCAUCCAUGCUACUGACAACCGACAACCACAUUGCCAGACCGUGACUCUGGAAGGGAAAGAGGUACAGGGGCUACGUGAUUCCGGCGCUACCUUAACUUUGGUUGCCCCGCAUUUGGUGUCAGGAUCAGCACAUACCGGGGGAUCGGUAGCAGUCCGGGUAGCAGGGGGUGCCAUGUACCGGCUACCAACUGCCAAGGUACAUCUGAAUUGGGGUGCGGGGGAAGGUAUGGUGGAGGUGGGGCUGAUGCACAAGUUACCAGCUGAUGUUGUUUUGGGGAAUGACCUGGGGCAAAUGACUUCCGCUUUUGUGCCCCAAAGUCCUCGCCAUGAGGCAUAUCCAGUGACCACCCGUCAGCAGGCUCGCACCACGGCUUCAUCUUCCACACACUCUGAGGCUCAGGUAAGAGACAAUGUACCCCGUGUAACCCGUGUUUCCUGGGAUACCCCGACUGACUUUGAGGCAGAGGUUAAAAACGAUCCCACGUUGCAAAUUUAUAAGGAUAAGGCGACAGCUGGUCAGACAGGUUUAGAGGGAGAACAGUAUGUAUGGGAGAAAAAUCUGUUAUAUCGUGUUGCUGAGCGGGUGGUAGGGGGGUCUGUACAUGUGACUAAUAAGCAGCUUAUAGUGCCCCAGAAAUACCGGCAGGAACUGCUUAGAAUUGCCCACGAUAUUCCGCUGUCUGGGCAUUUAGGGAUGACAAGAAUGAGGUACAGAUUGACACAUGCAUUUUUCUGGCCAGGUAUAUCUAGAGAUGUGAGACAGUAUUGUCAGACAUGUGACAUUUGUCAGAGAGUGGGAAAAAGGGGUGACCGCCACAAAGCGAAAUUGUGCCCCCUUCCCAUUAUUGAAGAACCCUUUAGCAGAGUAGCAGUGGAUAUAGUCCCCAUUGGAGCAUUUUGGCCCGCUCCAGUAUCUCCAGAAAUUAUGACCAUAAUUUCGGCGGAUGCACAGGAGUACGUGAUGGCGCAAAGGAAUCAAGCCUUCUCACCUCAAGCAGAAACCGCUGCUGUUUCAACUGUGGGCCAGGGAAGGCCAAAAAUACCACAUCAUGCAUUUAAAACUUUUUGCGAGGAUAAAGACGAAAUAGAUGGAUUCUUGCAAGAUUUUGAAAGAUUGUGUGACUUGCAUGAUGUAGAGAAAGCUAUGUGGGUCCAAGCCUAGCCCUUCCAGCAAGCGGUAUAUUUUGACCAUUGUAGAUUAUGCCCCCCUGUACCCGGAGGCUAUAGCCCUUUCCAAUAUACAAGCAGAAACGGUAGCCGAAGCUAUGAUGAAGAUAUUUUCCAGGAUGGGAUUUCCCCAAGAGAUAAUUUCGGAUAGGGGCACCCAAUUUACAGCCGAAGUGACCCACCAGCUAUGGAAGUUAUGUGGCAUUAAGCCAAUUGUAAAUUCUGCCUAUCACCCGCAGUCCAAUGGGUUGUGUGAGCGCUUUAACGGUACCUUGAAGCAGAUGCUCAGGACAUUUGGGGAGUCCCAUAAAGACUGGGAGAGGUUUUUACCCCAUCUGCUUUUUGCGUACCGAGAAGUGCCACAGGAAUCUACCGGCUUCUCUCCGUUUGAGUUAUUGUUUGGGAGAAGGGUGAGGGGACCCCUAGACUUAAUUAGAGAACAUUGGGAGGGGGGGAGCAGUGCAGAUGGAGUCCCCAUUGUGCCAUACGUGCUGGAGUUCCGGGACCGCUUGGAGGCUCUAACCCAAACCGUACGGGAGAACCUCCGGGCGGCUCAGCGGCGACAGCGCCGGUGGUACGAUAGGGGAGCCAGAGACCGUAGCUUUCAGGUGGGACAGAAAGUUCUAAUUUUGAAACCUGUCCGCACAGACAAGCUACAGGCCACCUGGCAGGGCCCAUACCAAGUGGUAGAACAGAGAUGUGACACCACUUAUGUGAUCGGCCCGUGCUCUGGGGUAGGGAAGCGACGCAUGCUCCAUGUGAACAUGCUCAAACCCUAUCACCAGAGAAUAGAGGAGGUAGCAGCCAUCUGUGCCCCAGCCACUGAGGAUUAUGAGAAUCUGCCCUUGCCAGACAUGUUAGAAAAGGAAGAUUCUGCAGAAAACGCUACAGGUGUGCAGCUGGGGGAGCGGCUAAGUCUCCAGGAGCGUGCCCAGGUACAGGAGUUGAUUGCGGCAAAAGGUGCUACCUUCUCCAAUUUACCAGGGUACACUCUGUUAGCUACCCACCGAGUAGAGACCCCAGGACAGCUCCCUAUGAGACAGACUCCGUAUCGUAUCCCUGAAGCAGUAAGGGAGCACAUGAGGAAAGAAAUUGAGGAAAUGUUGCAGUUAGGGGUUAUCGAACAUUCAGAUAGCCCCUGGGCAUCACCAGUAGUGCUAGUACCCAAGAAGGAUGGCACCACGCGGUUUUGUGUAGACUACCGGAGGCUCAAUGACAAAACAGUGUCUGACGCCUACCCGAUGCCCCGUAUAGACGAGCUGCUAGAUAGGAUGGCAAGAGGCCAGUAUCUCACUACCAUUGAUCUGUGUAAGGGAUACUGGCAGAUUCCACUAGCCGAGGAGGCCAUCCCCAAGUCGGCGUUUGUCACCCCGUUUGGCCUGUAUCAAUUUCGGGUCAUGCCUUUCGGGAUGAAAAACGCUCCGGCUACCUUUCAGAGGAUGGUAGAUCGGCUACUGGACGGGUUCCAAGAGUACGCCUGUGCGUACUUAGAUGAUAUAGCCAUUUAUAGCCAGACCUGGGCAGAUCAUUUGAAACAUAUUAGUGUGGUCAUUGACCGUAUUGGAGAGGCAGGGCUGACACUAAAACCUAGCAAGUGUCACAUAGGGAUGGCAGAGGUGCAGUACCUGGGUCACAGGGUAGGAUGCGGACAGCAGAGGCCCAACCGGCCAAGAUAGAGGCAGUAGCUAAGUGGCCUACCCCCAGGACAAAGACACAAGUAUUGGCGUUCCUUGGUACCGCUGGUUACUACAGAAAAUUUGUGCCCAAUUACAGCGCCCUGGCCAAACCCCUGACGGACUUGACCAAGAAAAACUUGCCACGACAGGUCAACUGGGCCCCAGAGUGUGAACAGGCAUUCCAUGAACUAAAAACUGCAUUAACUAAGGCUCCUGUGUUAACUGCCCCUGAUCCAACUAAACGAUUUCUUGUUCACACAGACGCUUCCAUGUUUGGAUUGGGGGCAGUACUGAGCCAAGUGGGAGCUGAUGGCGGAGAACAUCCCGUAGCUUACUUAAGCAGAAAAUUACUACCAAGGGAAGUAGGCUACGCCGCCAUCGAGAAGGAAUGCCUGGCCGUGGUGUGGGCCCUCAAAAAGUUACAACCUUAUUUGUAUGGACAACCAUUCUCCUUGCUCACAGAUCACAACCCGUUGGUGUGGCUACACAGGGUGUCAGGAGACAAUGCCUGGCUGUUGCCCUGGAGUUUGGCGCUGCAGCCGUUUGAUUUCACGAUCCAUUAUCGCCCUGGAAAACAGAAUGGUAACGCUGAUGGGUUGUCCAGACAGACAGAACUUGAGAAAUGAUCUGUGAGCACUCCCCCGGACAUCCCCAAGCCGAUCCGUUGGGAUCAGACUGUGUAUGCCGGCUUGGUUUUGGGGAGCAUUGUGGCAAACCUAGCCACUUGGGACUGCCUAAGAUAGAAUGGUUGUGCCUAUUUUCUGUUGUGUACUGCGCGCCGGUAUAGUGUGGCGUCUCCGGCUAUGUUUAAUUUAUGCUGUACUGUGUAUGUCUGUUCGAAUCCUCCCCAUUCGUUAGCAUCCCUCCAGUCCCCUCAACCAAAACCCCUGCUGCCCAUCUUUGGAAACCCCUGUUGAGUGACCUGCUUUAAAUAUCAGUUAUUUUUAAUAAAGUGACAGUUGAGUGACCUGCUUUAAAUAUCAGUCUUUUUGAAUAAAGUGGCAGUUGACUCUCAGACUGUGUUUCCUCUGGUUCUUGGGAGGAUUUGGGAAUAUUGCCUGCUUCCAGCUUUGUACUUGGUUAUUGCAUUCUACCAGCAGAGAUCCUGGGAUUAUAAAAUUGCAGCUCCGCAACAAAAACAUACUCGUUUUCCUGGCACUAUAGUGCCCUGAGGGUGCCCCCACCCUCAGUGUCCCCCUCCCGCCCGGCUCUGGGGAGAGGAAAGGGGUAAAAUCUUACCUUUUUCCAGCGCUGGGCGGGGAGCUCUCCUCCUCCGAUCCUCCUCGGUUCCUCCCAUUCGUCUGAAUGCGCACGCACAGCAAGAUUUACAAUGCUUUCCUAUGGACGCUUGCGUGUUCCUAGAGGAAUUGGAGGAAGGUUUAACCCAUUUGUAAACAUAGCAGUUUCUCUGAAACUGCUAUGUUUAUAAAAAAAUGGGCUAAUCCUAGCUGGACCUAGCACCCAAACCACUUCAUUAAGCUGAAGUGGUCUGGGUGCCUAGAGUGGUCCUUUAAAGGGACACUCCAGGCACCCAGACCACUUCAGCUAUUUGAAGUGGUCUGGGUGUUGUGCCCCUUUUGCACUUAGUGCUGCAAUAUAAAACAUUGCAGUUCCUGAUUCAUAACGGACUUUUGGUCUGUUAUAUGAUGCUGGGCAUUUUAUUAUUCAAUGCUUUCCUAUGGGGAGGUCUAACACGCACGCGUGACCAUUGCUGCGCAUUCGCAUUAGGUCUCCCGCGCCGGCUAACGUUGGCGGGGGGAGGAGCAAGGGUGGAGCCUUACCCAGCAACGACGGACAUCGGCGCUGGAUUCAGGUAAGUAGCUGAAGGGGUUAUAACCCCUUCAGAGACAUGGGAUAGAGGGCGGGAGGAAUCAGUCGGGAGCUAUUAACAGUUUAAUAGAUACGCUUUUAUGUAGAAGUGGGUUUUUAAUGAUUUAUUGAGUGGAGACUGAGUUAAUGAGUUAAUGAGUGGAGACUGGGUGAGCAUCUAACAGAGCAGGGAAGUGAGUUCCACAGGAACGGUGCAGCCCUUGAGAAAUCUUGAAGGCAAGCAUCAGAGGUGGGAGUAUGGACAGAAGAUAUACGUAAGUCUUCAGAAGAGUGUAAGGGUCUAGAGUGGACAUACUUGUGUAUUAGGGAGGAUAGAUAGGUGGGAGCAGCAUUAUGUAGAGAUUUGAAAGCAAGAACCAGAAUUGUAAAUUGAGCCCUAUAUCUUACAGGAAGCCAAUGUAGCCAAUGUAGGGACCGACAGAAGGGUGAGGUGUGGGAGGUGAGGACGGACGGGAAGAUGAGCCUCGCUGACGCAUUCAUUAUGGACUGUAAUGGUGCAAGUUGGGAGCACGUAAGACCACUGAGAAGCAGAUUACAGUAGUCAAGGCGAGAAAGGGCAGUGGAGUGGACCAGCACCUUAGUCGCAUCUGGCGUUAAGUAGAGUCGGAUGUGCGCAACAUUUUUGAGAUGGAAGCGGCAGAUUUUGGCAAUGGACUGAACAUGAAGCAUGAAGGAGAGGUCGGAGUCAAAGAACACCUAGGCAGUGAGCCUGCGUGGUGGAGCUGAUGGUGGCACCAUUGACUUGGAGGGAGACAGACACAGGAGUAGCAACAAUUGAGGGAGGAAAGACCAGAAUUUCAGUUUUGGUCAAGCUGAGUUUAAGGAAGUGGGCAGCCAUCCAGUUAGAAAUAGCAGAGAGACGGUCAGAGACACUAGUCAAGAGGGACGGGGAGAAAUCAGGAGAGGACAGAUAGAUGUGUGUAAUCCGCAUAGAAAUUAUAUUGGAAGUCAAAGGAGCUAAUGAGUUUACCAAGGGAGGCAGUAUAGAUAGAGAACAGUAGGGUACCAAGGACUGAACCUUGGGGUACACCAACAGAGAGGAGUUGGGGAGAAGAAGCAGAGCCAGAGAAAGAAAUACUGAAAGAGCGCUGGGAGAGGUGGGAGGAGCACCAGGAGAGAGCAAUAUUUUUUAGACCGAAUAUCUUGUAAAGAGUCCCUUUAAUGUGACUUAACCUUGUUUAAUUAAAUUAACUUUAGUUUGAACACUAGUCAAGUGGUUUCUACAGUACAUAUUUUAUAUCCUCAGCUAGAUUGGUUUACUAACCAAAUACAUACUCCCCCCCCCCCACACACACACCUUUAGAUGACACCUAAAGCCAGUCAUGAUAGGCAGUUAUCUCCCAGGUGUAAGAUCUAUGACAUACCUAUACAUCCAAAUAUUGAGGGGACUAUAUUUAGUGGGGACUGGAGGGCAGGUGGGAGCGAGAUAGUGGUUUUAAUACAAUAGGGUCAGGAAUACAUGUUUGUGUUCCUGACUCUAUGGUGUUCCUUUAAAGAUGGAGCAACAAAUGUUGAAACCAAUAGCAAGAUUUUAUAAGUUGCUUCAUCUUUUAAACUUUGCCCCAAACUGACCAUUAUCCAUAUAUUUUAAUGUUAAAUCCUGUUUUUUGUUUUCUCUGUUUUGUUAAUCGUAAUGAGCCUUAACUUCUACUAUUACUCACUUAUGGUUUUACCUGGUGCUAUUCGAUGUGGUGUAUCUGUAUGACAUUUUGACUUUCCCUUUAGGUUAUCUUUAUUUCCUUCACAAAUUAACAUUUAGCCAUUUUAACUAUGUCUGUACAUAUCACAAGUGUACCAAUCUGUUCUAUCCUGAUAUUACAUCAUGGUAUUCCUGGGUUAAUGUAAAUAGUUCACAAGUGGCUGAUUUGAUUGAAAAUGCCAGCCCAGUUCCUGGUUUUCAACACAGCACGACCCUUUGUCAAGUAAUUAAGUUCCAAACCUCAAACCAGUGCCUACGUCAUAGAAGGAGACUCUUGGGACUAUAUCUAAAAAGAGGUGAAAAGAUGUAAAGUAGAACUCAAACAUGUUAUUCUAUGGAGUUUAAUUCUCAAACAAAUAUUACAGUUUUCCCUUUUCAACUUUCCACAGCUUAGUAACAUCGAACUAUACACGAGAUGAUUACGCAGUAUGCAUCACAUAAAAACAAAUAUUGACAAACACAGGAGACAGUAGCUCCUAUAACCGAUAUAACCUUAAAAUAAAUACUAUGUUAACUUCUACUUUAUUGACUAAGAGAUAAAUAGUGCAAUUCAUUUUUCUGUUAAAGAAGUUGAAUCAUUAUCAAGCAUUGGUCCUGGAAACAAUGAAGGUGGUUGAAUAACAUGAAGGUGAUACUUGAAUUACUCUAAAAAUGGAGCUCAUUAGACAUCAGGUAUACUACACAGACGGCUAAAAUAAAGGUGAAUGUAUAGUAUAAUGUUAGGGAGAUGUCACAAAAUAGCUGUAGAGCUGCUGUCAGGUUUUUCUGCUAAUUAUGUUGUUAUGUUGUGCAGUGAUUGGAAGACACAAUAUUUUGGUAGUAAAUGAAAAGACUAGAUCACUUUGAUAGGGUCUGCAGCUAUCAGGGCCGGACUGGGAAUUAAAAGCAGCCCUGGAAAAAAAAAUAUUUACCAGCCCCAUAAUGCGUCGCGCCAGCAUAGUGUGCAGAUACAGAGUUAGAACAGAUAACUUAAAAUUAAAAAGUACUUCAACGUAAAAAGCGCACUCAUAGGCUUCAAAAUAAACAACAGUGCAGAUUUAUUUUAAGCAGACGUGCCUUUGCAUGUACUCAAUGUUUCAGUCCAACUACCUUGACAUAUUAAGGAAAGCUUGUUAAUAGGACUGAAAUGGUGACUGUAUGUAGGGCACAACUGUAAAAAAUUUUUAUUUUGAAGUCCUGUGGGUGUGCUCUUCACUUUAAAAAUGUUAUUGUGCUGGAGUAUGCACCUAGCAACAAGACUGGGCCAAUAUCUGCUCAUUAUAUAUGGUACAUAUUAAUGACAUUCCUCGGUGUAUUAUGCAUUAUAUAAAUGUACAUUAAUAUGUGUAAAUAUAAUAGAUUAAUAUACAUGUCAUAUAUCAGUGACGGAUCCAGAGCCUGAGCCCUGGAGGGGCACUUGUAGAUUAUUUAAAGAAAUAUUCCAUGCACAAUAACCACUACUCCUCUGUGUAGUGGUUAUGGUGCCAGGAGUGUCGGCACCCCCUCCCAGAGUAAGUAGUCAAACCGUUUAAGAACAGUGGUGCAAUGUGUGAGGGGUGCAAUGUGUGUGAAAGGUUCAGUGUGUGGGUGUGGGGGGCAGUGUGUGAAUGUGUAUGGUGUGUGUGUGGGGGGGCAGUGUGUGAAUGUGUAUGGUGUGUGUGUGGGGUGGCAGUGUGUGAAUGUGUAUGGUGUGUGUGGGCAGUGUGUGUAUGGGGCUAGAGUUCACUCCUACUACUGAGACCACCAGGAAGUGGUGAGAGUGAACUCUAGCCCGUAGCUCCAGGGCUAGAGUUCACCCUCGUGAGAGCCGGAGUGUUGCCCCGGGUCCUCUCUUUCUCCCCCUCACUGCUCCUCUGUGUCAAUGUCUCCCCUCUCCUUCCCAGUCUCUCUCUUCCCCCUCUUUCUUCCCCUCCCCUUGUGUGUCUCUCUCAUUUCUCCCUCUUUGUCUCUCUCUUCCCCCUCUGCCUCUUUCACCCCCGUUCCCUGUGUCUUUCCCUCCUCCCCAUCUCUCUCCCUCCCCCCUUUCCCUGUGUCUCUCCCUCCUCCCCAUCUCUCUCCCUCCCCCCUUUCCCUGUGUCUCUCUCUCCAACCCAUCUCCCCCCGUUUCCCUGUGUCUCUCCCCUUUCCUCAUCUCUCUCNNNNNNNNNNNNNNNNNNNNNNNNNNNNNNNNNNNNNNNNNNNNNNNNNNNNNNNNNNNNNNNNNNNNNNNNNNNNNNNNNNNNNNNNNNNNNNNNNNNNUGCAUUAACUAAGGCUCCUGUGUUAACUGCCCCUGAUCCAACUAAACGAUUUCUUGUUCAUACAGACGCUUCCAUGUUUGGAUUGGGGGCAGUACUGAGCCAAGUGGGAGCUGAUGGCUGAGAACAUCCCGUAGCUUACUUAAGCAGAAAAUUACUACCAAGGGAAGUAGGCUACGCCGCCAUCGAGAAGGAAUGCCUGGCCGUGGUGUGGGCCCUCAAAAAGUUACAACCUUAUUUGUAUGGACAACCAUUCUCCUUGCUCACAGAUCACAACCCGUUGGUGUGGCUACACAGGGUGUCAGGAGACAAUGCCCGGCUGUUGCGUUGGAGUUUGGCGCUGCAGCCGUUUGAUUUCACGAUCCAUUAUCGCCCUGGAAAACAGAAUGGUAACGCCGAUGGGUUGUCCAGACAGACAGAACUUGAGAAAUGAUCUGUGAGCACUCCCCCGGACAUCCCCAAGCCGAUCCGCUGGGAUCAGACUGUGUAUGCCGGCUUGGUUUUGGGGGAGCAUUGUGGCAAACCUAGCCACUUGGGACUGCCUAAGAUAGAAUGGUUGUGCCUAUUUUCUGUUUUGUACUGCGCGCCGGUAUAGUGUGGCGUCUCCGGCUAUGUUUAAUUUAUGCUGUACUGUGUAUGUCUGUUCGAAUCCUCCCCAUUCGUUAGCAUCCCUCCAGUCCCCUCAACCAAAACCCCUGCUGCCCAUCUUUGGAAACCCCUGUUGAGUGACCUGCUUUAAAUAUCAGUUAUUUUUAAUAAAGUGACAGUUGAGUGACCUGCUUUAAAUAUCAGUCUUUUUGAAUAAAGUGGCAGUUGACAUAGGCGUGCGCAGCCUAUUGCAUUAGGGUGUGCACCCUAAAGCACAAGCACACGCCGCAUAUAUGUAUAUAUAUAUAUAUAUAUAUAUAUAUAUACAUACACACACACAUACACAUAUAUACACACACUGCUGUGUGUGUGUGUGUGUGCUGUGUGAGGGUGCCGUUAGUGUGAUGUGUGUGUGACGGUGCUGGUAGUGUGCUAUGUGGGUGAGGGUGUUUGUGUGCGUGCUUGUGAGGAUGCUGUUAAUGUACUGUGUGUGAGGGUGCUGUUUGUGUGUGUGUGCGCGCUUGUGAGGGUGCUGUUAAUGUACUGUGUGUGAGGGUGCUGUUUGUAUGUGAGUGUACUGGUAGUGUGCUGUGUGUGUGUUUGUUAGGGUCCUGUUUGUGUUUGUGAGGGUACUGUUAGUGUGCUGUGUGUGUGUGAGGGAGCUGUUUGUGUGCUGUGUGUGUGUGAGGGUGCUGUGUGUGUUUGUGAGGGUGCUGUAUGUGUGUGUGAGUGCUGUAUGUGUGUUGGUGCUGUGUAUGUCUGUGGGUGCUGUGUAUGUCUGUGGGUGCUGUGUAUGGGUGCUGUAUGUGUGUGGGUGCUGUGUAUGGGUGCUGUAUGUGUGUGGGUGCUGUGUAUGUCUGUGGGUGCUGUAUGUGUGUGGGUGCUGUGUAUGGGUGCUGUAUGUGUGUGGGUGCUGUGUAUGUCUGUGGGUGCUGUAUGUGUGUGGGUGCUGUAUGUGUGUGUGUGGGUGCUGUAUGUGUGUGGGUAUGUGUGUAUGGGCGCUGUAUGUGUGUGGGGUGAUGGGUAUGUUCUGUGAAGUUGUAUGUGUGGGUGCUGUGUAUGUCUGUGGGUGCUGUAUGUCUGUGGGUGCUGUGUAUGUCUGUGGGUGCUGUAUGUGUGUGGGUGCUGUGUAUGUCUGUGGGGUGCUGUAUAUGUUUAUGGGUGCUGUGGCGUCUGUGGGUGCUGUGUAUGUCUGUGGGUGCUGUAUGUCUGUGGGUGCUGUGUAUGUCUGUGGGUGCUGUGUAUGUCUGUGGGUGCUGUAUGUCUGUGGGUGCUGUGUAUGUCUGUGGGUGCUGUAUGUCUGUGGGUGCUGUGUAUGUCUGUGGGUGCUGUAUGUGUGUGGGUGCUGUAUGUCUGUGGGUGCUGUGUAUAUCUGUGGGUGCUGUAUGUUUGUGGGUGCUGUGUAUGUCUGUGGGUGCUGUGUAUGUCUGUGGGUGCUGUAUGUCUGUGGGUGCUGUGUAUGUCUGUGGGUGCUGUAUGUGUGUGGGUGUUGUAUGUCUGUGUGUGCUGUAUGUGUGUGUGCUGUGUGUGCUGUAUGUGGGUGGGUGAUUGUGGGGGUGGAGGUGGGGGUACAUUAUUUGCUAUCCCCCCUCCCUUCUUACCUUUUGUAGGGAGGGGGGAUCGUGCUGCUGCUUCCUUCCCUGGUGGUCCAGUGGAGGAGGGGAUCCUUGCUGCUGUGAUCCCUGGUGGUCCAGUGGAGAGUGAACUCUAACCCCUGUGGGGCUAGAGUUCACUCUCGCGAGAUUUGAGCGUUGCCGUGGCAACGCUCAUAUCUCGCGAGAGGAAGCCGGCGGAGCUGCCGGCAAUAGCUCCGCCGGGUCCUCUCCUGCCUCCCUCCCUGCAUGCGGGUCAGUGGGGAGGGAGGCUGAGAGCAGAGCCGGCGCUCGGAUAGCGCCGGCUCUGCAUGAGCCGACAGGGGAGAUCCUGAGAUCUCCCCUGCCGGUCUCAAUAUACAUAGGCGUGCCGCGGGAUUAGGGUGUGCCCAGGCACACCCGGCACACCCCGUGCGCAAGCCUAUGGCAGUUGACUCUCAGACUGUGUUUCGUCUGGUUCUUGGGAGGAUUUGGGAAUAUUGCCUGCUUCCAGCUUUGUACUUGGUUAUUGCAUUCUACCAGCAGAGAUCCUGGGAUUAUAAAAUUGCAGCUCCGCAACAAAAACAUACUCGUUUUCCUGGCACUAUAGUGCCCUGAGGGUGCCCCCACCCUCAGUGUCCCCCUCCCGCCCUCUGGGGAGAGGAAAGGGGUAAAAUCUUACCUUUUUCCAGCGCUGGGCGGGGAGCUCUCCUCCUCCGAUCCUCCUCCGUUCCUCCCAUUCGUCUGAAUGCGCACGCACGGCAAGAUUUGCAAUGCUUUCCUAUGGACGCUUGCGUGUUCCUAGAGGAAUUGGAGGAAGGUUUAACCCAUUUGUAAACAUAGCAGUUUCUCUGAAACUGCUAUGUUUAUAAAAAAAUGGGCUAAUCCUAGCUGGACCUAGCACCCAAACCACUUCAUUAAGCUGAAGUGGUCUGGGUGCCUAGAGUGGUCCUUUAAAGGGACACUCCAGGCACCCAGACCACUUCAGCUAUUUGAAGUGGUCUGGGUGUUGUGCCCCUUUUGCACUUAGUGCUGCAAUAUAAAACAUUGCAGUUCCUGAUUCAUUACGGACUUUUGGUCUGUUAUAUGAUGCUGGGCAUUUUAUUAUUCAAUGCUUUCCUAUGGGGAGGUCUAACACGCACGCGUGACCAUUGCUGCGCAUUCGCAUUAGGUCUCCCGCGCCGGCUAACGUUGGCGGGGGGAGGAGCAAGGGUGGAGCCUUACCCAGCAACGACGGACAUCGGCGCUGGAUUCAGGUAAGUAGCUGAAGGGGUUAUAACCCCUUCAGAGACAUGGGAUAGAGGGCGGGAGGAAUCAGUCGGGAGCUAUUAACAGUUUAAUAGAUACGCUUUUAUGUAGAAGUGGGUUUUUAAUGAUUUAUUGAGUGGAGACUGAGUUAAUGAGUUAAUGAGUGGAGACUGGGUGAGCAUCUAACAGAGCAGGGAAGUGAGUUCCACAGGAACGGUGCAGCCCUUGAGAAAUCUUGAAGGCAAGCAUCAGAGGUGGGAGUAUGGACAGAAGAUAUACGUAAGUCUUCAGAAGAGUGUAAGGGUCUAGAGUGGACAUACUUGUGUAUUAGGGAGGAUAGAUAGGUGGGAGCAGCAUUAUGUAGAGAUUUGAAAGCAAGAACCAGAAUUGUAAAUUGAGCCCUAUAUCUUACAGGAAGCCAAUGUAGCCAAUGUAGGGACCGACAGAAGGGUUAGGUGUGGGAGGUGAGGAUGGACGGGAAGAUGAGCCUCGCUGACGCAUUCAUUAUGGACUGUAAUGGUGCAAGUUGGGAGCACGUAAGACCACUGAGAAGCAGAUUACAGUAGUCAAGGCGAGAAAGGGCAGUGGAGUGGACCAGCACCUUAGUCGCAUCUGGCGUUAAGUAGAGUCGGAUGUGCGCAACAUUUUUGAGAUGGAAGCGGCAGAUUUUGGCAAUGGACUGAACAUGAAGCAUGAAGGAGAGGUCGGAGUCAAAGAACACCUAGGCAGCGAGCCUGCGUGGUGGAGCUGAUGGUGGCACCAUUGACUUGGAGGGAGACAGACACAGGAGUAGCAACAAUUGAGGGAGGAAAGACCAGAAUUUCAGUUUUGGUCAAGCUGAGUUUAAGGAAGUGGGCAGCCAUCCAGUUAGAAAUAGCAGAGAGACGGUCAGAGACACUAGUCAAGAGGGACGGGGAGAAAUCAGGAGAGGACAGAUAGAUGUGUGUCAUCCGCAUAGAAAUGAUAUUGGAAGUCAAAGGAGCUAAUGAGUUUACCAAGGGAGGCAGUAUAGAUAGAGAACAGUAGGGUACCAAGGACUGAACCUUGGGGUACACCAACAGAGAGGAGUUGGGGAGAAGAAGCAGAGCCAGAGAAAUAAAUACUGAAAGAGCGCUGGGAGAGGUGGGAGGAGCACCAGGAGAGAGCAAUAUUUUUUAGACCGAAUAUCUUGUAAAGAGUCCCUUUAAUGUGACUUAACCUUGUUUAAUUAAAUUAACUUUAGUUUGAACACUAGUCAAGUGGUUUCUACAGUACAUAUUUUAUAUCCUCAGCUAGAUUGGUUUACUAACCAAAUACAUACUCCCCCCCCACACACACACCUUUAGAUGACACCUAAAGCCAGUCAUGAUAGGCAGUUAUAUCCCAGGUGUAAGAUCUAUGACAUACCUAUACAUCCAAAUAUUGAGGGGACUAUAUUUAGUGGGGACUGGAGGGCAGUUGGGAGCGAGAUAGUGGUUUUAAUACAAUAGGGUCAGGAAUACAUGUUUGUGUUCCUGACUCUAUGGUGUUCCUUUAAAGAUGGAGCAACAAAUGUUGAAACCAAUAGCAAGAUUUUAUAAGUUGCUUCAUCUUUUAAACUUUGCCCCAAACUGACCAUUAUCCAUAUAUUUUAAUGUUAAAUCCUGUUUUUUGUUUUCUCUGUUUUGUUAAUUGUAAUGAGCCUUAACUUCUACUAUUACUCACUUAUGGUUUUACCUGGUGCUAUUCGAUGUGGUGUAUCUGUAUGACAUUUUGACUUUCCCUUUAGGUUAUCUUUAUUUCCUUCACAAAUUAACAUUUAGCCAUUUUAACUAUGUCUGUACAUAUCACAAGUGUACCAAUCUGUUCUAUCCUGAUAUUACAUCAUGGUAUUCCUGGGUUAAUGUAAAUAGUUCACAAGUGGCUGAUUUGAUUGAAAAUGCCAGCCCAGUUCCUGGUUUUCAACACAGCACGACCCUUUGUCAAGUAAUUAAGUUCCAAACCUCAAACCAGUGCCUACGUCAUAGAAGGAGACUCUUGGGACUAUAUCUAAAAAGAGGUGAAAAGAUGCAAAGUAGAACUCAAACAUGUUAUUCUAUGGAGUUUAAUUCUCAAACAAAUAUUACAGUUUUCCCUUUUCAACUUUCCACAGCUUAGUAACAUCGAACUAUACACGAGAUGAUUACGCAGUAUGCAUCACAUAAAAACAAAUAUUGACAAACACAGGAGACAGUAGCUCCUAUAACCGAUAUAACCUUAAAAUAAAUACUAUGUUAACUUCUACUUUAUUGACUAAGAGAUAAAUAGUGCAAUUCAUUUUUCUGCUAAAGAAGUUGAAUCAUUAUCAAGCAUUGGUCCUGGAAACAAUGAAGGUGGUUGAAUAACAUGAAGGUGAUACUUGAAUUACUCUAAAAAUGGAGCUCAUUAGACAUCAGGUAUACUACACAGACUGCUAAAAUAAAGGUGAAUGUAUAGUAUAAUGUUAGGGAGAUGUCACAAAAUAGCUGUAGAGCUGCUGUCAGGUUUUUCUGCUAAUUAUGUUGUUAUGUUGUGCAGUGAUUGGAAGACACAAUAUUUUGGUAGUAAAUGAAAAGACUAGAUCACUUUGAUAGGGUCUGCAGCUAUCAGGGCCGGACUGGGAAUUAAAAGCAGCCCUGGAAAAAAAAAUAUUUACCAGCCCCAUAAUGCGUCGCGCCAGCAUAGUGUGCAGAUACAGAGUUAGAACAGAUAACUUAAAAUUAAAAAGUACUUCAACGUAAAAAGCGCACUCAUAGGCUUCAAAAUAAACAACAGUGCAGAUUUAUUUUAAGCAGACGUGCCUUUGCAUGUACUCAAUGUUUCAGUCCAACUACCUUGACAUAUUAAGGAAAGCUUGUUAAUGGGACUGAAAUGGUGAAUGUAUGUAGGGCACAACUGUAAAAAUUUUUUAUUUUGAAGUCCUGUGGGUGUGCUCUUCACUUUAAAUAUGUUAUUGUGCUGGAGUAUGCACCUAGCAACAAGACUGGGCCAAUAUCUGCUCAUGACAUAUGGUACAUAUUAAUGACAUUCCUCUGUGUAUUAUGCAUUAUAUAAAUGUACAUUAAUAUGUGUAAAUAUAAUAGAUUAAUAUACAUGUCAUAUACCAGUGACGGAUCCAGAGCCUGAGCCCUGGAGGGGCACUUGUAGAUUAUUUAAAGAAAUAUUCCAUGCACAAUAACCACUACUCCUCUGUGUAGUGGUUAUGGUGCCAGGAGUGUCGGCACCCCCUCCCAGAGUAAGUAGUCAAACCGUUUAAGAACAGUGGUGCAAUGUGUGAGGGGUGCAAUGUGUGUGAAAGGUUCAGUGUGUGGGUGUGGGGGGCAGUGUGUGAAUGUGUAUGGUGUGUGUGUGGGGGGGCAGUGUGUGAAUGUGUAUGGUGUGUGUGUGGGGUGGCAGUGUGUGAAUGUGUAUGGUGUGUGUGGGCAGUGUGUGUAUGGGGCUAGAGUUCACUCCUACUACUGAGACCACCAGGAAGUGGUGAGAGUGAACUCUAGCCCGUAGCUCCAGGGCUAGAGUUCACCCUCGUGAGAGCCGGAGUGUUGCCCCGGGUCCUCUCUUUCUCCCCCUCACUGCUCCUCUGUGUCAAUGUCUCCCCUCUCCUUCCCAGUCUCUCUCUUCCCCCUCUGCCCCUUUCUUCCCCUCCCCUUGUGUGUCUCUCUCAUUUCUCCCUCUUUGGUUCUCUUCCCUCUGCUCUCUUCUUUCACCCCCUNNNNNNNNNNNNNNNNNNNNNNNNNNNNNNNNNNNNNNNNNNNNNNNNNNNNNNNNNNNNNNNNNNNNNNNNNNNNNNNNNNNNNNNNNNNNNNNNNNNNCAAAACCUAAAUCCCAACUGUACCAUGUGCUGUUAAUACUAUGUUAUAAAGUGAUAAUAUUUCUAGUACAUCAUGCAGAUAAUAAAAUUAUGAAAAAAACAAAAAAAAAACUUUCUCAAGCUGCCGUGAAUUAAUUUUUUCAAGAACAUUGUUUAUUAUACAAGUUUCACAAAAUAAAUAGGACGCAAGGCAUACAUUGAAAAUGCAGUAAACACAAUUGUACUUUACAGCACAUCUGUUCAUUCCGAUAGUUUAUUUGGCAAGUUCAACCCAUUUUUUUUUUUGGAUCUGCCGUCUGCCCAAAGUUUGUAUUUGCGGUUAAAUAAGGGCCGAGGUUGUCAGUCUUUAUUGAAAAUGCACAACAUUUUUUUGAGACCUUGUAGAAGGCGAAUUGAGCACAAUUUUAGCUUCAUCAAUCUUCCUUGUCUUUAGAGACCAACGCGUUUCAAUUCAAUUUCAUCUGGCUGCCGGUGGCAGUACAAAGCAAUGACAUAGCCCAGACAAUAGCUCAGUGUCACGGCCGUACGGCACAGUUCACCUCUAGCUUCUAAAACACGGGUCAGAACAACAUCUAGACAGUGGACCGCCUGUAAAAUCCAAACUGGGGACUUAAUGUGGCUUAGAGCUAACUUUAUAUUAACCAGUAAACCCCAAGAAUGUUACUAUAAAAUUAUUUUCACUUUCCAAAUGCGUUUGUGCAUUAUUUAUUAUAUUAAUACCCAAAUUCUUGGCUGAGUAAAUAUGUUGUGUUUUUAUUUUGCUGCAAUUAUGUUUACUGGAAUGAAAAUAGAAAUAAGUAAUUUCUCAUUAGUGAAUCUCCUAAUUACAGCCUACACAGUUGCAUAGUGAUAAUAAAUAUGUGUAGAUCUAAUUUGAAAUGUAUUUAUAAUAUAUUAAAUAUAGUGGAAGCGUUAUUCGUACACUGGUUGUAAAAAUCUAUCCUCCCACUGCGUUCUGGUUAGAUGUUUCUUCAAGCUAUGUAGUCUUUUUCCAGUUAGGGCUUUAGAUAUUUUUCCUAUCAUUAAUUUUAUGCUAUUUUAACGUGUGAUUUAUUUCAUUUAUUGUUUUCGAAAAUUAGCUCUAAAGAUAACAUUAAAACAAAAGAUAAUGGAACAGUGAUUUUUUUCCUAUUUAAACAGGAUUUUGAAAGAGUAGCUGAUUAAAGUAUUAUACAGACAUUCCUCACUUACCGGCCGGGUUCCGUUCUUACGAUCCGGUCGUAAAAAGAAUUGGUCGGUAAGUGAGGAUGCGCUAGCGAGCAUGCGCAAGAGAGCAGGUCUACGUUCCGGGGAAUUCCCCGUGACCAGUUCACUAGCACAGGGAAUCCUGCAAAUAUAUGCUCGGGAAAACUUCCCCAAACAUAGGCCAGCUCUCUAAAGUAGGGAAUCCUUUAAAUGAGGACCACCUGUACUGUCAUUUGCAUUUUCAGACAGUCAGCUGAAUGCUAUAUAUGUAUAUAUAUAAUAUCAGAUUAAUCAAAAGGAUUUUGUUACAUAGCAAAAAUAGGCAUUAAAGGCAUUUUACUUUGUGAAAAAAAAACUGAAGUGAAUGAACAAAACAGUUAUUUACCAAACAUAGUCUAGAUUGCAACUUUAGUAAAAGCUUAGCAAAAAUGAUUUCCGUCUGAUUGAUUUGCACUGAAUUAACAUGUCUUAUUUGAUACAAUAUGUGUGGUUUAAAAUCAACAAUUCACACAUAUAACGUAUAGUUAUCAAAUUAUGGAUCUCGCUUAGCGAGGGUAAGUACAAGUGGGGGGGCCACUGAUAGGACCUCCCCAUCUUUAUAAUAAUUCCCCAUAUCCCACUACUAGGAGCUCUUUUUUGUCAAUAUGUAGCAAAUGGGCAAAGCUUAAACAAUGUUUUUUCCAGUUGCCAAGCUAAUUUACCCACAAUCCUUCCAUUAAAUAAAUCUCACAAAUGGCAGACAGCAGCGAGAGGAGAACAAAACGGUGGCAGCCAGGUUAGACGAGGGGUUAUAAUAAUUUCAAAUCCUUUGCUACACUCACCAAGGGUUAAUUUCCAGGACUAAAUUUUCACAUGUCAGUGGUUAGGGUAAAUGUUGAGCCCUGUUCUAAUCCUUGUGAAAUGAAGAGGAAAACUGAAAGAAAAAGGCAAACUGUCGCUUUAAUUCAGUGUAUACACUUUCAGUUUGGAAGCUGCCUUGAUAAAUUGUUGAUAAACUUUGUGAAUAAUGCUCAGAUUUUUGUGUUGGGGAUUCAGAGUUUUGUGAAUAUAUCUGAUAAUUUGUUUGAAAUAUAAACAGAUAAAAAAAAAAAUGCAUGCAUAUUGUUCUGACUGCUGGCAAUCAUCCUUAUACUUUGUUUAUUUUGUGUUUUUCAGAGUUUUUAAGAAGGCAAGCCCUAAUGGGAAG